GAAGCCAGCGAUCUUCAAAAUCCAUGGUCAACUACGAAGUGAAAAUGAAGAGGCAUACGAACCAGAAGUGGUUUCCAUCGGACCUUAUCACCACGGUAAGCCUAAACUGAAAGAGAUGGAGAAGCAUAAGCUAAGGUACUUCAAAGAGAUUCUUCGUCGUAGAGGUGAGAGUGCUGAGAUACAUCAUAGCUUUGGCUGAUCUUCAAGAUCAAGCUCGAAGGUGUUACGCAGAAGAAAUCAAUCUUAGUAAUGAUGAUUUUGUUGAAAUGCUAUGCCUUGAUGGCUGCUUUAUCAUCGAGUUCUUGAGGAAAUGUGGACAUUCAGGAUCACACUGGCAGAAUGACCCCUUUUUCAGAUGCUUUGGCUACGCACAGCCACUGUGAAUGACCUAAUAUUAUUUGAGAAUCAGUUGCCCUUUUUUGUCCUGCAGAAACUGUUCGAUAUGACCAAGUCACCAAGAGGAGAAGGGAACCUUAUUGACCUAGCUAUUCAUCUCUGUCGGUUGGGAACUUGCCCAAUCCAGGUCUAAAUUCUCAUUCUGAAAUCUUCGAACUUUUUAAUGCGGUUCAUCUUCUUGGCCUCGUGCACAAAAUUCUGUCUGCCUCAUUUUCUGAAACACUUUCCUCAACCAUGAAUUCCAAUCGUACGGGCUCAAAUCUGUUCGUAAAAUCAGCUGGUGAGCUCCGACAAAGUGGAAUCAAGUUCGAGAAGGCAGAGGAUGGUAAAUCCUUGUUCCAUAUCACUUUCGAAAAUGGUGUAUUUAAAAUCCCUCCUUUAGUUGUGGAAGAUCAUACAGAAUCCGUCUUCAGAAACUUGAUUGCAUAUGAAGAGUAUAUGUCUAAUCCAUCUGAGACAUGGAAGUGCGUAACUGAUUACAUAAUCUUCAUAGAUUGUCUCAUAGAUUCCCCAUCCGAUGUUGAAACGCUUCGCAGACAUGAUACCAUCGAGAAUCGGUUAGGUAGUGAUGAAGCACUCUCUACAAUGUUUAACAAGCUAAGCAACCAUGUUCAUGUUGGGGAGAUUUGUUACACCAAAAUUUUUGAUGAUGUGGACAAGUACACUCGCAGGCGCUGGCAUAUUUGGAGGGCGCACCUACUGAGCAAAUAUUUAAUAACCCGUGGGCUUUCAUUUCGUUUCUGGCUGCAUGUGCCUUGCUUCUCCUAACAAGUGUGCAGGCCAUAUUUUCCAUCCUACAGUAUACUUCGGCUUAACGAAAUAGAAGUAAGCUAGUUGUGUAAUUUGUUAGUCAUUGAACUUAAAAUACGAAUAAAGUCAUUGUACUUGUAAACAAUUCUUGAUCUGUAUGAUGUAAAGAACUCUGCUGUCUUGUAUAUUACAUGAACUCCUAAAUGCAUGUUCCGCUAAUAAUAAUGAAAAUGAUCUUUUCUGUAAUAUAAUCUACAACCAAACAUUAGAAUGGCAACGCCACAGCUGCCUCAUGGACCAUAGUGAGUAUCUAUAGUGAGUGUGUCUGUGUAUGACCAUAGUGAGUGUUACUAGCAAAUGCAAAGGAUGAAGAUGAGAACCCAAUAAAGCACGAAAGGUUAAGCGCACAAGAUUUUAAGCAAACUGCAAAGAAAGAGUUAAAGAAUGAACCUUUAGCAUUCAUCUGGCAAAAAAAUCCUUGGCAUACUAUUGUAAAUAAUAGAAGUUAGACACCGUUAGAUCGAAAUUCUACCAAUAUUAGUGUACUGAAAACAUAUAAUACUGCAGGAUCUAAUUGUUACUCCUGCGGCUUAAAGAAGAAAACAGAGAAAAGACUCGGUUGAUUUUCAAACAAAACAAACCCAUUAAAGUGCACUUCAUUAAUUGCUUGUUAAUUGUGGUUCCUGAAAUCUUAUUUAAUUGAGAAAUUUCUAAUUUGUGAUGAAUUUUAAAAAAAUUCUACAAAAUAGGUGAUUUUGGCAAUGAAUUCCGUCCGGGGGUCUUCGCAUUCGUAGAGCUCGCAUUUCACGAAUGCGAGAUUAGAAUAGAGCUCGCAUUCGCGAAAUGCGAGCUCUACUUAUUGAGCUCGCAUUCCGCAAAUGCGAGCUCUAAUUUAAUUUUUUUUACUAGCUCCCCAGAGCUCUCUAGCAGCCUCUAUAUUCGUAAAAAAAGAAAGGAACUCCUGGGUCAGAGAAUGAAUUCCACUUCCCUGAUUAGCACCAAUCGUCAUGAACUGGAAAGGCUAGCUCAGAAGAUGGCUAGGCCCCUGUUAGCACCAAAAGCGUUAGGGGGCCCGCACUGGAGGCAUCAGAGACUUCAAUGUUAGUUUUCUUGAACUGCAAAUCUUCCAAAAGAAAAAAAAAUUACACUUGACUCUAUUUCUUUCAGAAAUAGCGGGCAGGCAAAGCAAAGAAACGAAGCUGACUCUCAUGAAUGGAUGUCCGAGCUAGAGAAUUUUUUCCAGAAAAUAGUAAGAGCUAAAUGCGAGCUCCUAAAUGUUUUUUGUUUAAAUUUUGCAAAUAGCUCGCAUUUGAUAAAUUUGUCCUCCAAAAAUUGUAUUUAACUUUUUUGUUAGAUUUCGCAUUUAUAAGUAUGACUUUCAAAAAAUUAAAUUCAAACUUGUUAGGAAAAAAUUUUAAAUGAAAUUUACGAAAUUUAAAAUGAAAUUCAAACUUAAUAUAAUUUACUAUACAUGCAUAAUUCUUUUAUAAUAAAAAAAAUUGGUAAUUGUAUGGUUGGAAAUACGUUAUUUUAUUAUAAUACAUUUAAAUAGGGGAAAAAGUACACAUGCAUAGUUCUAUUUGUUACUUUUCAUUAUUAUUAUUAUUAUUAUUUUUGCUUGCAGGUGCUUAUUGUAGCAGGAACUAGUACCACAUCAAGGGCGUUGAGCUGGGUUAUCUCCUUGCUACUGAAGCAUAGGCACGUUUUGCAAAAAGCCCAGGAAGAGAUUGACUCUUUGUUGGUAAGAGAGAAUAGAAGAAUCUGAUAUCAAGAAUUUAGUCUACCUACAGGCCAUUGUCAAAGAGACAAUGCGACUACAUCCACCAGCACUUGUACCUAUGCACGCCAAGCCUGAGCUCGCAUUCCCGGAAUGCGAAGACCCCUAUUUGCAGAACACACUCCAAGAACCGCCCUCGUUGUAGAAUUCUUUUUUUUUUUUCCAUCAUAAACUAAGAAUUCACCCUAUUUAAUUAGCCACUGCUUCCACAUUGGAUAGAAUGCUACGUAAAGCAUAAAGACUAAGGGUCCAUUUGUUUCGGUUUCCAGAAAAAUAUUUUCCUAAUUUCCCGUGAUUGGUUGCACAAAAGUUACUGAAAACAUUUUCCUAUGUAAAAUAUUUUCACUCAUCUUAUGGAAAACAACUUCCCUUCCAAACUUACUGAAGUAGUUUUCCGAAAUGCAUGCAUCCCGCCUGUAAUAUGUUCCAAACUUACUGAAACAUCUUGUAGUAUGUUCUUUUUUUUUUAGUGUAAACAGGAGGACUCGAACCCAAAAUCUCUUCCUUACACUCCCCCCCGUACCACCUAACCCAACCCAACCCUCCCCCUAGUAUAUUCAAAAAAAAAAAAAAAACCUCAUCCUGCUCAUCCUAUGCUAGUAAUUAAUUAUGUAUAAUAGAGACAUUCUGUUCUAGAGAAACUUUCAGCAGUGAGAGUGCAAGAUAUAUGUCACAAUAAGCAUUGCAUGUGAUUGAUAUUUGACACUAAAUGGCCAGCAAUUUGUUUAUUGCUUAAGGAGGUAUUUUUAUUCAUAUAUACAUUUCUCCAAGAUUUUUUAAAGUUAAACAAUGAGAUAAAUUUUCUUAUUUUGCAUGAGAAGAAGUAUGUAGUUAUAAUGUGUAGAAAGUAAAGAUAGAGAUAAAAGUGAAAAUAUUUCAAAAGUUAAACAAACACCAGAAAAAUGAAGUAAGAAAAUAUUUUUAAUAAACUAACCAAACACCUGAAAAUGAUGAAAGGGAAAUGAUUUUCAUGGAAAAUUACUUCCACAGAAAAUAUUUUCCAAAGGAAAACAUUUUACUUCCAACCAAACAGACCCUAAAUGAAAAAAAGAAACAAUACAAUAGGUAAAUCUUUCAUGCUUGCUAGUACCAAAAUUAAGUACUUGCGCAAAUUUUAAGUAGUUUCUUAGCUGCAAAUGAGAAGGUUUUAUCUAAGAAAUUUUGUCUCCAAUGUUCUGACCUUUGUCAUGCUCUCACUUCGCGAAGCAAAGCAUAUGCUAAGGAAUGAAGGGCUGAGACGUGUGAACUUGUUUAAAGAAUUAAAGGGCUUAAACGUUGGCUGUUCUCUUCUCUUUUCUUCAUUGGACUCAGUCGCUCACUAUUUUCUCUCUACAAACGAAAAAUUUCCAGCCAUAUUAAAUUUAUUGGAGAAGAACAGCUAUGAACUUAUAUAUCAAAAUUCGUGAAAAUUAAAAUGUUUAAGAGUUUAUACGUCUUCUAUGAAUGAAUACCUUCAAGUACAGAUUAUCUUCUGCUGAGUACAUUAAUAAGUUCAAAGUAAUUUUUUGUACAAGUGUGGAGGAAAAUAAAUUGUUUUUGUAUAUUGUAAUAUUGGAGAAAAGAACAAAGUGGGUAGACUAUUAAUUACUAAAAAAAAAAUCAUUUUUCAACUAUUUAAAUUUGUAUACCAAAAGCAGAAAAAAAAACUUUUAUUCUUCAUCGCGAGCAUAAGAUAACAGCCAAUGUUCAAUAACGCCACUCUUAAAUUUUCUUUUAAUACGAUUUACUACAUUUUUCUACGUAAAAUUAGACUUAUGCCACUAGAUUAAUAUAUCCAAAUGGUGACAACAUGGACUACGUAAGUGCACCAUAAUAGUAUAAAGUGGUCUUACCAAUAAAAUAACAAUAAUAGUAUAAAGUGGACUGCCUAUGAGCUUCCCAUCCCAAAGGAUAUAAUUUCCAGCGGCUUUCGCCAGCUUUUUUUCUGUGUUUCUGAUCAAGAUCGCUACACCUUAGACUCUCCUCUUGUCCAGGUAAAUUUUUCGAGUAUUUCUCUGCUGUGAAAUAUAUUGGAAAUCUGACUAGCGAUCGAGUUGAAAAAAAGGAAAUGUGGAAAAGAGAAAAAGAGUGCCCAUAAAAGCAAAAAAUUGUAGUGAACCUCUGUCUCAACAUCAGAAAACUGAACACUCUUUUCAGGGAUUGACAUAUUUCAAACUCCCCAUUGUUCCAACUUUGAAGUGCUUGAUGUGGGAGCCAACAAGAAAGUUUCACCAAAACCUUAACACGAAAACAAAGAUACAGCGAAAUUUGAGGGGAAAAUAAUUUAAUCUCCUAGAAAAGGGAGGAAAAGCAAAAUUCAAAUGCUUACCCAUAAAAAGAAAAAACAAAUCAAGCAAUUACAAAAAUAAGGGGAAAAAGAAAAAAAAAAAAAAAAAAGAAGUUACCUGCCAUGCCAUUAUAUUAUAUAUGGCCUUUUACAGAUGAAUUUAUUUUUGUAAACUUUUCUGCAUGAAGAUUAAGAUGUAGUUCAAAAAGUCAAAACCCCAAAGUCGAUGAGUGAAAACCAAAAAAUAGAAUCUGGUUGCUGGAGGGUGAAGAGCAAAAACAAAAAGAAACCUAUCCUUAUAGCUUCAUCAGUGACGAUCACUGACAAUAUGAUGAUCACCAAUGUAUUGUGCAUGCCUGUUCGUAUUUGUGUGAUUUGUGACAAGAAGUUAAAACAAUUAUAGCUGAAUUCUUUGGUUGCCAAGAGUUUAUUCUAUAUAGAUAUAUUGGUAUUUGAGAAAAAUGAAAAAUGGCUAAAAAUAUUUUCAAAACAAAAUUGCAUAACAGCUUAAAAUUGUGCCUGAUUUCGUGCUCAUCUGAGCUUCUGUAAAUCUUUUGACUCGUUCCUCCUCCUUCACCCAGCCGAAUCCUUUUAUGCGUUCCCCCUUCCUAAUAUUCUCUUCCUAAUAUCCUUUUAUGCUUAUCGAUGAACUAAUAUCGGAGGAAAUCUAGAAGGCUUCACCAAAAUAUAAAUAUAAAUUUUAGAAAGGCAUGUUCAAUAUUAGUAUCCGAAAUGACUUCUUUUGCUAUUUUUGCUUUUCCUCCUAUCCUUCUUCUUUUUAUGUGUCCAACAAAAGUCAGUAUCAAUUCGUCUAAUAUUUAUAUAGAUGAAGUAGGUAAAGAGUAUUCGUCUAUUAAUUUGAUGAAAUGCUCAUUUGAAUGUGCUCUUUUAUAUCAUUUAAGUAAAUUUUUCCAGUUAAAUCAUUAAUUGGUUGUUCUCCUUUGUGUGACUUUAUUAUGGUUAUUUAAUUUUCAGUUUUAAUAUUUUCUUCUUUCUUUUCUUUUCUAUUAAUGAUGGGUGCAAUUAAUGAAUGAUAGUGCUAUUUCAGUUAAAAGCUAUCUUUUAAUGGCUUUAAUUCUCGAGGUCAUAUAUAUAUAUAUAUAUAUAUAUAUAUAUAUAUAUAUAUAAGGGUUAAUUGCAUUUACCUCCCCUAUAUUUUGACCAAACUACUAAUAGACGACCCCAAAAGCUUUGGAAUAUAACAGUCGCCUCGCUUUGACUUUGCAUUCAUAUAACACAUAACCCCUUCCCGUUAGUGUACAAACGGUUGUUAAUCCAAUCGCUUAAAAGAAUAGUAUGAAAAUCCAAUAUAGCCCUUCCAGAUAUACCGUGUGUAAUUCCUAUUUAAUGUAAUUCCAUUUUAACAAUUUUAUAGUACUAUGUAUUAAACCAUAAUAAAAAGCAAAAUCUUCUAGAAAGAAAGGAAAGAUCAUAAUGAAAUACACCACUAGCCACCCUUAGAGAAUAGAUUUAAAAAUAGAGAUAUCUAGCCACCGACAAAGCACAGAUGUAGAAAUAGAGACAUAGAGUGACGAUGACAAAAAGUUGUUGCACUCUCAAUAUAAACACCAUCACCAUAAAAUUGAAAACACAAUUUCACAAAUUCUCAUUAAAUCCGGAUUUGAAUCAGAGGAUCUGGUUUGCCUGCUACAAUCAAUUCAUAUUCACUCUAUCAAUACUCAUGUUGUGGGCAUACAUAGUCAAGCACUAUAUAUUCUUCUAGAGUUUAAAAACAAAAAAGGAAGAGAAGAUAAAUCCGAUGGUUGUGGUCUUGUGGGUUAGAAUGGGGAGGAAGAAUAAGACUGGGAGAAGUGCUCAUAAUUAACAAUGGAUUUUGCAAAUUAGAUAAGAUUAGGUAUUUACAUGAGUAGAGAAUAGGUAAUUCAUGGUUAGAAGGGAUGAAUGGUAGAACAGUCAUGGUGGAUUCUUUUGGUGGUGCUGUCAUGUACUUGUGGUGUCAUUUUUGGUGGUGUGGUGGUCUAGGCAUAAUUGGUUUUCUUUAGCCAUUUUGUUUUUAAACCUUGGCCACUUAUUUAUUCUUUUAUCUGGUCAUCAACUCUCCCAACCUCCCGCUGGCAACUCAAAGGAACCCCCCCCAGAAUGUAAUGCAUAAUGUAUUGUGUGAGUACUGUUUAAUUGGUAAUUGUGUGAGUACUGUUUAAGCAAACAUCUCAAGAGUAAUGCUCUCACAGAAUAGAGUGAAGUUCAAUUUAAUAGUAUCUAGUAUAAGCUGAUUUUGUGAGUAUUAUUAUUAUAUGCACUUUUAAGUGUAAUAAAAUUGUUCACUUGCCCUUCUAGAUUAGUGGACUUAAUCUAAUAAUUUAGUAUUAAAAACUACCACAAUCCAACCGUUGCAACGGCCAACAUGUGCUGACAUUCUCUUGUGUUGGUAACGGGUGAAUAUACAUACAUAUACAUAUACAUGUAUAUAUACAUACACACAUAUGUAUGUGUACACAUACAUACAUACACCUGUAAUCAUCACGUGCUUUCUCAGGGAAACUUGACUUACACAACAUUCUGAAGGAACCGGUGAAAUUGUUGAAUCGGUAUCGAACCAUUCGAACCGUUAAAUCGCAGUUUUCAAGCUCUUCCCCAAUGGCUCAAGUUUGGACCUUUUCCUAACGGGCCUCAAAUGUGAUUUCUACUUAAUCAAUUAUAUUGAGCAGACCCAAGUCCAAAACAAGGUGGUGUUGACUUUUAGUCCAAUUCAUAUCCCAACUACCGCUAAUGUGUAAUUCGUAACAUUAAACAAACAUAAAAGAUUUCAAAGAAACAAAUUGGAGUCAUGGUGGAAUAGCAAAGGACAUGAAUAAAUUAAAUCUAAUCAAAAUUUCGUACAUAAUACAAUUAACGAAGUCAAGAUAUUUUUUGAGGAAAUAUGUUUUAAUUCAUGGUGUAGUUUAAGUUGUAUUAGAAACUAAAAUAAUCUCUUCAUAUGUGUGUGAAUUUUUCAAGGUAUAAAUUUUUUUUGCUUUUGUUUCAAUACAACUAAAAUAAAUAGUUUACGUUAAAAAAUUUACACUUUAUAAAAGUUUAACCUUAUUUUAUUUUUUAUUGUUGUUAUAAAUUUCAUAAGUAGGAUAAUAUAAGGGUAGUAUUGGAACAAAAGUUUUAUCUUUCUUGUAUUUCCUCCAAAGGGGUUAAAAUGUUACAAGAAAUAUCAAUUCAAGAAAGGUAAGUGAGAUUUUAAAAAUCUCAGGGGAACUGAAUGAUAUUAUAAGAAACCUCAGGGGAGGUUUCUGAAAUUAUCCCAUGAAUUUUUCAACUCAUUAUAUUAAUUUGCUGCGAAUUUCCAUGUCUCUGAUUUCUUGUGAACAUCCAUACUAAAUGCAUGAUGCUAUCUGAUUUCUUCGAAUGGUUUCUAAUUUUUUUUUCCCCAUCUCGGUUUGAUUUGCAUUCCAUCGAAGAUGCAUCCCAUCUGCUUCUAAACAACCAUUACUCAUUAAUUUAACCUUAAUGAAUCAAAUACCUUCUAUUUAUAAAGUACACGCAUAAUAGAAAUCAGAAGAUCAUAAACUAAUCUAAUGAUAAUUGCAUAACUCUUGGAGCCAUGUAAUGCUAUGCAUAUAUAUAUAUAUAUAUAUAUAUAUAUAUAUAUAUAUAUAUAUAUAUAUAUAUAUAUAUAUAUUUAUAUAUAUAUAUUUGGUGGCACAAACGUAGUGUAAUAAUACACUACUAUUGUUGAGUUCAGUCAGUUGCCUUGCUGGUUUUUAACCACAGUCACGGCAGGACUCGUGAAUCGUGAUCUAACUUGGGCAACUCUUUCCUAUACGUUCUUGGGACGACUCUUCCAUCAGGGUCCACGGGUCCUAGAUAGCCCUUUUUUCUUUUUCUUUUGGUACUGAAAGGAAAUUGGGUCCUAGAUAGCUUUAUUAUUUGUUAACUUACAUCAGGCUUCUUAAGAUGCAUUUUCUAAUUAAGUGAGACAACUGAAAAAUGUUCUAACAAGUGGACUAAUAAAUCAUUUUGUGACGACAUGGAAUUAGAAGAUCAUUGAUAGGGUGUAAAUUGUUGGUUAUUUUAUUGUUAAUUUUCCCUUUUAUCCUUGCCAAAUAUUGUUUUAAUUAUUAAUAUUUACUUAUAUUUGGUAUUGGACCCAAUUUCAGAGAUUGAAGCAGAAAAUUACCAAAAAGGAGGGACUUGUUGGGAAAAUGCAGACUUCUAAGGGCUUCAACCUUUGGGUCCUUGAAUUGGUGGGAACCACAAGCUAGUGCAAGGCAUUUAGUCAUUUGGGCUUUUCAAAGAAAACAACGUAGAGAGACUUGGAACAACAAGUACUUUGGAGGCUUUGUCCACAUGUGUGGGGACCACAGGAAAUAGCUUUUAGGCUUCUUUCUUUUGGCUUUUUAAGGAAGACGUACAGAAGCAAAAAGGGAUCCCUAGUUUUAGUGUAGUUUUUAGUUUAGUUUUAGUUUCCUUUCUUUCUUUCUUUUGACUGGCCUCUGACACACGCCAGGUGUUCGACAAUAUUCCCCAACGGGAAAAACAUCUUUUAUUCCUUGCUUUCUAGUAAAAACCGCCAUGCCUUUGCAAUCCAUUACUUCGUGUGGUGAUUUAAUUAUGCGGCGUGGCUAAGCCUUCCUUCUAGUCAAGGGGACAACUGACGAUUUGGUUCGACAAUUAUUGUGAGAUCGAAUCUGUUUUAAUUAUUUUCUUCAUUUAUUGGUAUUUGUAUGUUCCUUGAUUUUAAUUGCUGUGGCCUUGUGUAUGAUUGAUUAGUGCGCAAUAAUUAAUUAUUCAUAUAGGCUAUUUUCGCUAAAUAGGGGUAAUUGAAUCCGUAAUUGUUCGUUAUCUCUAUUUCAGUAGCAACUGGCGUAAUUGGGUUUAUGUCAGGGGAAUAUACGAUCUAGCUUAAACAAACCCUCGUAGCGUGUUUGUUAGUUAGGAUUGGGCCUUUCUAAUUAUUAAUGCAAUCUAGAAAUUAAUUCCUACGGUCGUACCUAGGGUUGUUUUUUGGUUAGAGAAAUAACUAACGGUCGUACCUUAGCUAUCGAUAAAUUAAGGAAAGGUUGGUUGUUUAUCGCGUGCAUGACAACUAUAACCAAUCUAUUAAUAAAAGUUGGAAUUAUCUGCGAAUCAAUGAUCAGUGCAUGAACCAUUUCUGAAGUGUACCCUUGGCUAGAGUUUCUCUUAAUUAUUUCUUUGAAUUAAUUACUUUCUGCAUUUAAUUUGUUUAAUUGACAUUUAAUCUCAAAACCCCCUAUACUUUGAACUCUAGAAGAAACGAACUAUCUCCAGUCCCUGUGGAUUCGACCCUGCUCACCGCUAUAUACAAAAUCUGUAUUUUUCUUGAGUAGGUAAUUAUUAUUGCACAGGCUGACGACCUGUCAAUCAUCUUGUCCUUUUUCCGGUGGACCGACAAAAUGCUAGCUUCAAAUUAGGACUAGGUUUUUCUUGAAAAGGACUAGGUUUGGGAUUGGGGCCAAAGAUAUUACUUAACCAAGUAAACAUUCCCCUACCUAGAAUAUAUGUUGCUUAAAAGACCAAGACAAACCUGCAAGACGUUCUUUCAUAAUAUGCUAGCCGGACGAAGUUCGUCAAAGUUCCUCUGUCUUUAAUAUACGAAUUAUCCCACACGAGGGUAGGCAAUUAAAUGGUGGACAGAUAUUACAAGCUAAAUUAUGCCUUAAACAUGUAAACUACCAAUCAGUCACAAAUGUUACCCAAAAAAAAAAGGGAAAAACAAAAGAUGUGCAUGGAAAAGCAAAAAGCAAAGACAUACAAUUGUUUAUUACUUUAUUAACUUUUAAUGAUCAAAGACCAUAAGGGUGGAUGUAUGAGAUAAGCCAAGAGCAAAUGCAAAUGAUUGCACUGAGUACUCGACUUUAGUCACCAUGAGAGUUUUUACAAAAACCCAAGCCUUUACUUUGAGAGUCUUGAAGUAUAUAUUCCAACUUUAGCACAGCAUAAGACAAAAUCAAACACAAAAGAUUCCUCUAUUUAACUUUUUUUAACUUUAAGAUUCUUGAAGUAUUGUACUUGAGUCAGAAGCUUAAGAUAAGGAUAAAAAAAAACAUGAAGACUACAACGUCGAAAUUGCGAGCGAUUAUAUAUAUUACAUAUAGGGCAGUUGUGAUUGCUAGCUAGAGGAAAUAUAGGAGCUCAAACCACGCAUUGGUAACAGGUUAGAGUUAAACUUAAUUGCUUGUUAAACUUAAUUAUUAAUCUAAAACAGCGGUACUAAUGAUUUUUUCCUUAAUUUCAGCAAGAGAUCGAUUGUAUUACUCAACACAAACAAAGAUCAUGUCCACCGACGCCAGAACUGCCCGAAUUUCUAAUUGUAUCCGUGAAAAGCUUUCUGGGCUAUCAGAUACUGACAUUAGGGUGGCAUCAAAUGAGCGAUGCAUAUUCAAGGUCCGUGAGAGAAUACAAAGUCAAAUUGAAGGGCCAUAUGAACCACAAAUGGUUUCAAUCGGACCUUAUCACCGCGGUAAGCCGGGGUUGCAAUUAAUGGAAAAGUAUAAGCUGAUUUACUUGAAACAGCUUCUUGAGCGAACAGGUGAGGAAAAUCUAGAGAUUUGCGUUGUGGCCAUGGCAAAUCUUGAAGGAGUAGCUCAGAGGUGGUACUCCGAUGAAAGGAUCAGUCAUGAUGGUGACGACGGCUUUGUGGAGAUGAUGCUUCUUGAUGGCUGCUUCAUACUCGAGCUGGUAUGGAAAAUUAAUCACCCCACACAAUCUACAGAUGGCAUUUUAUCGGACGCACUAUUCAUAGACCUAUUAGGAAUCGAAAAUCGAGUCCCUUUCUUCAUCCUUGUUGAAUUGUUUCACAAGACCAACUCUAACUCUGGUGCCAGCAGCAAAUUUAAUGAUUUGGCUCAGCGUCUAACUGAUUUCGUAAUUCUUGCUUGUGACAGCAAAGAGAAUGAAUAUGUUGUUGAUGAUGGUCAGGUCAUUCAUCUACUUGACCUUGUCUACAAAGCCCGGAUCUCUUCGUUUGCUGCAAAAUUUAUUGCUCUUGGUGCCAGGAUUGGUAUUCCGGAGGAUGAUCCUUUCUCACUGUAUCAUAUAACUUCUGCCAGUGAAUUACAAGAAAUUAAUGGGUUGAGUUCGAAUAGUGGGAAGGACCAUGGCUUGAGAUUACUUGGAAAUGGUGUGGUAAAAAUCCCUCGUUUUAUGGUUCAUGUUGAUACAGAACGUCUGCUCAGAAACUUAAUUCGCUACGACAGCAUUACACCAGCCAUCAUGAGGGCACGAGGAGCAUGUCUAUGAUUAUGCAAUUAAUGGAAGUCUCAUAAAUUCUGCUACGGACGUCGAGGUGCUGCGUCGCAUUAAAAUUAUUAUCACAAGUUGAAUGAUGAUCAGGCUGUGUCUACCAUGUUUCGUCGGGUCAGCGGAGGUAUUUACCCGGCAAAGGCUUUGUUACGCCGGUGUAUUCAAUGAAGUGGAAAGUAUGCCAAAGCCGUUGGCAUAUCUGGUGGACGAGCUCAGGAGGACCUACUUCAACACCCCCUGUGUCCCCCAUUUCAUUUGUUGCUGCAGUUGUUGCGCUUAUCCUCACUUCUCCAGACCUUUUAUGCCAUACGGCCUGCGGGAAAAAAUUAGUAGUAACAAAACUACUAAACUAGUCAUAUCGGCCACAUGCUAAGUGCGUUUGUUUGGUCUGAAUAUUGUUUGUCUUUCUUUUUCAACACAACCUAAAAGAUUCCAUCACAUCCAUAGUUGUGCUAUCAGUCAAGUUUCUUGCAUUUUCAGUAUCUCAUGGAGAAGAAAUAAAAAAUGUGUGUUUGUUUGGUUGUUAAUAAUGUAAUGUUUUUAUUAAUAUUAAUCCUCGAUAAUAUACUCUGCUUUCACUGUUUCAAUGUCAUCAGUUCGCCUGGCUUGGUAUCAUCAGUUACCCAAUAUGACUUUUUCUAAAGUUAUUUUAGUUCACAGAUUGUGCAAGUAUCUCUAUUUUGCUGCAUGCAUGGAAUCAUUUCGAUCAGAGGCAGGAGAAAAUUGAAGAAUCCUCAAAGUUUCUGCACUAGCUCCUUAAUUUUCUAAUGUCUCUAGUUGCUUUUCGUAAAGAUUUACACCAGCUCACUUCUCCAAUAAACAAAUCUUGAUACAAUAAUGCUACACCAAAACGAAAGCUGAUAUAUACUUUCUUUUCUUUUUUUUGGAGCAAAGGCUGAUAUCUACUUACAACUCUAAAAAAAGAAGAAUAAUGAAACUACCUAUUUUUUAGAUUUUGUGUUUGUUUUCCAUAUAAACACAUGCAACCCUAUACAAAAAAGUAAUCAGUUAGAUGUUGACAAAUACACGCUUAGUGGGCUAAGUUUUCAAAUGCUCUCCCGUCCCAUUAAAAGUGUCAUCCUUUUCAUUUUAAAAUGUCACGAAAUAUUUGUCAUGUUAAAAAAGUUAGAAUACCUUUUAGUCCUUCUUUCAAUAGAACUUUUCUUUUUAAUCAUAUGCAUAUUAUCAUUCAAAUUUAAAUUUAAAUUGAAAAAAAGUACAAACAUCACAAUCAAAUCACUAUUUUUAAAAAGUUAAAUUCUCGAAACAUGACUAAAUAAUUGGACGGAGGUAAUAAUGUACAUGUUUGAAUCGAACAAGAAGGGCAACACUGAAAGCGCAAUAUUUGCUAGGAAAAGAAAAAAUAAAUAAAUGAAAGCAUUUACAUGUGCGGAAAUACUAAAAAUUAGGACAAAAAAUACUAGUUGGGAAGGUGCAAGCUCCAAUUUUCUUUAGACGUAUUUGGAAGUACUCCUACAAAAUAUAUACUAGUUGGGAAGGAAAUCCGACCCUAAUUUAUUUUACCACAAAACACAGUCAACAAGAAACUACAGCCCGUUUUCAAUUUCCAGAGAGAGAGAGAUCUUAAUUAUAGCAUUUGGAACGGAAACGCUUAAAAAAUGAAGAACUAAGCCCACCCCAUUUGUCUUCUUAUUGUCUCUCUGCUAGCCAUGCAACAAAGUCCAAUAUAAAACGAAAAUUGGAUGUCAAUGACCAAUAACAUAUUAGCGACAAAUUGAGUUCAACUGCAUUCUCAUCGUUAAAUUUCCCACUUAACAAAGAAUUACUCCUACCGAGAUUUCUGAAGAAAAUUAAGGCCUUUAUGUAGACCCCAAUUUUUAAUUUUUAUUUUUAAAAGUCUGACUAAGAAUGUUGCAAUUAUAUUCCUCAGAGAUGGCCUUGGCCUAGAAAUCUAGAGUACAACGAUCAAAAAACAUAAAUUCACCCACCCGUACAAGUUUUAUUUAUUUAUUUUUUUUGCCUUCUUCACGAAAUUAGAUCAACAAAAAGGGUUGUCCCUCCUUCCUUAAUCUAUGAACAGGAGAAUAACAUCGAAGCCAUACUAACAAUGUUUUUUAAUUCCUUCCCCCAAAAAAGAAAAAUUUUGGCAGUUUUUUCUUUUAAAAAUUCUUUAAACUAAAGUCAUGUUGCAUCAUAUUUUUCAUACCUCAAAUGGAUUGUGGAUCAUUCCAAUUUAAACCCUUCAAUUUCUUUUGUAAUUUCCACUUUUCAGCAGGAGUAUUUGUUUUAGAUAUUUAGGGUCAGAAAAGGAUGCCAACUUGAGCUAGUAUUUACCUGCAUUAGUCUAAUGAAAAUGAACAUAUAGAAAUCCAUGCAAAAUAACUAUAUACGCUGCAUAAAACACCAACGAGAAACUUAAACUGUCUCAAAAUGCAAUGGAGAUAGCUGAUAAUCAAAACUCGAUUUAAGCACGAAGAUACCCAGUGAACCGGAAUUAUGAGCAAGCACUUCCAAACUACUUUGAUCCUUGUUGAUUGGUUAGGUUUGCUAAAUGUUCAAGAAGUUAAAUGAACACAAAAAGCUAUGACAUGCCACUACUAAGAAUGCAACGCAUAUUUAAGAAUUAACUGAAGCCUUUUCAAAAUUCAUCUAUAUGGGCAGAAAAUCUUUCCAUGUACUCAUACGCAACCAUAAACUCCACGAGACCACAAGGCAGAAUAUUGGUAUCAAGAUAUACCUCACCUACUGAAUGAAGGCUUCUUGAUGCGAUAAGUUACCAUGUGAAAUUAAUUAUUUGUUCACCAGAACUCUGUAAAGUAAUUAAAGUUAACAUUCCAAUGCAAAACACGAAAAGUGUUACAUAUAUUCCUAGCGUUGUCUUCCACUGGGCUAUUGGUACAUUGCUUGCUGUGAAAUCAUGAAAAGUGUUUGUAGAGUACAGCACAAACCAAAAUCACACACACACACAAUUACAAACUUGCUACUAGGUAUCCGAUUAAAUAAAGAUAAAACUGGAUCUCAAACUCGUAAAUUUCAACAACAUUACUAUGCAUAAAGAAUUAGAGUCUCGAAAAAUGCGGGGGGAGUAUUUAACUUUAUUUACCAUGACUGUCUUUACAAUCUAUUAUAUACUAAAUUCAAAUGCUCAAGAAAAGAAUAAAAUAAAGAAUUGGAAACCUUGAAGAGUAGGACGUUGCCAAGAAACAAUAUUCUCAAGGAACAGCGAGUACAUAUACAAGGCAUGCACGGGCAGUUUUGAUUGCUAGAGUGCAUAGAAAAGUUGAAAACCUUGGUGCAAGGGCUAACAUGUGCUGACAUUCUUCAGUGUUACUAACAGGUUUGUGCGUGUAUUCGUCUUCUGUAAUCAAGUGCUUUCUUUUUAUUUAAACCUAAAUCCUAGUUGCAUGCUGAUAGAUAUAUGUUUUUUAAUGAUUGCCACAUACUCUCUCUCUCUUGCUCAUGAACCAUUGGCAAAUCUAAUUAACCAUGGCAGCCGAGACUGCCCCCCCUCCUCCGGGGGGGGCUGUCGGCCUUUCCUCCCCCUUUAGGAAGAAGGCCUUCUCUGCGUUGUUUGAGCCACAACCGACGUCCGAGGUAGUACAAGUUCAAGCGAGGAUGACAACACACCGUGGAGAGCCUGCGGUGGUCUUCAGUGCGGCUGACAUAGCAGUGGUUGCUGCUCCAUUCCGCUACACUUUGGUUGGGAAGUUCUCUAAGGGGCGGCCGCUGCUGCCUGACCUGAGGAAAUUCUUGUCGACUCUUGAUUUGAAGGAUACGGCGACUGUGGAUUGUUAGAUGCUAGGCACGUGUUGCUGAAAUUUCAAUGUGAAGCGGAUUUCCUUCGCGUUUGGGGACGAAGUUUGUGGUACGUGAAUGGAUCCCCCAUGAGGGUUUUAAGUGGACAUCUAAGUUCCAUGUGAACAGAGAGUCUUCCCUUGUUCCCGUCUGGUUUAGAUUGCCCAAACUCCCAUUCACUUAUUUGCUAAGCGAUUCUAUUUCAUCUUGUCUCCUGCUUGGGUACGCCGCUAUUCGUGGAUGCGGCUACGUCUUCGUUUUCGCGACCGAAUGUGGCACGGGUAUGUGUUGAGGUGGAUCUACUGAAAUCGAUUCCGUCGAGGGUGUGGGUCGAUAUGGGAGAUGGGGAUGGUUUUUGGCAGGUUCUUAUCCCUGAGAACCUCCCUAAUUAUUGCAGCCACUGCUAUCGUCAAGGGCAUGGCGAGGAUCAUUGCCGUGUGAAGCACCCUGAUUUGCGCUUGCACAAGACGCGGGAGGAUCUGGUCACAGGGGUGAUGGGCGCAAAGGUUCGCUCCUCACCAGCUAACACGCAGCGUACAGAGGAUGAGGAGCGAAGGGGGGUGAGUGAAGGAGAUGGGGUGAAAUCUGAUGCGACACAGAAUUCGGGUAAGAGCCAUUCCGAGGGGUCACUGCACGUUGACACCCCUACUACUGCUGUGGGAGAUGCAUCAUGCUUACCGAACCAGCUUGGAGGGUCUACGGUUGUGCUUGUGGAGAAGGGGAUAGAGGCUGCUGCUGAUGCCAUUCUUCACGCUAUGGCUGACCGCGUGAUUGGCGAACCAGAGGGAGUGCUGGAAGGGACUGCUAAUACGGGAGAAUUGGCGCUAGUGGAGCUGAACGUGGUAGCAGGCCCAGGCAUGAUGGAGCCCAUAGAGGGGGCUGCUGUGCCAGGGCAAAACUGCAACGAAAAAGCUGUCAAGCAUGACCAAAGGGAGGGACCAUGCGAUCACAUUGCAGCCCACGACCAAGGAAAUGAUUGUGAGGAGUCCCAUAUUCUAGUGGAGCAAAUAUUGGGAGAUGGUCAGCAGCAAAUGGCCGACAAUACUUCAAUUAGAAAUCAAAAUGCCGAAAAUUCUAAUUGGAAUAAAAGUGAUGGGUCCCAAGCUUUUGAGAAGCAGAAUUUGGGAGACGAUAAUCAUAAAAAAGUCGACACCACUGACCCCGACAUUCUUUAUGUUGCCUUGAAUGGGGGUGAGGAUGUACCACCCCUUGUGGUUCCAGGAACAAGUACAAGAACAAAAACGAAAACCACGGUGCCUCAAAAUCUAGUGCCACCUUUCAAAGAUGUAUUCGAAGAGGUUAAAUGGGAAAAAUUACAUGGUACACUUUCCCGACCACAUCAAAUUAGUUUUAUUCGUUCAAGUAUAACAUGCAAUAACGACAAAAAAGAAGAAGAAGAAGACGAUUCACAACACGACAAACACAAAGAUCAAGACCAGAAUCUAGUACAACAGCAAUUUACCCAAGUGAUUUCAAAGAAAGCGAGGAAACAGCUUUCAAAAAAAGGUAAAACAAUGCAAACACGUCAAGAUCUCAAACCAAAUUCCAAUGCUCACUCGCAGUCACAAAUGUGGAGCACCCUCAUGUGGAUGAUUUCUUUGGAUUGAUCUGUUAUGUCUUUACAAUUCCUUUAUAUGUGUGUUAUAUUUUCCUACAUUACAUGUUUCUUUUCUUUAACAGAGGUCAGGUUUGGCCCCCCUCUAAUUUGAUGUAUUUUUUUCUCGGUUUUUAAUAUAUUAAGGGAUGGUAUCCCUAUUUAAAAAAAAAAACAAAAAAAAAGAUAUAUGUGUUUAAAUAGAUUUUGUUAGCUUAACGGAACGUCUUCUAUGUUUACGCCAAAAAGUAAAGCUUUCUAUUUGUCUUUAUCAUUUAUAUACAUAUCUAUAUAGCCAAUCGAGCCAAUCGAGCCAAGAACUAACAGAGCUACCAUGCCAAAGAAAAUUUUCAAUUUUCUACAUAGAAUUAUUUUUUAAAAAACCACAAAGCUUUAACUCUGUAUCUACCAAAAAGGGAUUAAAUGUGAAAAAAAUUCAAAAGCGGUGUCCAAACACUCCUUUAGUCUAAUCGAAUUUGUAUAUCUACUAAUCCUUUAUGUAGUGUUUUUAGACUUCCCUUCCCUGUAGACUAAGUUGCCCUUAUAUAUUUGUUAGCCCCAUAUACAAUCUCAUUAGAUUUUUACUCCCUAUAAAAUAGAAUAUAUUAGUUAUAGGAAUGUUAUCGUACUCGGUAAAAUAUAUAUAUAUAUUUAUAGGAAAUUUUUAAAAAGUUUUAAUUUUAUCCCAUUAAUUUUGGUCGGGAAUAUAUAUAAUUUUUUGAAUUAAUCAUGCACAUAAAGGUUGAGCCUUUACUUCUAGAAAUUCAUUUCGGCCAAUUGAACCUUCUCAAACUGUUCUUGCUAAAGUCAACUCAUGAAGUUGGCAUUACGCGGGAAUCAUCUUCGAUAUGAACACAUAACCUAUGCAAGUACGUAUAUUCUUACAUCUUUUUCUCCAACUUUGGUGGCGGCAUCUUCAUGACUCCUAACAACAAAACUAGCAGUGUAUGUUUGGGCUUCCCACAUGGGAGUCAGAUCAUUCAUGUUUCCUCCAUCUUUUGAUACGAAGUCUGGAAACACAGAACGGUAAUUAGUUAACCACUGACAAUUUCUGAGUUUCAUAAACUUUUCUUCUUGGUCUUUAAUUUGCAUACAAGAUAGAAAAUCCAACAUAUAUGUCCUCAUUCUGAUUCUUAUAAGUAACAGGAACAGUUUUCCAGCUAAUACCAUACAUUCUUGGUAAAUGGAAUUUGACAAUUUUUUUUCCACAUUUUUAAGGUACGGACUAUACAGGCUCAAAUUAAGUUUCUAAGCAUGAAUAGAUUCCAUGUAUAUGUACCAUCUUGUCGAAGUGUUGAUCAUCUGACUUCUAUGCUUCAUAGCUUUCAUAUAUAUCUUGCAAAUUAACUUUGGUGUAUGAAUAAGAUUUUCCUUUUCUUUAUCUAGGAGUGCUUCUGCAUUCGAUUUGGUUAGGAACUAAUUUUGAGACUCUUCUUUAUUAUCAUUCAGAGAAUUUUAAUCUACUAUCCGAUCAGAAGGUAUGUUGUGGUAUAGGUCAACUAUACCCAAGAAACAACAAGAUUCACCAGGCACUCAAAAUGCACAAAAAAAAAAGGAAUUUUGUGAUAGUCAUGUAGCGCUUGGACCUCAAGAUUCAUUCCAAUAGGAAUCAACCUAAAUGCUUAAAUUUGCUGAUCCUUCUUGAUGUUUUCUGCUGCAGCAAUUUUUCCUCUUGUUUAUACGUACUCAACAAAGAUGUUAGGAGACAUAUCUGUUCGCAUUGAUCGCAUUGAUCAAAUGCGUUCUGGCCUAUCGGAUACACCAAGGACGCAAUCGAUCUUCAAAGUCCAUAGUAAACUACGAUGUGAAAAUGAAAUGGCAUAUGAACCACAAGUCGUCUCCGUCGGACCUUAUCACCGCGGUAAGCCUAAACUGAAAAAGAUGGAGGAGCAUAAGGUAAGGUACUUGAACAUGCUUCUUCUUAGAAGAAAAGAGUCAAGUGCUAAGAAAUACGUCGAAGCUAUGGCUGAACUUCAAGAAGAAGCUAAAAGUUCUUACGCAGACGAAAUCAAUCUUUCAGAUGGUGAUUUUGUUGAAAUGCUAUGCCUUGAUGGCAGCUUUGUCAUCAUGUUCUUGAGGAAACUUUAUUAGCUUGAAGAAUACGACAAGAAUGACCCCAUUUUUCGGAUGUCUUGGCUAAUAUCAGCCACUAAGAGAGACCUAAUAUUAUUGAGAAUCAGUUGCCCUUUAUUGUCCUGCAAAAACUGUUUGAUAUGACCAAGUUGCAGGACGAAGAAGAGAAGCUUAAUGACCUAGCUAUUCCCUGUCUGUCUUCGCUCAUGCCUGGUUCUUAUCCAGGUCAAAGUUCUUAUUCUACAAUCGCUGCAAGUCAUAGGGCUGUUCAUCUUCUUGACCUCAUGCACAAAAUUUGACUGCCUCAUUUUCCAACACACUUACGUGUUCCAAACGUGAACCGACUAAACCUUAUUGCAGAAACCAGUUAUUGAGCUACUGUCUAGUGGAACCAAGUUCGAGAGGGCAAAGAAGAGUGUACCCUUGCUCCGUAUCACUUUCAAAAAUGGUGUAGUUAAAAUCCCUCCUUUAUUUGUGGAUGAUCAUACAGAAUGCAUCUUCAGAAACUUGAUUGCUGAUGCGACUGCCGAAGUAAAGAUCCGAACUGAACUGGGUCUGGAGAGCGAGCUGGUGAGGCGCCCGACCUGCACGUGAACGAGCUACGGGGCUAAGUCCCCUGUAGCAACUCCGACGAUCAAGUCAGAAUGAAUUCGUAAGUUACCGAGUGGAAUUUGCACUGUGAAUAGCGUACCUUGUGUUUCCCCUUCGCGUGGUAUUUAUAGAGCCUCAGGUUGUAGUUUCCUGGUAGGACAAGGAGUCCUUAUUGGAGAGAGUUGGUUCCUAGGGCUCCAUGACCCAGAUCUGAAGACGCGGACUCCGCGGCCCAUCAGACCUCUCUGCCCGAGAGGCGGCGCCCGCAAGGGCCAGCGAGCCGACCUGACACUCCGGCCCAGCUCCUCCAGUCCGAGCUCAUGGGCCGGAUUGACGUGUGUGCGGACCGGGCCGACGUGCUCCUGGGCCCCACUACACUAGCCCCCCUUGUAGUCUAGAGUCAUCGAACGUGCGCAUGAAUCUAGCCGACUUUCUGGGCAUCGUGUCAGCUCGGUGUGGGGCCCUCGCCUGGGAGUGGUGCACACAACCAUCACGUCGGUUCGUGUCUGUCCUCUCAACCGUCACGUCGACCAGUUAUGACGGUUAGGAACGGUUCCCCAUAAACGGUUCAAUUAAUGCGCGCCCCUUCAUUUUCCCGCCCUGCGGAUCGCCUAUAAAUAGGCCUCUUGGGCGUCAUUUUCAUUCCUCCUUCCCCACUCUAUCAGUUCGCUCUUUCCAUCCUUAGCUCGCUGCUUUUAUCCUUUUCCCUUCGAGAACCCAUCGGGUCGCCCUACCUUAGGAGCCCAGAGUCAGCUCGUGCAUCACCUAGAUCAGCCUUUCGUCCGAUCUCCUACUUCCACCAGUAAGUUCCCCUUUCCUUUUAUGUCUUCUUACAAUUCUGAUAGUUCUGACGUUACCAGUUCGGCCCCUAGGCACAGAGCAGCUAGCCCAUACUCCUAGAUAGCCCCUCUCCCGACCCUUUAAGUUCUUCUCCUUCCACUUCAUCUGGGUCAGGACCCGCGUCUUCUCCCAUCCAAUCUCCUGUCCAAAUAAUGAGCCCAGCCGAGCAAACUGCCCAACCUCUAGUCGGGGCUGCGGAACAGGCAGCUCCAGCUCAGAUGGCCGCAGGGACCUCGGGGGACCUAGUGGCGACUUUGGAGAGGUCGACACUAUCCCCCCAGCCCUGGGACAGAAGGAUGUUGACGGGCUGGCCGAAAAAUAUGAAAUCCCAACCCAGUUUGAACCUAGGGCUGCCCAACCGGGGAGGUCGCCAGCCGACCUCCUCCCGGUUUCGUGGCGAUCUACAGGGACCAGCUGAUGGCUGGCCUCCGCCUGCCUAUUCCCAACUUCUUCUUCUUCAUCCUCACCUUCUGGGGCAUCCGCAUAACUCAGGUCAUCCCAAAUGGUGUUUCGCUCCAUUAUAGGCUUUUUCAUCCUCUGCGAGCACUAGAAAUUCCCUUUUCCCAUGACCUGUUCCAAGCCUUCUUCCAGAUGAAGGUCAGCGGGAAGGUGCCCGGGUGGUUCUACUUUGCCCGUAGAAGUGGAGCAAAAACCCCCACCCGCGAGCUGUUCACGGGGGCACCUUCCUCCAUCAAAGACUGGAAGCGUUACUUCUUUUUUGUGAAGAACCUGGGCUUUCCCCCUCUGACCUGGAGGGCGGAGACUCAGGUUUCGAAUCCACUUCCAGAUCCGCUCCCUGUAGCCGAGCUCAGCCGCCUACUCAGCUCAGACGAGAAGCUGGAGUGAAAGAGUUCAGCAAUGCCCAGCUUUGGGUGGCGGGGCUGAUCCGAGCUAACCCCUCAGAUCCCUCGCCAGAGAAUAGGCCGCUCUCGCCAGACGAGCUGACCUCUUGUAAACGACCUGGCCUUCCUUUUCUUUCUUCUCUUUGUUUUAUGUAUCUACUGACCUUCUGGUCUUCUGUUUUUUGCAGUGAAGAGGUUUUCUUCCCUUCUAACCAUCGGAGGAGCCAGCAAUCCAGGUGCUACUACCCAGCCCUCCUCAGCCAUUCCAGCCAGCUCGGCACCAGGUCCAACGCCUCAGCCAGCUCCUGCCCAAUCCGCCAAGGCUGUCGAGGCUGGGAAAAAGAAGAAGAAGAAGACAACUGCAAAGAGGACUAGAGUGGAGACGACCUCCUCCCAAUUCAGGAAGAGAGGUCGACGCUAAACCUGGUCAGGGCGGUCACUACGGCGGAAUACCGCCGAGGAGCAAGCUGGUGCUGGCGCUCCUCCUAAUUUAUGGCAGCGCCAGAGCUCCACCCUGCUGUUCGACCCGCAGACGCGGCUGAUCACGCACCAACACCCAUGCACUUCUGCCCCAGUGGAAGCUUUCCAUAAACGACCGAGCUCAAUUCCCUGAGGUGGCCAGGGAGCUUGCUCAUGGGGCCAUCCUUCCACGGGACCACAGCUUGAUUAAGGCCAUGGAGGCAUCUGACCUCCUCGACUACUAUUACACAGGCGCGGCCCAAGUGAACUUGGUUGGGUCCGAGCUGGCCAAGCUGACAGGUGUCGUGCCUGUGCAAUAAUAAAUACCUGCUUAAGAAAAAUAAAUUUUCUGUGUAUAGUAGUAAGCAGGGUCGAAUCCACAGGGACUGGAAAAAAAAUUUGAUUCUUUUUAAAUUCGGGACACGGGGGAUUUUUAUCAGAAAUAAACUAAAAAUACUUAAACAAUUUAACUAAAAAUAAUUAAAUAAUUUAACAAAAAAUAAAUAAAUAAUUAAUACAAAUGUAAAUGACAAUUAAAUAAAUAAUAAAUAAAUUCUAGCCAAGGAUACAACUACGCAGACACAGUCCAUUCAUCCGAUCAUUGAUGCAAAGAAGGUUCACUUAAUUUAAUUAAUAGGCUAGUUAUAGCCGCCGAUAAACUCUAAAUACCAGCUUUUCCUUAAUUUAUUGAUAACCAAGGUACGACCGUUGAUUACUCUAACCAGAAAAUACUCCUAGGUACGACCGUAGGAAUUAAUUUCCUAAUUGCAUUAAAAACUAGAAAAGCCUAGCCCAAAUUAAUAACACGCUACGAGGGUUAUUUAAAUCAGAUUGCAUGUUCCCCUAGUAUGUGAAAAUACUAAUUGUCACUAAUAUUAAUCAACUAAACAAUUACGGAUUAAUUUUGAUUAAUUUGACAAGAGAUUAAAAAGUCAAAUUGCACAUCGGGCCCUUGAUAUCCAAUUAACAAAAUAAUCCAUGGAAAUUAAAACAGAAAACAUGCAAAUAUUAACAAAUUAAGGAACACGUAAAAAUUAAUUAGAUCUCACAGAUAUAUGGGACUGCGUCGUCGCGUUGAUCCUUGACUAGAGGAGAAAAUUAGCCACGCCUCAUAAGAAAAUUCCCACACAAUUCAAUUGAAUUUAAAGACAUCAUCUUUCUUCGAUAAUUGAGAGAGUGAAUAACAAAGCUUUCGGAAGAGAAUAAGAAAAUUGCACACUAGAACUCAACAAGCCAAAACAACUCCUUAUUCUCUCCCCGGAACAUCCCUCGGAGAGAAAACUAAAACUCCUCUUCCCAGACGGAAGAGAAGAAGAAAAACUAACUCCCCAAAUGUGCGGCUCUCCCCCCGAAUAAAAACAAGCCAAUUCCAAACUUCACUCCAUGCUCACAAAAGAAAACAUUCCUUCCCUACCUAAUCAACUCCACCGAAAUUAAAAGCAAAGCCAACUAUGGUUUGUCGGUUUUCUUUGACCAGGUGCACACUUUCACCAACAAGAAAGCAAAAUCACAAAUGUGCAAAGAAAGCACACUUUAGACAAUACAACUUAUUUGCGGUCCCACCAACUUUGACAUGUUGUCUAGCCAAAUUGAAUUCCCAAAUGCAAAUUCUCCAUUCUUCUACGUUGGUUGCACCAAAAUUGUGUAAAGCUUCACAAUAAUCUUCUCAAGAGGUUUCUGCUCCAAUUUCUGAAAUUAUAUCCAAAUACCAAAUAUAAAUAUAUAUUGACAAUUAAAGCAAUAUUUGGCAAGGAUAAAGAGGAGAAUUAACAAUAAAAUUACUAACAAUUAACACCCUAUCACAAGCGCUACGAGGGCCUCCUCCCCCUGAUGAGCGAGACGAGGGCGGCCAACGAGAAACUGCUCAGCCAGAACGAAGAAGCUGUGGCCGAAGCUGAAGGUCUGAGGAAGCAGCUCGCCCAAGCUCACUCCAACUUCGAACUGGAGCUAAAGAAGAACUCCGAUCUGACCUCUCAGCUGAAUGAGGAGCAGAAGAGGAGCGCCGAACUAUCUGCUCAAGUCGAGGCGGCUAGGACUGAGGGAGGCCAAGAGGGCGUGCGGGCCUUCCUCAGGUCGGAGGAUUUUAAGGGUGACCUGGCCAUCUUGAAUACCCCAAUGCUGCAACAUGGGUAUUCCCAAGCCCUGGAGGAGGUGCAAAAGCUGGGUCUGCCUGGGUUUGAUCUAGGCAAGUUUCCCAGCUACAACCCCCUGGCCGUGGAGCAGCUCGACCGCCUGGUAGAGGGCUACACGCGUGGACGGAAGUUGGCCGACCUGGUCGCCGAUCCUCAGCUGCCAGUGACCACUCCUGAAACCGAGCAAGAGGAAGAAGAGGCGGGAACUAGAGCAGGGCGGGAACUAGAGCAGGGCCUUAGGAUAGGAUCUGAACUGUCAGUAGGCAGUUCGUUUUGUAUGAGCUCUGCUCUUCCUCUGUGCAAUUUCUUUUGCGCGAGUUUGGCUCCCUCUUGUACAGUUUUAUUGAAUGAAAUGAAAAAGCCUUUCCUUUGCUUCAUACUUAGUCUCAAUUGCAAAAAUCGUCACAAAAUACAUCAGUUCGGCCCUAUGCCGACCUAAGGGAGCUAUUCUCUAAGACAAAGCAAUUUAUUAGCCAAGUACAUCAAUAAUAACGAAAAAUCUUGACCUUGGAAGGAACUGAUAACGCGCGAGUUUUAACGAAAAAUCCUCAAGUUGGAAUUGUGCCAGGUACGCGGGACCUCUUCCCCGCUGAGGUGAGUUAACUUGUAGUACCCAGCUCGAUCUGCUUCUUUUACCACAUAAGGACCUUCCCAAUUCGGAUCCAGCUUGCCUGUGCCCUGAAGCCGACUCACACUGUUCUUCCUCAAGACCAGGUCCCCCGGUUUGAAGGACACUGGCCUCACCCUAGCAUUGUAGUGCCGCGCGACCUGUCCCUUAUACUUAGCCAUACGUAUGGCCGCCUCUUCUCUCCUUGCCUCUAGCAGAUCCAAAUUGAGACGUAGCUCGUCCUCGUUGUCCCGAGCUAUGAAAUUCUGAAGUCUGCCCGAAGGAACGCCUAUCUCCGCAGGGAUCACCGCCUCUGCUCCAUAGGUUAGAACAAAAGGAGUUUCCUGGGUAGCAGUUCGGGGAGUGGUUCGGUAAGCCCAUAGUAUGGUUGGCAGUUCGUCCAGCUAGGGGUGGGCACGGGUCGGGUACCCGCCCCGAACGGCAAAAGGCUGACCCGACCCUAAGAUGUCGGGUCACUAUUUUUUUGACCCUAAUCCGCUCCGAUUGUCCUCGGGUACCCGAUCCUCGGAUACCCGAAAAAUAGGGGCGGGUCAUCGGGUACCCGCCCCUAUUUAAAGAAUGCAAAUUCUGCAUUCAUAAGAUGAACCUGCUGUAGCCUGUACGUCCAGAUGCUGGGGAGACUUAUUGUGAAAAUCAAAAGCAACCUUUCUAUUGUUAUUGCUUGAGUAAAAUCACUGGGCAAAAAUUCCAAAACAACAACUUAGUUAAAUCCCCCAUAAAUGAAUACUAUGCACAAAACCUAUGAGCUAAAGCCUGAAAGUUCAACUGAAUAGAUGUUGAACAACAAGAUAUAAAAUCAAAAGUCCUCAGAUUUGAUAGCUAUUUUAGGACUAUAUUUAAUCAAAAACCAUCAUUUGCAGUUUAAGGGCAGUUUAAGGUUACUAGCAGUGACAUUUAUCAAGCACUUUUGGUACCAUCUGUAUGGCAACUCUGAUAUGAUUUAUCAUCACAGCUAGAUAGAUAGAUAGAUAGAAGAUCAUCUGGAUCAAUGGAUGGAUGAAUGGAUAAAUGAAUGAAUAAAUAAAAAGGGUUAAUUACGCUUUGCUCCCCUGAGGAAAUCAGGCAAUGGCACCACAAAAGGCUAACAAUAAAUAGCAACCAAAAGAACUGCUCUUUUGCCACAAAAUUUUUGUCACGGGGCAAAAAUCAAGAAUUAUUUAAUAGAUAUACAUGAAAAGAAUAAAUAAUCUCAAUUAUAUAAAAAACUAAAAAGAAUCAAAUGCUUGAAAGCCACCACAACUAAAUAAGAAACUAAAGCAAUAAAUAUCCAAAAAUGCAAAAAAUUUCAAACAUAUUUCAUAAGAAGCCCUCAGAUCUCAUGGCUUCAAUGAAUCAUAGACGGAAUUUGACGGGUAAUUCAACAGAUGCCUUUUACAGAUCACCGACAAAAAAACCAGCCAAGCCAUGCACCAGUGUGUGUGUAUGUGUGUGUAUAAACUCAAGCAAUUUUCCCGGAGUAAAGAACAUAAACAAAAGGGCGGAGCCGCCGAGGGAGGAUUUUCAGCAGGGGAAAAUGAGGGAAGGCUUUAGCAGCGAGUCUAACCAUGGAGGCAAGGCUUCAAGAUCAGAUCAGGAGCGGCGCAAAGGGAUUGCCUGGACAGAGGUGGGUGGCGGCUAAUUUUUCCGGUGAAGUGCAAAGGCAACCGUUGAAUUUUAAACCCUGUCAAUCCCCUCACUAUUAACAAUUUUUUCCAUCAUUGGCUGCAACAGAAAAUUUGAGAAAAAAAACAAUACUAAUCAACAAAAAAUCAAAUGAUAAUACAUUAUAUAUAAAAUCAAGCAAUUUUCCCGGAGUAAAGAACAUAAACAAAAGGGCGGAGCCGCGGAUGGAGGAUUUUCAGCAGGGGAAAAUGAGGGAAGGCUUUAGCGGCGAGUCUAACCAUGGAGUGAUGGAGGCAAGGCUUCAAGAUCAGAUCAGGAGCGGCAAAGGGAUUGCCUAGACAGAGGAUGAACACAGGCAAAUUAUGUUGCACUAGAUCAGAAUGUCGGCUGAACUCUUUAGGUUAGGGUUAAUAACUUAUAAAAUUAUAAAAUUGCCCCUAUAUUUUUUAAUAGUUACAUAAUAUACCCCGGGUCGGGUACCCGCGGGUUUUUGCUUUUACGAUCCGUAUCCGUAUCCGAAUAUUCCGGGUACCCGACCCUAUCUGAUCCGCUGAGAGAAAUCGGAUCGGGUAUCCUAUUUUUCGGAUCGGAUCGGAUCGGAUCUCUCGGGUUUUCGGGUCAGCGGGUAUUUUUGCCCACCCCUACGUCCAGCCACCCAGUUCGGGCGAACUCCAUCCGCGUCUUCAAGCCUUGCAGGAUGGUUCUGUUGACGUUCUAGACCUGCCCGUUUGCUUGAGGGUGGCCUACCGAGGUGAAGUGCUGCCGGAUUCCGAGCUCCGAGCACCAGCUUUGGAGAGCGCCGUCAGCGAACUGGUGCCCGUUGUCUGAGACCAGUACAUGGGGUAUACCAAAUCGGCAAACGAUGUUUUUCCAGAGGAACUUCUGCACCGACCUGCUGCUAAUGGUGGUAAGGGGCUCGGCCUCCACCCAUUUGGUGAAUUAAUCUAUGGCCACCACCACAUGCUGAUAACCCCCAGGAGCUCGGGGAAACGGACCCAGCAGGUCGAUUCUCCAUUGGAAGAAAGGCAAAGGGCUCUGAAGAGGGAUCAUCUCCUGAGUUGGGGCGUGAUGGAUCGGCGCAUGCAGCUGGCAGGACUUGCACCGAGCCACCAGUUCGGCAGAAUCCAAGAAAAUGGUCAGCCAGUAGUACCCAGACAGCAUUCAUUUCUUGGCCAAAACCCUUGGACCGACGUGGUUUCCACAGAUACUUUCAUGCAACUCACGCAGGAUGUAGUCUCCUUCCUCUGGAGUUACGCAUCUCAGCCACGGGCGGAGGUAGGAUUUCUUGUAAAGUACCCCAUUCGAGAGCUCGUAUCCCCGCGACCUGAGGAUGACCCUUCGCGCCUCCACCCGGCUUGGAGGGAGCUCUUCGCUGCUAGGUACCGUACGAUGAGAUCCAUCCAUGAGCUCGUUAUUUGAAUAACAGAAGCGUUUACCUGGUCGUACGCCCGAUUUCUGACGAUUUCCACCAAGACUUCUUUGUUCAACGUACCGACCGAGGUGGAAGCUAGCUUGGACAGAGCAUCCGCUCUCUUAUUUUGGCUUCGCGGGACCUGCUUGAGCGUGAAUAAUUUGAACUGAGCUCUCAGCUCAUGCACUUUGGCGACGUACCUUCUCAGGGGCUCUUCCUUAACCUCGUAACCCCCCGACCUGGUUUACUAUCAUCUGUGAGUCGCUGUAGACUUCUAUUGACUCGGCCCCCAAUUUCCGAGCUAUCUCCAUCCCCGCGACCAGGGCCUCGUACUCGGACUCGUUGUUAGAGGCCCUGAAAUCAAACCUCAAGGCGUAGGCCAGUUCAUCCCCCAUAGGGCUAGUCAAGAGAAGCCCUGCUCCGCAUCCUUCCUUGCUUGAAGAUCCAUCCACGAACAGCGUCCAGGUCGGGAUGGACUGAUCUGCCUUUUCGGCGUCUUGGCCGACUUCCACAGCAUUUCCGACCUGUUCGGCCUCCGCUGUGCUCAACCUAUCCUCGGCUUCCUCAGUAGCCUGUAUGACCACGGCAGGUUUUUCGGCCUGCUUGGCCUCAACUGCACCUACGGUCUGUUCGGCCUCGGAAGUCUUAGUGCCUUUCAUGACCUCGACAGCUUCUCCGGCCCGCCGAGCCUCAGCUGCGUCUUGGGUCGGUCCGGACUUUGCGGCCUGCGCGACCUUGGCAACUCCUCCGGCCUGCUCGGCCUUGGCUGCGUUUCCGGUCAGCUCGACCUGCGAUCCCUGUUGUCCAAAGGAAACCCCUUCAGCUAUGAAAUCUGCCAAUGCUUGGGCCUUAAUGGCCGUGCGAGGAUGGUAGCUGAGAUCGUACUCGGACAGCUCCACAGCCCAUCUUACCAUUCUUCCUGAUGCAUCAGGCUUUGAAAGGAUUUGCUUGAGAGGCUGAUCGGUCAUAACGACCACGGGAUGAGCUUGAAAAUACGACCUGAGCUUCCGGGCCGCGUGAACUAAUGCCAAAACAUACUGCUCAACCGAGGUGUACCUUGGCUCCGCGCCCUACAGAGCUCGGCUGACAUAGUAUACGGGCCUCUGAAUUUUGCCUUCUUCCCGAACUAGUACCGCACUGAUUGCCUCCUCCCCCGCGGCCAGAUAAAUAAACAAGGUCUCUCCUUGUGCGGGAGAGGUCAAGGCCGGCAACCGAGCGAUGUGGGCUUUUAGUUCGUCAAACGCUCGUUGGCAUUCGGGUGUCCACUCAAACUGGGGGCCUCUUCGCAGUGCUCUGAAGAAGGGGGAACCCCGAACUGCAGAUUUCGACAAGAACCUGUUCAGGGCAGCCAUCCUGCCAGCUAGCCGUUGGACCUCUUUUAUAUUUCGAGGUGGAGCCAUGUCCAUUAUAGCUUUUAUCUUGUCGGGAUUAGCUCUUACUCCGUCCUUGGAUAUCAUCUACCCAAGGAACUUGCCCGACCUGACCCCAAAAGUGCAUUUCUUGGGAUUCAGCCGCAUCCGCGAGCUCCGCAGGACGUUGAAGAUCUCCCUGAGGUCGCUAAUGAACUGCUCCUGAGUUCGGCUUUUUACCAGCAUGUCAUCUACGUAUACCUCCAUGUUUCGGCCGAUCUGGUUCCUGAACAUCUUGUUGACCAGUCGCUGAUAGGUCGCGCCAGCGUUCUUCAAUCCAAAUGGCAUGGUGGUAUAACAAUACGUGCCGUAUUCGGUGAUGAAGGCAGUCUUCUCUUGAUCCUUCUCGUCCAGAGCUAUCUGGUGAUACCCUUUGAAGGCAUCCAAAAAGCAGAAAAUCUCGUAUCCAGUAGUUGAGUCGACCAGCUGGUCGAUGCAGGGGAGGGGGUAACAGUCCUUCGGACAAGCUUUAUUCAGAUCGGUGAAGUCCACGCACAUCCGCCAAGCUCUGUCUUCCUUUUUCACCAACACAGGGUUAGCCAGCCAGGUCGGAUAGUAGAUCUCUUUCACAAUUCUGGCUUCCAACAGCUUGCCUACCUCCUCCUUGACGACCUCGUUGCGCUCAGGAGCGAAGUUUCUCUUCUUUUGCUUCACUGGCCGGAGGCUCGGGUCGACGUGCAACUUGUGAACUGCCAGCUCGGGAGGAACUCCGGGCAUGUCGUCAGCACUCCAAGCAAAGAUCUCAGCGUAUUCCUCCAGUAGAGACUCCAGAGCUCUCCGUGUCGGCUCGCUUAGGCCAGCUCCGGCCCUCACCACGCGAUCGGGUCGCUCGGUGCAGAUGGGCAAUUCGACCAGACUCUCAUCUGUCUCCAUCCUUUCCUCCUUUUCAGCAGGCUCCCAGGGUUCCAAACAGGUUGUCUGGGCCACCAUCUUCUCCUUACCUUUGAGGGUUGCGAUGUAACAGGCCCGAGCUACCUCCGGGUCUCCCAGCACCUCGGCCACUCCAUCGGGCGUGGGGAACUUCAUGCUAAGGUGCAAAGUCGAACAGACAGCUCGGAGCACGUUUAGGGUUGGUCGCCCAAGUAUCAUAUUGUAGGAGGAUGGCUCCUUUACCACCGCGAUAUUCACCGGGACAGUUCGGCACUUCGGCUACUCCCCUACAGUGACCAUGAGGGUUAUCAUUCCCUCGGGCCUUACCGGCGGACCUGCAAAACCUAUUAAAGGAGUUCGGACGAGGAUGAGCUGCUUAUCUUCCAGCUGCAACUCUUUGAAGGUUUUGUAGUAUAGCACAUCGAUGGCACUCCCAUUGUCGAUGUAUACCUUCUUUACCUUGUAGUUACACGUGAUGACCUCUAUUACAAUCGCUUCAUGGUUAUUGGAGGCUAGGGGUACCGCGUCCUCCGGCCCAUAGAUGAUCUCUUCGUACAUCUUUAAACGCUUGUUAGAGCUUUCCCCACUGGGGGAAGGCCGGUUGUUUCGCCGAGCCGUAUGACUGUCUCCCCCACAGGUCCCCCUGCGAUAGUGUUGAUUACCCCAGCUAGAUUCUGAACCCCCUGCUCCGGAGUUCGAUCACGGGGACCCGAGGUCGGUCGCGCGAGCUAGUCGCCCGUUCUCGGUUGAACCCCCCUUGCUUUUGAUCGGCUCAGCCGUCACGGAUGAACUGCCCGAGGUGGCCUCUCCGUAUCAGCUUUUCAAUCUCCUUCUUGAGGUGUCUGCAAUCCUCAGUAUCGUGCCCGACGUCCCUGUGGUAAGCACAGUACAAACCCUGGUCGCGCUGGUUUUUGUCCCCAGCCAGUGGCCGAGGAGGGCGCAAGAUCCCCUGUUGUUCCAUUACGGCGAGAACCGAGCUCGGGGCGCGGUGAGCGAAGUCCAAGCCUUUUCCUUCUCCCAAGGUCGGCUCCGAGGUAAGCGCUCGGGUACGCUCUUCCGUGCCUGACCUGGUCGCGACUCUCCCAGGUCGGCACCCCUCCUGCGCUUGUCGUCACGCAGCUUCUCCUGAGCGCCUUUCAAUCGGUUGGCCUCCUCGGCAUUCGCCUUCUCGUGAGCUCGGUCUAGCAUCUCCCGAACGGACUUGGGAGGUUUUUCCACGAACUCCGUAUACAGCUUCUGCUUGCGCAGCCCAUUGACAAAGGCAGCCAUCACAACCUUGUCAUCCCGAUCCCGUACCUGGAGGGAUUCGUUGUUGAAGCGCACCAUGUACUCGCGCAAUGACUCCUCGGGCCCUUGAUGAACAGUCAUCAGAUGAGCCGUGGUUUUGGAAAAAGCACGCGAGGAGACGAACUGAGCCACGAACAACCGCGCGAGCUGGCCGAACGACCUAACCGACCUGGGGGGCAACCCCUGGAACCACUGCCGGGCCUUUCCUUCCAGGAACAUCGGAAAGGUCUUGCACCUGACCGCGUCAGCAGCUGUCUGCAGGCGCAUCUGAGUCAGGAACGCGAACAGGUGAUCUUCCGGAUCCGUGGUCACGUCGUAAGACUUCAUGGACGGUAUUUUGAACUUUGCGGGCAGGGGAUAGUCUUCGAUAUCCGGUACGAAGGGCGAGGCUGUGUACCUGUCCGACUCCGGAUCCAGCAUGAGGUCCAGUUCGUCCUGGAUCUGGUAUUCCUCCUUCCUGCGGGGAACCUCCACCCGCGAGGGCCUCGGGACAGGCUCCGGAUGGCUAGUUCGGGAGUUCCUGUGAGAGGGCUCGGGAACCUGGACCUGCUCACGCGUGAGCUCCUUUCGUGCCCUCUUCGGCCGAGGGACAGGGCUCCCUGAUCGGGAUUCCGAACUCCCUGUUCCGUCAGCUUUUCGCGCCCGGGGCUCCGGACUGGGGGGGACUCCGGAUUGCUCCUUCAGGUAUUUCACAAUGGCCUCGAAGGUGGGCAAGUUCGCCGCUACGGACUGCACCAGCUGUUCUGGCGAGAUCCGUGAGAGCUCAAUCCUCUCAUUUCCCACGAUGGUAUCCUGGUGGACGUGCUGAGGGUCGCCCUGCCCGUUUCCCUCAGAACCAUCCACAUUUUUCUGAGAUCUAGUCUUCGGCAUGUUGUUCGCGAAAGAGAAGAGAAUACGUUUCCCACAGACGGCGCCAAUUGAUGCGACUGCCGAAGUAAAGAUCCGAACUGAACUGGGUCUGGAGAGCGAGCUGGUGAGGCGCCCGACCUGCACGUGAACGAGCUGCGGGCUAAGUCCCCUGUAGCAACUCCGACGAUCAAGUCAGAAUGAAUUCGUAAGUUACCGAGUGGAAUUUGCACUAUGAAUAGCGUACCUUGUGUUUCCCCUUCGUGUGGUAUUUAUAGAGCCUCAGGUUGUAGUUUCCUGGUAGGACAAGGAGUCCUUAUUGGAGAGAGUUGGUUCCUAGGGCUCCAUGACCCAGAUCUGAAGACGCGGACUCCGCGGCCCAUCAGACCUCUUUGCCCGAGAGGCGGCGCCCACAAGGGCCAGCGAGCCGACCUGACACUCCGGCCCAGCUCCUCCAGUCCGAGCUCAUGGGCCAGAUUGACGUGUGUGCGGACCUGGCCGACGUGCUCCUGGGCCCCACUACAAUUGCAUAUGAACAGUAUAUGUCUAAGCCAUUUGAGACAUGGAGGUAUGUAACUGAUUACAUAAGCUUCAUGGAUCUUCUCAUAGAUUCACCGUCCGACGUUGAAAAGCUUCGCAACCGUGACAUCAUCAGGCAUGGGUUAGGCAGUGAUAAAGCAGUCUCUAAAAUGUUCAACAAGUUAAGCAGUGAUGUUUCUAUUGAAGUUCCUUUCUGUUACCACGAAGUUUUUGAGGACAUGAGGAAGUACUCCCGCAACCGCAGCCGUACUUGGUGGGCAAACCUCAUGCGGAAUUAUUUUCAUAACCCGUGGUCAAUCAUUUCAUGUCUGGCUGCAUGCGUUUUGAUUCUUCUCGCAUUGGUGCAGACCAUAUUUUCCAUCCUACACUAGACUUUGACUUAAUGAAAUUAAAGUGAGCUAGUUGUGCUUGUUUUGUAAUUUGUUAGUCAUUGUACUUAAAUACCAACAACAUCAUUUUAUUUGUGUUCCGAUUGAUAAAAAAUUCUUGAUGUAAAAGAACUUUCCUGUCUUGGAUAUUACAUGAACUCCUAAAUGCAUGUUCUGCUAAUAAUGAACAUGAUCUCUUCUGUAUUAUGAUCUACUACUGAACAUUAAAAUAGCAAUGCCCCGUCGGGGUCAUUGAUUCAUUUUAGUCAACCUGACAAUUUUUAUGAACAUGGAUCUGUCUACACAUGUAUUUGUAUGUCUGUGUCAAGUAUAACCACAGUACGAGGCUAACUUUGAGUGUUACAUGGCACCGGUUCGAUCUUAGUGAGAGUACUACUAAAUGCAUGCAAAGGCUGGCGAUGAGAACUCAAUGAAGCACGAAAAUUAAGUGCACAAGAUUUUAAGCAAACUGCAAAGAAAGAAUUAAAAAAAUGAAGCUUUAGCAUUCAUCUGGCAAAAAUCCUUGGCAUACUAUCAUAUAUAAUAGCAGUUAGAUACCAGUUGAUUGAAAUGCUAACAAAAAAGUGUACUCAAAACAUAUAGUUUUACAGGAUCUAAUUGUUACUCCUGUGAUUUAAAGAAGACAAUAGAGAAAAGGCUCAGUUGAUUUUCAAACAAAGAAAACCCGGAAGAACAAUUUAUUGGGAAAAUAGUUAUAAACACGAAUUGCUUGUUACUUAUGGUUCCCGAAAUCUUGUCUAAUUAGCCACUGCAUCCACAUUGGCUAGAAUGCUAAGUAAGGCAUAAAGACUGAAAGAAAAAGAGAAAAAAAAAGAAGCAGUACAAUAAGUAAAUCUGUCGUGCUUGCUGGUACCAAAAUUAAGUACAUAUGUAAAUUUUAAGUAGUUCUUGGUUGUAAAUGUGAAGGCUUUAUCUAAGAAAUGUUGUCUCCAACGUUCCGACCUUUCUCAUGUUUGUCACUUCGCGAAGCACAGCAUAUGCUAAGGAAUAAGGGCUGAGACAUGUCUACUUUUUUAAAGAAAUAGAGGGCUUAAACAUUGGCUGUUCUCUUCUCUUCUCUUCUCCUCUUUAUUGCGCUCAGUCACUCACUAUUUUCCCUCCACAAAGAAAAAAUUGCUAGCCAUCUAAAGUUUAGUGGAAAAGAACAGCUAUGAACUCAUAUCUCAAAAUUCUAGAAAAUUAAAAUGUUUAAGAAUUUGUAGAUCCUAUCUAAAUGAACAUCUUGAAGUACAGAUUAUCUUCUGCUGAGUACAUUAAUAAGUUCAAAGGAACUUUCUAUAGGUUUUUAUACAUUGGACUAUUGGAGAAAAGAACAAAGGGGCUAAAUUAUUAAUUAAGUUAUUUUUCAACUAUUUAAAUUGGUAUACCAAAAACAAAAAAAAAAUUUAUUCUUCAUCGACUAUAAGAUAAAAGCAAAUGUGUCAAUAAACCACUCUUUAAUUUUCUUUUUUAAUUUUUAGUAUCUUUUCCUAUAUAAAGUUAGACGUAUGCCACUAGACUAAUAUAUCCAAAAGGUGGCAACAUGGCUGGUAUGAUGUGGUCUUACAAAAAUAAAAGUAAAAAAAUAAUAAAAAAAAUAAUAAAAAAAUAAUAAUAGUAUAAAUUGGACUACCUAUGAGCUUCCCAUCCCAAAGGACUAAUAGCUUGUGAUACAACUUCCACCUGCUUUCUCCAGCUUUUUGUUUCUAUUUCUGAUCAAGAUUGCUACACGUGAGACUCUCCUCUUGCCCAGGUAAAUUUUUUGACAGGUUGUCGAAGCCUGUGCAAUAAUAAAACCUGCUCAAACUAAAAGUAAUUUCAGUAGAUAGUGGUGAGCAGGGUCAAAUUCACAGGGAUUGGGAGUAAUUAUUUCUUUUCAAAUUCACAGUGACAAGGGGGUGUUUUUAUGCAGAAGGUGACAAUAAAAGAAGUUCAAAUAAAAUCUAAGAAACUACUAAAAAUUAAACAACAAAUUACUAAAAUCAAAUGAAUGAUAAUUAAGGAUCUAGCCAAGGAAUAACUUCAGCAAUGGUUCACCUAGUUGAUCAUUGAAGCAAAGGCAAUUCCAAUUAUUCAUCAAUAAAUAGGUUAUAACUACCAAACAAGCGAUGGCAGUCAACCCCUCCUUACUGUGUCGGUGAUCAAGGUACGCCCGUUAAUCACUGCUCUAAUUGAGAAAUAAUCCUAGGUACGCCCGUAGAAUUUAAUUCCCCAAUUGCCUUACAUAUUAGAGGAGCCCUAUUCUAACCAAAUAACGCACUACCAGGGUUAUUUUAGAUUAGCCCGCGUAUUCCCCUGACACAAAUCUAAUCAUGCCAGUUGUCACUAUUUUGAGGUAAUUAAACAAUUACGGAUUUAACACCUUAAUUGACAAUAGAUUAUCCAAUCAACUAAUUAUCUGGAUCCAAAAUAAUUAAUUAAUUAAAUAAUCAUAAACAUAGCAAUUAAGAAAUAUGCGAAUACCAAUAAAUAAAAGAAAAAGAUAAAAUUAAAUCGAUCUCACAAUUUUAGGCGAUCCAAAGCAUCCAUUGUCCCUUGACUAGGGAAAGAAAAUUUAGUUCAUGUUUGAUGAACAAAACCCGUAGGAAAGUGAAGAAACGAUCCCAACCAUUAUUCUUGUUCACGAGACUUCACCUUGAUCGACUGAAUAAAGAAAAGCUUGGAAAACAAUGAUUGAUUCAAUUCUUCAAAGAGUCCCUGUCACGCGUGGACUGAAGCUUCCUAAGAGACAAAAGAAAGGUCAAAGCUCUCUAAGAAAGCUCCUCACCUACGUGAACUGGAGCUAAAGCUAAACACUAGUCUAACUACUAUGCUACAGGACGAAAAGAGAAAAAGGUAAUGCCCUCUCUCUGCAAUUACAAUUUGCCUGUUCUAAUCCUUCGCUCUCCUGUGCGGCGGCUCCCCUUCCGGAGAGGAAGAAGAAGACCCCCGCUUCAGCACUUCGUUCCUCCUUUUAAUGUUGCCCUCUGCGAAUUACCAAAAAGAACUUGUAUCUCCUUGUUCCAAAAAUGUCCUGGAUGCCUGCUACUUGAACUCUUUCCUGAUAACUGUCAAAUCGGCACUUAUUAUGAUAUUUUCGUUCUACUCCCUGAAAUAUGUGUAAAAUACUAAAAGUGAGUAGAAUCUAAUAAUUAAUUCACAUUGAGUUAAGUAAUAGGGAAAUUAAUAGUAAAAUAAAUGAUAAAAUUGCAACAUAUCAUUUUUCAAGUAUUUCCCUUGAUAAGUGACUAAUUUACGUAAUAAUUGUAUGAUAUCACUUUGGUUACAUUAUUGGAAGAAAAUGAUUCAUUUUGGCUAUAAUUGGUGUAAAAUGCUUUUGUUCAAUUAAAUGAGGUUUUUAUCACUUUUUACUUGGAUUUUGUGUAUUUUGAUAGUUUUGACACAUUUUCAUAUUUCGGCUAUAACUUGAACUCCAAUGAUCGGAGUGCUCGUGUUUUUUACUCUCAAGUCAAGAUUAAUUGUAAUUUUCCUCUUCAAAAGUCUAUGGCUGCUAAUUAAGCCGUGUUAUAAAUAUAUCCUGAUAUUAAUUCUCCAUUUUUCAUUACGCAGAUUGAACAUUUAAUUUGCCAUUUUACCAGCCAUGACUUUAUGAUAUUCUUACAAUCUUAAACUUAGUACUGGAUUUUCAAAUCUGGAAAAGUUGGAACUUUUGUGUUAUGACACGUUAGAACUAACUUUGUUACAGCAUUUAUUCAUGCUAAUUUUGAUAAAUAAGGAAUUCAAAUUAUUCUGCGAUAUUUGAUGAAAGUUCAUAUUAUGUUAAUUCAAGAAAUAGACCAAGACAUCUUCCUUUAGCUCCCUAAAAAUCAUUUAGAGUGUUAUGUAUGAUUUGAUAGGAUCCAUUUAAUUUUAUUUUCUCCAAAAAUAUUUUUUUUAGCAAAUGUACUUCAAGUCAUACCUUUCUCUUGGCUAAUAUCCUUAAACAUGGGUCUUUAAGCUACAUUUUUUUACACUUUUUUUAACCCUUUUUCUUUCUCAAUUUUACUGUAUUGUUUAAAAGAAUUAUGAUUAAAAAAAUUCAAGGACAGCUGAAAAGAAUAAGCGCCCCAGCACAACGCGCGGUUACCCCUAGAUUUAAACACAUGAACAACCUAGGAUUGACAUUAAAACCAUUAAAAGAUAGUUUUUUCUUUUAACUGAAAUAGCAUUAUUGUUCAUUUGCACCACCAUUAAUAGCAAAAAAGAAAAACUUAUGAAACUCACUGAAACGGAAAAUUAAGUCAUAAAAGCACAUAAAGGAGAACAAUUAAUUAAUGAUAACACCGAAAAAUUAACUAAUUCAGGUGACAUGAAAGAGAACGUUCGAAAUCCAUCAAAUAGACAGAGACUUUUUACCCACUUUAUACACUUCAUCCAUAAAAUGACAAACAAUCUAAUGUUAACUUCUCUACAACAAUUUCUACUCUCUUGGACACGAAAAAGAAGAAGGACAGUAAAAAAAAGUGAUUGCAGGUACCAAUCUUAUGCAUACUUUUCUUUUCUUUUCUUUUUUUUUUUUUGGGGUCUGGAGGGUAAGGGGUAUCUUGGAAUCACCGAUUCUGAUCCCCCAGGCUGAACAGAGUUCACCCCAUAGAUGACUAACAACAGUAGCACGUGGGGGUCGAAUCUGAGAUCUUGUUAUAACUAUAAACGACUAGUUACAACUGAGCUACCCAUGAGGGGCUUAUGCAUACUUUUCUAAAAUUGAUAUUUUGGUGAACCAUUCUAUAUAUCCUCUGAUAUUCAUCUAUUUUAGAUAUUAUAUUUAUACUCAGGGCCUUUACUUUGAAUCUUUUUUAAUUUUUUUUACUAAUCAAACAGUUGCAGUUUUUUCCCAUUCAUCUAUUUUCGGCUCCUAUGGAAACAUCACAGAAUCAGUUGAUAAGCUCAUUAAGGCCUGAUGAGAAAAUGUGGAUGCGUAGAGUCUUGCUAUUACUGAAAUUUGGCAUCGAGGCGUAUAUCGGUAAACAAAAAUCUGGAAAUCUUCAGAAGUUAAUUUUCCUAGACAGGCAGGUAAAAAAUCAUAAACUUUCACAUUUACUAUUGAAUCUAUAUUUUGCACAUUAUUUCAAGAAAAAUUCAAAAGGCAUAUAAAAAUUCAAGCUAUUAUGUUUGAUGACAUCAAGGAAAACUGUUCCUGUUCCUUAUAGGAAUCAACAUAAAAUGAGGACUUUCCUCCAUCUCUCUGUCUCAACCAUUUGGUCGUCACCUUCCUUUCCUCCUCUUCUAGCUAUCCUUAAUUUCCCCUCAAAUCCCAAAUUAAUUAUCUUCUCUAGGUUAUUAUGUCCUUCAUAACCAGAGCUACAAUCUUUGAAUGGCUAACUUGUAUCUCCCCAUUUUUAUUUUUUACUUUUUUCUGUCUUCUGAAAAUAAUAUUCAAUUAUCUAGACAUGUACUGCACAUAGAAGAUUAAGCAACUACGGUGAUGAUUAAAGGGAUAAUUGAUUAUGCUUGCUGGUGGUGGAUGGCUUGAGAUUUAGAUUUUUGUAAAGCUAAAUCAUGAACAUGAGUAAAAUGGUUGCUAAAGCUCACUGGUCAUCUGUCAGUAUAGUUUAUCAUCAAUGAGUUCGGUUGGCUUUCUUGUAAGUUGAUUCAAUUGCUUAUUGGAUAUGAAUAUUUUUCAUGUAAAAAGUGACUUUGAAUUUAUUAGUCUACUCAGCAGGAGAUAAUCUGUAAUUCAAGAUUUCAUUCGAUAGGAUACAAAUUCUUAAACAUUUUAUUUUUCCAGAAUUUUGAGAUAUGAGUUACAGCCACGGAUUUAAGGGGGGGCUGGUGGAGGCUUAAGCCCCCCCCAAGCCGCCGGAAAACCCCCUAUAUAUAGGGGAUUCCGGCGGCCAGCCCAGCCCCCCCACGGUGAUCCAGAUCUACCAUCCUCCAUGGCUCCAUGAAUGCUGCAGAGGAAGUGAAGAAGAGCUGGAAAGCCGCUGCCGUGCUGACUGCUGAGGAAGAAGAUGACCCAUUUCAUUUUGAAUUUUUUUUUUUUGCCCUCUAAAUACAAAACGACGUCGUUUCACUUUUAGUGGAACGACGUCGUUUUGUAUAAUGAGGGGAAAAAAAAAAUACAUCAGAUGAAGCCCUAACUCCUAAGGCUUCAUCUGAUGCAAAAGCACGCCGCCAGUGCCAAAGGGCAAACAAGACUCCAACUCCAAGAAGAAGACGCCAGGCUCCAAGAACUCCAAGAAGCUUCAGUUGAGAUUCUACCAUCCUGCUUCAAGCCUUCAAUUCAAGGCUCCAAGACUCCAACUCUCCACCAUUCCAUUCACAUAAAUCUUUUAGGUUAGUUUUUUGGUUUAAAUUACAAUAUUCAUCUUUAUAUUUUUGUUAAUUAUAUGUUUAAAUUAUUUUUGAAUUUUGAGUAUCUUGAUAUUAAUUUGAUUAAGAUUAAUUUUUAUUUAGUUUAUGUUAAUGUAAUUUAAGAAUUUGAAAGAUUACAUUAAAAAAUUUAAUGAUAUUAAAUUUAAAUUAGAAAUUAGUUUAGAAAUUGUAUAGAUUUUAGGUUGUAUUUAGUUUUUAAAAUUUUGUUAGUUUUAUAUUUGAAAUUUUAAGAAUUAAUUAUGUGAAUUAGAAAUUUUGAAUGUAAAUAUAAAUUCAAAAUUUUAUGAGAUUGAAUUAGAGAUUAUAUGGGUAUUUAGUUGUACCUUAUUUUAACUUUUUGAUAAUUUUAUAUAAUGAAUUUUAUAAAUUGAGAAAUAUAAGUAAUAUGAAUUUAUUAUUAAAUUAAAGAAUUAUUUAUAUGAAUUUUAAAUUAAUUGAUUAUUGAAUUGCAUAAUUUUAUUGAAUUUAACCACAAUUAUUUAAUUGUGACAGAAAAUGGAGAGAUUCUUUAAACCUAAACGAGUCCGUAGUGGUGAAUCUUCAAAUGAGCCUAAUAUUAGUGAACCAGUUCAAAAUCAAUCUUGUGUGGAAUUGAAUUUAAAUGAUAUUGUUAGUGAUCCGGGAUUACGAAAAUCAGUUGAGAAAUUUGAUAUUUCUCUUCGAGACCAUGUCCGAAGAGAGUAUUUGACUAGGGGACCUUGCCAACCGAUUGGCCAUAUGUAUCCAAAAACAUCAUUUGGUAAACAACAUAGAAGUUUCCAAGAUAGUUGGUAUCAAAAGUUUGUAUGGUUAGAGUAUAGCAUAUCGAAAGAUGCGGCGUUUUGCUUUUGGUGCUUUCUUUUCAAAACACAAAAUAAGGGAGGUCGAUAUGCAGAGGAUGCCUUUACAAAAACGGGAUUCAAUAAUUGGAAAAAGGCAAUGGAAAGAUUUAAUGAACAUAUUGGAGCUGUGAAUAGUUGCCAUAAUGAUGCUAGAAUACAGUUUGAAAGUUUUCAAGAUCAAAGGCAUAGUGUGUCAAAUGUGCUACGAUCUUGUGGGCGCGAAAUAGAUAUUGCAUAUCGCACCCGUUUAACUGCUGCUCUGGAUGUGACCCGCUUUCUUUUGAAGCAAGGAUUGGCUUUUCGUGGAAAUGAUGAGUCAACUAGUUCUUCAAAUAGAGGCAAUUUUCUUGAAUUGUUUGAGUGGUAUAGCCAACGAAAUACUGAGAUUUUUGAGGUUGUAAAUCAAAAUGCUCCUGCAAAUAAUCAACUAACUUCUCCAAUGAUUCAAAAAGAUCUGGCACAUGCUUGUGCCUCAGAGAUCACAAGUGUUAUAAUCAAUGAUAUUGGAGACAAUUAUUUUUCCCUAAUAGUUGAUGAGUCUCGAGACAGUUCAGUGAAAGAGCAAAUGGGAGUUGUUUUGAGAUAUGUGAACAAAGAAGGGCGUGUGAUUAAACGUUUCCUUGCAAUUGUACAUGUGUCUGACACCACAUCUCUUUGUUUGAAAGAUGCAAUUGUACAUGUGUCACAAAAAAAAUUUUUUAAUACACUUCAACCCCCCCAAAAAUAAAUUUCUGGCUCCGUCCCUGCAAAUAGACAUUGCAUAUAUGUACAUAUAGAAACAUAGAUUCAAUAUACGUAUAUAAAUUAUACUCCCUCCAUUCCAAUGUGAUAAAUAACAAAAAGUGGUGCUCAAAUCAAUGUUUCGUUUGGUUUAUUUCAUUUCCAACAAACUUUUUUCCACUCGUAAUAAAUUUCAAUCAUAUCUUUGCUAUCCAUAUAUAGUAACUAUGCCCAGUGAUGUUAUAAUUGUUAGAUUCAUAAGUUUAUUAACUUUUUCAGAAAUUGAAUAUUCGAUUACGAGAAAAGAAGAUGUUGCAUUUUUUUUGUAAUAGAGCACUUAGUUUUGUUUAGCUCUAGCUGUAUAACAACACCAAAAAAUCUAAUUACUAUCUCAAACAAUACUGGCUAAUUUUUACAAAACUUAUCGAAUUAUAAUCCACUAAGGUAUAAAAUUUACUGAAUCAGAAAUGAUUCUCGCUAACUGCAUUCUUGGAUGUUCCACGACCUUUCCGGGAGCCAUGAUUCAGAAUAGACCUUAUUGGUAAAUGAGUCGGUUAUCGGACUCUGUCAAGUGCCAUUUACCAAGUCUUAAAGGUUAGUGUAUUAGACAAAAAUAUAUUUGUUGAGAAAUCAGCAAAUUGAUGCCUUAGAAAUCUGAAUUUCAGGUAUGCAAGAGAUUUAACAUUGUGGACAUUGGGAACUUGCUGGCAAUGUAAAGGCCUACUCGAAAUGCAAAUGUUGGUGGCUUUCCCAUGCUUCUAACUCUAAGUAGCUACCGUUGGGAAACUUGUACCUGAUGCUGAACCCUCACAGCCAAAUUUGUUUGUUCAUGGAUUUGACACUAUUUUUUUUUAUAAUUUGUUUUCCUAACGGGGGAGGGAUGGGAUUAAGAAGCGGCGAGGGAGUUAAGGGAUUAGAACUUAGAAUUUCUACUUUUUGGGAUCUCAAUCUUGGAUUUGACACUAUUUACUUGUCCUAAACAAUAAGCAAAAUUACGGUGCCUUAGAAACAUGAAUCUAAAUAUAUAGCACCGUGUCAAUAUAUGAAUUUUGGGAUAAUUUCAGAAACCUCCUCUUAUAAUAUCACUUAGCUCCCCUGAAGUUUUUAAAAUUUCACUUACCUCCUUUGUCAAGUUGACAAGACUAAAUAUUCCUAUGAAAGGUCACAAAUUGACAAUAUUACCAUUGCUCUUAAUAACCAUUUAACCAAAAAGCCAAAACAAAAUAAAAUUUUAAAAGCAAAAAAUGUAAAUUAAAAAAACACAUUGCUAGCUAAUAAUGGUCCAUAUUUCUUUGUAUUGGAGUCAUGGUGGAAUAGCAAAGGACAUGAAUAAAUUAAAUCUAAUCAAGAUUUCGUGCACAGUUACAAUUAAGGAAGUCAAGAUAUUUUUUGAGGAAAUAUGUUUUAAUUCAUGGUGUAGUUUAAGUUGUAUUAGAAACUAAAAUAAUCUCUUCAUAUGUGUGAAUUUUUCAAGGUGUAAAUUUUGCUUUUGUUUCAAUACAACUAAAAUAAAUAGUUUACGUUAAAAAAUUUAACCUUAUUUUAUUUUUUAUUGCUUUAUAAAUUUCAUAAGUAGGAUAAUAUAAGGGUAGUAUUGGAACAAAAGUUUUAUCUUUUUUGCAUUUCCUCCAAAGGGGUUACAAUGUUACAAGAAAUGUCAAUCCAAGAAAGGUAAGUGAGAUUUUAAAAAUCUCAGGGGAGCUGAAUGAUAUUAUAAGAAACCUUAGGGGAGGUUUCUGAAAUUAUCCCAGGAAUUUUUCAACUCAUUAUAUUAAUUUGCUGCGAAUUUCCGCGUCUCUGAUUUCUUGUGAACAUGCAUACUAAAUGCAUGCUAUCUGAUUUCUUCCAAAUGGUUUUCUAUUUUUUUUUCCCCAUCUCGGUUUGAUUUGCAUUCCAUCGGAGAUGCAUCCCAUCUGCUUCUAAACAACCAUUAUUCAUUAAUUUGACCUUAAUGAAUCAAAUACCUUCUAUUUAAAAAAUAAACGCGUAAUAGAAAUCAGAAGAUCAUAAACUAAUCUAAUGAUAAUUGCAUAAUUCUUGGAGCCAUGUAACGCUAUGCAUAAAUUUUUUUUUUUUUUUGUUUUGGUGGCACAAAAGUAGUGUAAUACUAUUAUUGAGUUCAGUCAGUUGCCUUGCUAGUUUUUAACCAUAGUCACGGCAGGACUCGCGAUCUAACUUGAUUCAACUCUUUCCUUUAUGUUCUUGGGAUGACUCUUCCAUCAGGGUCCUAAAUAGUUUUUUUUUUUUUGUAAUGAAAGGAAAUUGGGUCCUAGAUAGCUUUAUUAUUUGUUAACUUACAUCAGGCUUCUUAAGAUGCAUUUUCUAAUUAAGUGAGACUGAAAAAUGUUCUAACAAGUGGACUAAUAAAUCAUUUUGUGACGACAUGGAAUUAGAAGAUCAUCUUGUCCUUUUUCCGGUGGACCGACAAAAUGCUAGCUUCAAAUUAGGACUAGGUUUUUCUUGAAAAGGACUAGGUUUGGGAUUGGGGCCAAAGAUAUUACUUAACCAAGUAAACAUUCCCCUACCUAGAAUAUAUGUCGCUUUAAAAGACCAAGACAAACAUGCAAGACGUUCUUUCAUAAUAUGCUGGCCCGACGAAGUUCGUCAAAGUUCCUCUGUCUUAACCCUUAAUAUUUACGAAUUAUCCCACACGAGGGUAGGCAAUUAAAUGGUGGACAGAUAUUACAAGCUAAGUUAUGCCUUAAACAUGUAAACUACCAAUCAGUCACAAAUGUUACCCAAAAAAAAAAGGGAAAAACAAAAGGUUUGCAUGGAAAAGCAAAAAAGCAAAGACAUACAAUUGUUUAUUAUCCUAUCAAUCUUUUUUAACAUUCCAUAUUACUUUAUAAACUUUUAAUGAUCAAAGACCAUAAGGCAAGAUAAGCCAAGAGCAAAUGCAAAUGAUUGCACUGAGUACUCGACUUUAGUCACCAUGAGAGUUUUUACAAAAACCCAAGCCUUUACUUUGAGAGUCUUGAAGCAUUCCAACUUUAGCACAGCAUAAGACAAAAUCAAACACAAAAGAUUCCUCUAUUUAACUGUUUUUAACUUUAAGAUUCUUGAAGUAUUGUACUUGAGUCAGAAGCUUAAGAUAAGGAUAAAAAAAAAACAUGAACACUACAACGUCGAAAUUGCGAGCGAGUAUAUAUAUAUAUAGGGCAGUUGUGAUUGCUAGCUAGAGGAAAUAUAGGAGCUCAAAACCACGCAUUGGUAACAGGUUAGAGUUUUCUUCUUCUCCUCUAGGCAUAUAAUCAUAUUCUUCCCUUUUUAUUCGAUGCAACAUCUUAAAUGCAUAUAUAGCUGUACAAAUAUAUUUUAGCCUGCUCCAAAUUCGUAGAGAAAUAAGGAUCACGGUAAUGGGUGAAAUUUGCAAUCAAUCUAGUUGACGAGGAAGAAGAAAGUAGCUAGUCGAUUUGGUUUCCAUAUAUAAGUCACCUCUAAUUAACUAAAAUCGUGUUGAUUUUGUUUAGUUCUGCACGUGUAUAGCCAAUGUUGAUUAAUUAGUCACUUGUCAAAAGUACUAACUAAUCUCAUCACCGAUCAUAUACGUGUAAGUUGGAUCACCAACGACCAACUAAAUUGCUUGUUAAACUUAAUUAUUAAUCUAAAACAACGGUACUGAUGAUUUUUUCCUUAAUUUCAGCAAGAGAUCGAUUGUAUUACUCAACACAAACAAAGAUCAUGUCCACCGACGCCACAACUGCCCGAAUUUCUAAUUGUAUCCGUGAAAAGCUUUCUGGGCUAUCAGAUACUGACAUUAGGGCGGCAUCAAAUGAGCGAUGCAUAUUCAAGGUCCGUGAGAGAAUACAAAGUCAAAUCGAAGGGCCAUAUGAACCACAAAUGGUUUCAAUCGGACCUUAUCACCGCGGUAAGCCGGGGUUGCAAUUAAUGGAAAAGUAAAAGCUGAUUUACUUGAAACAGCUUCUUCAGCGUGAGGGAAAUCUACAGAUUUGCGUUGCGGCCAUGGCAAAUCUUGAAGGAGUAGCUCAGAGGUGGUACUCCGAUGAAAGGAUCAGUCAUGAUGGUGACGACGGCUUUGUGGAGAUGAUGCUUCUUGAUGGCUGCUUCAUACUCGAGCUGGUAUGGAAAAUUAAUCACCCCACACAAUCUACAGAUGGCAUUUUAUCGGGCGCACUAUUCAUAGACCUAUUAGGAAUCGAAAAUCAAGUCCCUUUCUUCAUCCUUGUUGAAUUGUUUCACAAGACCAACUCCAACUCUGGUGCCAGCAGCAAAUUUAAUGAUUUGGCUCAGCGUCUAACUGAUUUCGUAAUUCUUUUUUGUGACAGCAAAGAGAAUGAAUAUGUUGUUGAUGAUGGUCAGGUCAUUCAUCUACUUGACCUUGUCUACAAAGCCUGGACCUUUUCGUAUGCUGCAAAAUUUAUUGCUCUUGGUCCAUGGAUUCGGGAGGAUGAUCCUUUCUCACUGUAUCAUAUAACUUCUGCCAGUGAAUUACAAGAAAUUAAUGGGGUUGAGUUCGAAGAUAGUGGGAAAGGACCAUGGCUUGAGAUUAUUUGGGAAAAUGGUGUGGUAAAAAUCCCUCGUUUUAUGGUCCAUGUUGAUACAGAACGUCUGCUCAGAAACUUAAUUCUCUACGAACAGCAUUACACCCGUCAUCAUGAGGGCACGAGGGAGUAUAUAAAUGAUUAUGCAAUAUUCAUGGGAAGUCUCAUAAAUUCUUCUAGGGACGUCGAGGUACUGCGCAACAGUAGAAUUAUUACCAACAAGUUGAAUGAUGAUCAGGCUGUCUCUACCAUGUUUCGUCGGGUGUAUUCAAUGAAGUGGAAAAGUAUGCCAAAAGCCGUUGGCAUAUCUGGUGGACGAAGCUCAGGAGGACCUACUUCAACACCCCCUGGUCCCCCAUUUCAUUUGUUGCUGCAGUUGUUGCGCUUAUCCUCACUUUUCUCCAGACCUUGUAUGCCAUCCGGCCUGCGGAAAAAAAUUAGUAGUAACAAAACUACUAAACGAGUCAUAUCGGCCACAUGCUAAGUGCGUUUGUUUGGUCUGAAUAUUGUUUGUCUUUCUUUUUCAACACAACCUAAAAGACUUUCAUCACCAUCCAUAAGUUGUGCUAUCAGUCAAGUUUCUUGUUAUUUCAGUAUCUCAUGGAGAAGAAAUAAAAAUCGUGUGUGUUUGUUUUGGUUUUGAUGAUAUGUAAUGUUUUUAUUAAUAUAUCUCUGCUUUCACUGUUUCAAUGUCAUCAGUUCGCCUGGCUUGGUAUCAUCAGUUACCCAAUAUGACUUUUUCUAAAGUUAUUUUUAGUUCACAGAUUGUGCAAGUAUCUCUAUUUUGCUGCAUGCAUGGAAAUCAUUUCGAUCAGAGGCAGGAGAAAAUUGAAGAACCCUCAAAAGUUUAUGCACCAGCUCCUUAAUUUUCUAAUGUCUCUAGUUGUUCACUUCUCCAAUAAACAAAUCUUGAUACAAUAAUGCUACACCAAAACCGAAAGCUGAUAUAUACUUUUCUUUUCUUUUUUUUGGAGCAAAGGCUGAUAUCUACUUACAACUCUAAAAAAAGAAGAAUAAUGAAACUACCUAUUUUUUAGAUUUUGUGUUUUGUUUUCCAUAUAAACACAUGCAACCCUAUAACAAAAAAGUAAUCAGUUAGAUGUUUGACAAAUACACGCUUAGUGGGCUAGGUUUUCAAAUACUUUCCCGUCCCACUGAAAGUGUCAUACUUUUCAUUUUGAAAUGUCACGAAAUAUUUGUCAUGUUAAAAAAGUUAGAACACCUUUUAGUUUUUCUUUUCAAUAGAGCUCUUCUUUUUAAUCAUAUGCAUAUUAUCAUUCAAAUUUAAAUUUAAAUUGAAAAAAAAGUACAAACAUCAAAAUCAAAUCACUAUUUUUUAAAAAGUUGGAUUCCCGAAACAUGCCUAAAUAAUUGGGACGGAGGUAAUAAUUGACAUUCAGGGCAACACUGAAAGCGCAAUAUUUGCUAGGAAAAGAAAAAAUAAAUAAACGAAAGCAUUUACAUGUGCGGGAAUACUAAAAAUUAGGACAAAAUAUACCAGUUGGGAAGGUGCAAACUCCAAUUUUCUUUAGACGUAUUUGGAAGUACUCCUACAAAAUAUAUACUAGUUGGGAAGGAAAUCCGACCCGAAUUUAUUUUACCACAAAACACAGUCAACAAAAAACAACAGCCCGUUUUCAAUUUCCAGAGAGAGAGAGAGAGAUCUUAAUUAUAGCAUUUGGAACGGAAACACUUAAAAAAUGAAGAACUAGGCCCACCCCAUUUGUCUCCUUAUUGUCUCUCUGCUAGCCAUGCAACGAAGUCCAAUAUAAAAUGAAAAUUGGAUGUCAAUGACCAAUAACAUAUUAGCGAGAAAUUGAAUGAGUUCAACUGCAUUCUCAUAGUUAAAUUUCCCACUUAACUAAAAAUUACUCCUAAGAAAAUUAAGGCCUUUAUGUAGACCCCAACUUUAAAAAAAAAAAAUCUGACUAAGAGUGUUGCAGUUAUCUUCCUCACAGAUGGCCUUCGCCUAGAAAUCACCCACCCGUACAAGGUUUUUUUUUUGCCUCCUCCACGAAAUUAGAUCAACAAAAGGGGUUGUCCCCUUCUUCCUUAAUCUAUAAACAGGAGAAUAAGAUCGAAGCCAUACUAACAAUGUUUUUCAUUCCUUCCCCCAAAAAAGAAAAGUUUUCAGCAGUUUUUUCUCUUAAAAAUUCUUUAAACUAAAAUCAUGUUGCAUCAUAUUUUUCAUACCUCAAAUGGAUUGUGGAUUCAUUCCAAUUUAAACCCAUCAAUUUGUUUUGUAAUUUUCACUUUUCAGCAGCAGCUUUUGUUUUACAUAUUUAGAGUCAGAAAAGGAUGCCAACUUGAGACAACAGCUACCUGCGUUAGUCUAACGAAAAUGACCAUAUAGAAAUCCAUGCAAAAUAACUAUAUACGCUGCAUAAAACACCAACGAGAAACUUAAACUGUCUCAAAAUGCAAUGGAGAUAGUUGAUAAUCAAAACUCCAUUUAAGCACGAAGAAACCUAGUGAACCGGAAUUAUGAGCAAGCACUUCCAAACUACUUUGAUGCUUGUUGAUUGGUUAGGUUUGCUAAAUGUUCAAGAAGUUAAAUGAACACAAAAAGCUAUGACAUGCCACUAUUAAGAAUGCAAAGCAUAUUUAAGAAUUAACUGAAGCCUUUUCAAAAUUCAUCUAUAUGGGCAGAAAAUCUUUCCAUGUACUCAUACUCAACCAUAAACUCCACGAGACCACAAGGCAGAAUGUUGGUAUCAAGAUAUACCUCACCUACUGAAUGAAGGCUUCUUGAUGCGAUAAGUUACCAUGUGAAAUUAAUUAUUUGUUCACCAGAACUCUGUAAAGUAAUUAAAGUUAACAUUCCAACGCAAAACACGAAAAGUGUUACAUAUAUUCCUAGCGUUGUCUUCCACUGGGCUAUUGGUACAUUCUUUGCUGUGAAAUCAUGAAAAGUGUUUGUAGAGUACAGCACAAACCAAAAUCAAACACACAAUUCCGCUAAUAAUUACUCCCUCCAUUCUAUUCUAUUAAGAUGUGCCAUACUAUAGUCACUUGAUUUCAAAAAAUUAAUUGAAAACUUGGUAGGCCCACUAAAGAAGUUUCUCUCAAAAACAGAGUAAUAUUGGUGCGCAUAAGAUUUCUCUCAAUUUAUAGAAAAACAUUGAGGCCUACUCCUUACUGUCCCUUAGAAGAGUUUGAGUUUAAUGGCUCUCUCUUUUAAAAUGGCCCCACAAAAUAAACAGACUUGACAUGACCUUACAAACUUGCUACCAGGUAUCCGAUUAAAUAAGGAUAAAACUGGAACUCAAACUCGUAAAUUUCAACAACAUUACUAUGCAUAAAGAAUUAGAGUCUCGAAAAGUGCGGAGGGAGUAUUUAACUUUAUUUACCAUGAGUGUCUUUACAAUCUAUUAUAUACUAAAUUCAAAUGCUCAAGAAAAGAAUAAAAUAACAGAAUUGGAAAUCUUGAAGAGUAGGACGUUGCCAAGAAACUUGACUUAAACAAUAUUCUCAAGGAACUGCGAGUCUAUAUACAAGGCAUGCAUGGGCAGUUUUGAUUGCUAGAGUGCAUAGAAAAGUUGAAAGCCUUGGUGCAAGGGCUAACAUGUGCUGACAUUCUUCAGUGUUACUAACAGGUUAGUGUGUGUGUGUGUGUUUAUGUGUGUGUUUAUGUGCAUAACAUGUGCUGACAUCCUGUAAGCAGGUGCUUUUUUUUCGUCUAAACCUAAAUCUUAGUUGCAUGCUGAGAGAUAUAUCUGUUUAAAUAGAUUUUGUUAGCUUAACGGUUUAUCUUCUAUGUUUACGCCAAAAAGUAAAGCUUUCUGUAUAGCCAAUCGAGCCGAGAACUGGCAGAGAUUCUAUGCCAACGGAAAUUUUCAAUUUUCCAUAUAGAAUUUUUUUUUAAACCACCAAGCUUCAGUUCUAUGGCAACCAAAAAGGAAUUAAAUCUAUAAAUUCAAGGUUCCGAGCCCACUUGCGCUGAAAAAAUUCAAAGGAGGUACUAAAACACUCUUUUAAUUUAGUCAGAUCUAUAUAUCUAUUAACCCCUUAUACAGUUUUUUUAGGCCCGCCCUUCUUAUAAAAUAGAAUAGUCUUAUACACUUGUUAGUCUCUUAUACAACAUUUUUAAACCCUCUCUCCUUAUAAAAUAAGAUAGAUUAGAUUAUAGGAAUGUUAUCGUGGCUAGCAAAAAGAAUUUUUUUUUUUAGAAAUUUUAAUUUUAUACCAUCAAUUUUGGUCGGGAUAUAUAAUUUUUUUGAAUUAAUCAAGUACAAAAAGGUUUGAGACUUUGCCUUGUUAAAGCCAACUCAUGAAGUAGGUAUGUUCUUACAUCUUUUUCUCCAACUUCGGUGAGCUGCAUCUUCAUGACUCCUAGCAACAAAACUAGCAGUGUAUGUUUGGGCUUCCCACAUGGGAGUCCUUUCUGAAAACAAAAAGUUGCUCAUCAUUCAUGUUUCCUCCAUCUUUUGAUAACGAAGUCUGGAAACACAUAACGGUAAUUAGUUAACCACUGACAAUUUCUGAGUUUCAUAAACUUUUCUCCUCGGUCUUUAGUUUGCAUACAAGAUAGAAAAUCCAAUAUUAGGAACAGUUUUCCAGCUAAUCUAUACAUUCCGGGUAACUGGAAUUUGACAAAUUUUUUUCCACAUUUUUAAGGUACGGACUAUACAGCCUCAAAUUAAGUUUCUAGGCAUGAAUAGAUUCCAUGCAGGGGCGGAGGGAAGGGGGGGCAACCGCCCCCCCUCCAAUUGUUAAAAAACAAAAUUUCUAAGUAAAAAAUUUUUUAUUAUAUUGUUUUGCCCCCCCAAAUAUUGAUAAAAAAUUUCACUUUGCCCCCCCUCCAAUUGUUAUAAAAAAAUUUUUUAUUAUAUUGUUUUACCCCCCAAAAUAUUGAUAAAAAAUUUCACUUUGCCCCCCUCUCAAGGACCCAAACAAUAAUGUUUGAAAGUUAUUUGGACUUGGUCCAAAUAAUAGAGACUCGCCCCCCUAAUUGCAAUUCCUAGCUCCGCCACUGAUUCCAUGUAUAUGUACCAUCUUGUCGAAGUGUUGUUCAUCUGACUUCUAUGCUUCAUACCUUUCAUCUAUAUCAUGCAAAUUAACUUUGGUGUAUGAAUAAGAUUUUCCUUUUCUUUAUCUAGGAGUGCUUCUACAUUCAUGUAGCACUUGGACCUUAAGAUUCGUUCUAAUAGGAAUGAACCUAAAUGCUUAAAUUUGCUGAUCCUUCUUGAUGUUUUCUCCUGCAGCAAUUUUUCCUCUUGUUUAUACGUACUCAACAAAGAUGUUCGGAGAAAUAUCUGACGAAAUCUCCAUUCGCAUUGAUCAAAAGCGUUCUGGCCUAUCGGAUACAUCGAGGAGGCAAUUGAUUUUCAAAGUCCAUAGUAAACUACGAAGUGAAAAUGAAGAAGCAUAUGAACCACAAGUCGUCUCCAUCGGACCUUAUCAUCGUGAUAAGCCUAAACUGAUAAAGAUGGAGCAGUAUAAGCUAAUGUACUUGAACGUGCUUCUUCAUAGAAGAGGAGAGUCAAGUGCUAAGAAAUACGUCGAAGCUAUGGUUGAACUUCAACAGCAAGCUAAAAGUUCUUACGCGGAAGAAAUCAAUCUUGAAGCUGUUGAUUUUGUUGAAAUGCUAUGCCUUGAUGGUUGCUUUGUCAUCGAGUUCUUGAGGAAACUUUCUCAGCCUGAAUUAUACAACGAGAGUGAUCCCAUUUUUCAGAUGUCUUGGCUAAUAUCAGCCACUAAGAAAGACCUAAUAUUAUUUGAGAAUCAGUUGCCCUUUAUCGUCCUGCAGAAACUGUUCGAUAUGACCAAGUCGCAGGACGAAGAAAAGAAACUUAAUGACCUAGCUAUUCUCGGUCUGUCUUCGCUCAUGCCUGUUUCUUAUCCAGGUCAAAGUUCUCGUUCUACAAUCCCUGCAGGUCAUGAGGUUGUUCAUCUUCUUGACCUCAUGCACAAAAAUUUGACUGCCUCAUUUUCCAACACACUUGCGUAUCCCAAACAUGAAGAGACUAAAACCACAUGGCAGAACUUUUAUCGUUUCAAAAAAAAAAAACCCUCAUUGCAGAAACCAGUUAUUGAGCUACUACAUAGUGGAACGCAGUUCAAGAGGGCAAAGAAGAGUGAAUCCGUGCUCCGUAUCACAUUCGAAAAUGGUGUAGUUAAAAUCCCUCCUUUAUUUGUGGAUGAUCAUACAGAAUCCAUCUUCAGAAACUUCAUUGCAUACGAACAGUAUAUGUCUAAGCCAUUUGAGACAUGGAGGUAUGUAACUGAUUACAUAAGCUUCAUGGAUCUUCUCAUAGAUUCCCCAUCCGACGUUGAAAAGCUUCGCAACCGUGGUAUCAUCAGGCAUGGGUUAGGCAAUGAUAAAGCAGUCUCUGCAAUGUUUAACAAGUUAAGCAGUGAUGUUUCUAUUGAAAGUCCUUUCUGUUACGACAAAAUUUUGGAGAAAAUGAGGGAGUACUGCAGCAAACGCCCCCGUACUUGGUGGGCAAACCUCAUGCGGAAUUAUUUUCAUACCCCGUGGUCAAUCAUUUCAUGUCUGGCUGCAUGCAUUUUGCUUCUUCUCGCAUUGGUGCAGGCCAUAUUUUCCAUCCUACACUAGACUUUGACUUAAUGAAAUUAAAGUGAGUUAGUUGUGUCUGUUUUGUAAUUUGUUAGUCAUUGUACUUAAAUACCAACAACAUCAUUUUAUUUGUGUUCCGAUUGAUAAAAAAUUCUUGAUGUAAAAGAACUUUCCUGUCUUGGAUAUUACAUGAACUCCUAAAUGCAUGUUCUGCUAAUAAUGAACAUGAUCUCUUCUGUAUUAUGUUCUACAACUGAACAUUAAAAUAGCAAUGCCCCGUCUGGCUCAUUGAUUCAUUUUAGUCAACCUGACAAUUUUUAUGAACAUGGAUCUGUCUACACAUGUAUCUAUAUUUCUGUGUCAAGUAUAACCACAGUACGAGGCUAACUUUGAGUGUUACAUGGCACCGGUCCGAUCUGAGUGAGAGUACUACUAAAUGCAUGCAAAGGCUGACGAUGAGAACUCAAUGAAGCACGAAAAUUAAGUACACAAGAUUUUAAGCAAACUGCAAAGAAAGAAUUAAAAAAAUGAAGCUUUAGCAUUCAUCUGGCAAAAAAUCCUUGGCAGACUAUCAUAUAUAAUAGCAGUUAGAUACCAGUUGAUUGAAAUGCUAACUAAAUAAGUGUACUGAAAACAUAUAGUUUUACAGGAUCUAAUCGUUACUCCUGUGAUUUAAAGAAGACAAUAGAGAAAAGGCUCGGUUGAUUUUCAAACAAAGAAAACCCGGAAGAACACUUUUUUGGGCAAAUAGUUAUAAACAUGAAUUGCUUGUUACUUAUGGUUCCCGAAAUCUUAUCUAAUUAGCCACUGCACCCACAUUGGCUAGAAUGCUAAGUAAGGCAUAAAGACUGAAAGAAAAAAGUGUUGGAAAAAUGGCUAUAUUCAUUGUAGAGUGAAUGAGAAAAUUGUUCUCAUAAUGGCACUCUUGAAAGAAUCAAAGGAUAAUUAUCUAUUCAUGUACAUAGGAUUCAUGUAUAUUAAUUAUUGAUACAUGAUUUUAUCGUUAUCUUAUUGAGAUACGUGUAUAUACAUGAAUAUGGUACUUUGAUAAACGUGAAGAUAAUUAUCUGGAAUUUAUUCUUGUUGCCAAUUUCGAACAGUCACCCUUGGCCAUCAUCUAUAAAUAUCUCAUCUGUUUCAAAAGAAUGAGCGCUCUCUCUCUCUCUCUUUUUCCUUCUUGCAUCUCCAUAUUUUAGUGUUCCAUAUUGCUCUAGUUCGAGUUCGCUGUGGUGAAGAAAGUUCGGUGCUGACAUAUUCACCUUUAAUCCAUUGUAUCCUGGGAGACAAACGCCUACUUUAUUCACCAUAUUCACCUUUCUCAUGUUUGUCAUUUCGCGAAGCAAAGCAUAUGCUAAGGAAUGAAGGGCUGAGGCAUGUCUACUUUUUUUUUUUAAGAAAUAGAGGGCUUAAACAUUGGCUCUUCUCGUCUCUUAUCUUCUCUUCUCUUUACUUUAUUGUGCUCAGUCGCUCACUAUUUUCCCUCUACAAAGGAAAAAUUGCUAGCCAUCUAAAGUUUACUGGAAAAGAACAGCUAUGAACUCAUAUCUCAAAAUUCUAGAAAAUUAAAAUGUUUAAGAAUUUGUAGAUCCUAUCUAAAUGAACAUCUUGAAGUACAGAUUAUCUUUUGCUGAGUACAUUAAUAAGUUCAAAGUAACUUUCUAUAGAAGUAUGGAGGAAAAUAAAGUGUUUUUAUACAUUGGACUAUGGGAGAAAAGAACAAAGGGGCUAAAUUAUUAAUUAAGUUAUUUUUCAACUAUUUAAAUUCGUAUACCAAAAACAGAAAAAAAAAUUUAUUCUUCAUCGACCAUAAUUAGAUAAAAGCACCACUCUUAAAUUUUCUUGUUCUACUCUUUACUACCUUUUCCUAUGUAAAAUUAGACAUAUGCCACUAGGCUAAUAUAUCCAAAAGUUGACAGCAUGGCUGGUAUAAUGUGGUCUUACAAAAAUAAUAAUAAUAGUAUAUAGUGGACUACCUAUGAGCUUCCCAUCCCAAAGGACUAAAAGCUUGAUAUAACUUCCACCCGCUUUCUCCAGCUUUUUGUCUCUAUUUCUGAUCAAGAUUGCUACACGUGAGACUCUCCUCUUGCCCAGGUAAAUUUUUCCAGUAUUUCUCUGUUGUGAAAUAUAUUGGAAAUCUUAGUAGCGAACUAGUUGAAAAAAAACUUCUUCUUUAAAUUGAGUCAUAUUAGUUCAUAUUGUCCUAUAACUCAGUUUUAUAUCUAACUUGGUAUAUAACCAUUCCACCAUUCCAUACUACUAAAAGUUGUACUGAGUGAGAGUGUUGUGUUGAUAUAUUCUUUCUUCUGUAUGCAUCCAAGAUUCCUACUGCCAAUAAACCCCUUAGGUCUUUUUGAAGCAUUUCAUCAAUUUCUCAGAAAAUAUGUCUGAUACCCUUUGUUUAGUAGCCUUUGCUUGUCUUUUGAUUCCGUUUACUUUUCCUCUUUUAUGUUCUAGGAUAAUUGCAUAUAUGUGGCUAAACUUGUACAAUUUCUAACUAGAUCAAUUGAGUGAGAUUGGAAGACAAAUGCCUAAACAAGACAAUAGAAUAGCCAAGAUUAUGUAUCCCUCCCAGCAAUACGGGCUGGUGACAUUGAUUUGUUUUCAGCCCUUACCUAACUUUACAUGAUGACUAGCUUCAAACGACAAAAACUUUUAAAAGUCAGAAUCAGCACCCGGAAAUCAGUAUAAACCUGGUUCAAGAAGUUGCCAAUCAACUUAAUUAGACUGAUUUUGUUAAUCUUUCCGCGCAGCAUUUUAUUCUCCAAAGAGGAUGCCCGGAGAAAUGCUAAAAUUUAUUUCUACUGUCUCGAUCGAAAGCUUUCUCAGAUAUCAGAAACAUCAAAUGAGAAAUGUAUAUUCAGAGUCCAUGACAGGCUACGGAGGCACAACCCUCAGGCAUACGAACCAGAAAUUGUUGCUAUUGGACCUUAUCAUCAUGCUAAAAGUAAAUUGCCAAAAAUGGAAAAGCAUGAGCUGUGGUAUUUGCAAUAGCUUCUUCUUCAAAGAGGCGAGUCAAGUGUGGAAAGAUACAUUGUAGCCUCGUCACAGCUUGAAGAGCGCACUCGAAGGUGUUAUGCAGAAGAAACUAUUAAAUCUAUUCUUUAAAUGUAUAAUUGCUCCUUUUCCUAUCUCAUUUUAUUGUGAUGAUUUGAAGUGGAAAAGAUUCUGAUAUUGGUGUAUUUACUAUGUUUUUUGUUACGGGAGUUAAGUGUCUGUGAAUUCCUCAAUAGAUUUAAUAGUUUUUUUUUAACGAUGUUAAUGUUGAAAUUUGGAUUUUUUUUUUUUGUUUUUGCAUCUAUAUAUACAUUUAUAUAUACAUGGGAUGAUUGCAUUUAGUAAACCUAACAAGUUGGUACAGCUAAAAAGUGCCUAGAUAUACACCAUUAUUGUUGAAGUUUAUUUUCUUAGGUCCUUCCGUUCGUACUUCAUGAGAUUAUAAUAUGUGUUUAUAAUAGCACUAUAUAAGGAAGCAAUCAUUCACCUUUUUUAUAAUCAACGGAGGAAUGAUUAAUCAUUAUUUAUAAGCUGCUUACAUACUUCUUGCUGCAUUGUUUUGUUCUGCUAGAGUGCUAGUGUUUUUUAACUCUCAAGUCAAGACUAAUAGUAGUUUUCCUCUUCAAAAGUCUAUGGCUGCUAAUUAAGUCGUGUUAUAAUUAUAUCCUGAUAUUAAUUCUCUAUUUUUCAUUACGCAGAUUGAACAUUUAAUUUGCCAUUUUACCAGCCAUGACUUUAUGAUAUUCUUACAAUCUUAAACUUAAUGCGGAUAGUACUGGAUUUUCAAAUCUGGAAAAGUUGGAACUUUUGUGUUAUGACACGUUAGAACUAACUUUGUUACAGCAUUUAUUCAUGCUAAUUUUGAUAAAUAAGGAAUUCAAAUUAUUUUGCGAUAUUUGAUGAAAGUUCAUACAUAUGUUAAUUCAAGAAAUAGACAUCUUCCUUUAGCUCCCUAAAAAUCAUUUAGAGUGUUAUGUAUGAUUUGACAGGAUCCAUUUAAUUUUAUUUUCUCCAAAAAUAUUUUUUUUGGCAAAUGUACUUCUAGUUAUACCUUUCUCUUGGCUAAUAUCCUUAAACAUGGGUCUUUAAGCUACAUUUUUUUACACUUUUUUAAACCCUUUUUCUUUCUCAAUUUUACUGUUUUGUUUAAAAGAAUUAUGAUUAAAAAAAAUUCAAGGACGGCUGAAAAGAAUAAGCACCCCAGCACAAACGCGCGUUUACCCCUAGAUUUAAACACAUGAACAACCUAAGAUUGACAUUAAAAGAUAGUUUUUUCUUUUAACUGAAAUAGCAAAAAAGAAAAACUUGUGAAACUCACUGAAACGGAAAAUUAAGUCAUAAAAGCACAUAAAGGAGAACAAUUAACUAAUGAUAACACCGAAAAAUUAACUAAUUCAAGUGACAUGAAAGAGAACGUUCGAAAUCCAUCAAAUAGACAGAGACUUUUUACCCACUUUAUACACUUCACCCAUAUAAAUGACAAACAAUCUAAUGUUAACUUCUCUACAACAAUUUCUACUCUCUUGGACACGAAAAAGAAGAAGGACAGUAAAAAAAAAGUGAUUGCAGGUACCAAUCUUAUGCAUACUUUUCUUUUCUUUUUUUGGAGUCUGGAGGGUAAGGGGUAUCUUGGAAUCACCAAUUCUGAUCCCCCAGACUGAACAGAGCUCACUCCAUAGAUGACUAACAACAGUAGCACGUGGGAGUCGAAUCUAAGAUCUUGUUGUAACUAUAAACGACUAGUUACAACUGAGCUACUCACGAGGGGCUUAUGCGUACUUUUCUAAAAUUGAUAUUUUGGUGAACCAUUCUAUAUAUCCUCUGAUAUUCAUCUAUUUUAGAUAUUAUAUUUAUACUCAGGGCCUUUACUUUGAAUCUUUUUUAAUUUUUUUUACUAAUCAAACAGUUGCAAUUUUUUCCCAUUUCAUCUAUUUUCGGCUCCUAUGGAAACAUCACAGAAUCAGUUGAUAAGCUCAUUAAAGCCUGAUGAGAAAAUGUGGAUGCGUAGAGUCUUGCUAUUACUGAAAUUUGGCAUCGAGGCGUAUAUGGGAAAACAAAAAUCUGGAAAUCUUCAGAAGUUAAUUUUCCUACACAGGCAGGUAAAAAAUCAUAAACUUUAACAUUUACUUUUGAAUCUAUAUUUUGCACAUUAUUUUCAAGAAAAAUUCAAAAGGCAUAUAAAAAUUCAAGUUAUUAUGUUUGAUGACAUCAAGGAAAACUGUUCCUAUUCCUUAUAGGAAUCAACAUAAAAUGAGGACUUUUCCUCCAUCUCUCUAUCUCAACCAUUUGGUCGUCACCUUCCUUUCCUCCUCUUCUAGCUAUCCUUAAUUUCCCCUCAAAUCCCAAAUAAAUUAUCUUCUCUAGGUUAUUAUGUCCUUCAUAACCAGAGCUACACUCUUGAAUAGUUAACUUGUAUCUCCCCAUUUUUUAUUUUUUACUUUUUUCUGUCUUCUGAAAAUAAUAUUCAAUUAUCUAGACAUGUACUGCACAUAGAAGUUUAAGCAACUACGGUGAUGAUUAAAGGGAUAAUUGAUUAUGCUUCGCUGGUGGUGGAUGGCUUGAGAUUUUGAUUUUUAUAAAGCUAAAUCAUGAACAUGAGUAAAAUGGUUGCUAAAGCUCACUGGUCAUCUAUCAGUAUAGUUUAUCAUCAAUGGAGUUCGGUUGGCUUUCUUGUAAGUUGAUUCAACUGCUUAUUGGAUAUGAAUAUUUUUCACGUAAUAAUAACUAAAGAUUGGUUUUCACUGCCUAACGUCAAGCGACCAGAUAGAUUACAUCAGGAAAAAGGAGAAAAAUGAUAUCGGGAGUCGGGCAACAAAAAGGGGUUGAUCAGUAGAAUCCAGUGGAGAAGAAAAAUAUUUUGGGUUUUUGAAUAAUUAAGGAACUAAAUUUGUUAAAUUAAUGAAACUGUCUUGAUAGGCGUUUGUGAGUGUGAAACUCCCACCGUCUGUCAUCUUGUUGUUUUUCCUUCUAUAAAAAGUGACUUUGAACUUAUUAGUAUACUCAGCAGAAGAUGAUCUGUAAUUCAAGAUGUUCAUUCGGAUAGGAUCUACAAAUUCUUAAACAUUUUAUUUUUCCAGAAUUUUGAGAUAUGAGUUCAUAGCUGUUCUUUUCCACUAAACUUUAGAUGGCUAGCAAUUUUUCCUUCAUAGAGGGAAAAUAGUGAGCGACUGAGCCCAAUAAAGAGAAGAGAAGAGAAAACAACCAAUGUUUAAACCCUCUAAUUCUUUAAAAAAGUAGACAUGUCUCAGGCCUUCAUUCCUUAGCAUAUGAACUGACAAAGUUGAGAAAGGUCGGAACGUUGGAGACAACAUUUCUUAGAUAAAGCCUUCGCAUUAACAACUAAGAACUAUUUCAAAUUUACAUAUGUACUUAAUUUUGGUACCAGCAAGCAUGACAGAUUUACUUAUUGUACUGCUUCUUUUUUUUUUCUUUCGAGUCUUUGUGCUUUACUUAUCAUCCUACCCAAUGUGGAUGCAGUGGCUAAUUAGAUAAGAUUUCCGGAUCCACAAGCAACAAACAAUUCAUGUUUAUAACUAUUUGCCAGAUAAUGUGUUCUUCUGGGUUUGCUUUGUUUGAAAAUCAACCGAACCUUUUCUCUGUUUUCUUCUUUAAGUCACAGGAGUAACAAUUAGAUCCUGCAGAACUAUAUGUUUUCAGUACACUAAUUUUGUUAGCAUUUCAAUCUAAUGGUAUCUAACUUCUAUUAUAUACAAUAGUAUGCCAAGGAUUUUUUGCCAAAUGAAUGCUAAAGCUUCAUUCUUUUAACUGUUUCUUUGCAGUUUGCUUAAAAUGUUGUGCACAGAUAAGUUGCAAUUCUGUCAUUAAUUUUAUAAUUAUUUCCCUCUUUUAUCUUACCAAAUAUUGCAUUAAUUAGUGUAUUCUAUUUACUUUUGAUAAUUUGUGUUGAUUGUAGGGAUUUGAAGCAAAAACGGAUUAAAGGCGUGAUUUUCAUUGAAUUUUUGUACUAAUCAACGUGAUCGCAUCAAAAUUUAAUUCUGCAAGUUCGGAAACUCGGAAGUUCACGUGUGAUUUUGUCAGGCCCCAGUUUCUAAGUGUUGUCGUUUGAUGUGGAGUGCUCUGCGUUUGAAGGUUUGAAGGGUAGCAGUCUUAAACGACGUAGUUAGACUAAGUCAGUUAGUUGGAGUUAGUUGCAACAGAUAACAGAAAUUGUAUAAAGGUCCCUUUCAAUUGCUGUAUUUGAUUACCAGAUUCAUAAUACAAGAAUUACUUUCUCUUUCUUCUCUGUUACUCUCUCUUGCCUUCUCUCUUUUCUCUCGAUUUCCCUCCUUCCCUAAUUCUUUUCUUCCAAUCUGUUACCGAUCGAUCUAGCUCAGGAGUGCUUGCCUGACAAUUGGUAUCAGAGCAGCCGAUCCUUGGCUGCUUUGGGCACCACUCAUGGCUGAAAACACCAGGUAUCGUUCUCUGGAAGAACAGCUCAAGAAGCAGGAAACUCGACUCCAAGAAGUAAUGGAGACCAUGGCGGCAGCUCAGGCUUCCUGUCAGAAUAGCUUGCAGCAGAAACUCCAGGAGGAGCUCGGACAGAACAACGCGAAGGUAGAGGCGAUGGUCGGUAAUUUGGAUCAGAGGUUCAGUAAGAUGGAGAUGAAACUCAAUGCAUUGUUUAAGGUGAUGAUGAAAGAAAAAGGUAUGCAGGAGACAGAGGCAAGCUCGUCAGAACCACUUCUACCGACUCCUCCGCCGCAUUGUAAGCUCAUGACGUCCACAGAGGUGCCUGGAGCUCAGCAGGAGGUGAGAACUAAGAAUUUCACUCCUAACUUGCCAAGACUUGAAAUACCUAUGUUCGCAUCUGGUAAUCCUAGAGAAUGGUUGAGGAAAUGUCAAAAAUAUUUUCUGAAUUAUCAGAUACCUGAAAAUCAAAAGGUAGAUAUGGUGGAAAUGUUCUUAGAGGGGAGGGCUGACAAUUGGUUCCAAGGAGUUAGACUAGAAAAACCUAGGUUGACUUGGGCUGAAUUUUGCGAGCUGUUGUGUGAGAGGUUUGCAGGGAAGUGGUCACGCGAUGUGGUUGAGGAAUUCAACAAAUUACAACAAAAGGGGACAGUAGAAGAGUAUGAGGAGAAGUUUGAGGAAUUGAAAACACUAAUGUUGAUCAGGAAUCCUAGGCUGGACGAAGGUUAUUUUAUAUCCAGUUUCAUUAGUGGAUUAAAGGAUGAGAUCAAACCAAUGGUCAAAAUGUUCAAACCACAAACUCUGUCCAAAGCAUUUGAGGUUGCUGAAUUGCAGGAAUGUUCACUGGAGACCAUGUCCAAGCAAUCUAAGACCUCAGGCAGGAAUGUGGUUGAACCGAAGUAUGGGAUGUUUAGAAACCACAGCACUGGUCAGAACAAUUCCAGCUCCUAUAAACUUCCUGCUAUUGAUCCUACUAACAGGAAGGGUGACUAUAGAUCCAGGGAAGUGAGCAGGAUUUCAGCUGAGGAAAUGCAGUAUAGGCGUAAGCAUGGCCUUUGUUAUAGAUGUGGUGAUAAAUUUGGAAUUGGGCAUCAGUGUAAGGCUGGGGGGUUAAACUGUGUGGGUAUAGAGGAAGAGGAGGAAGCUGAAUUCGAAGAUGCAGAAGGAGAGCAGGAUGAGCUCACUGGUAGGGUGGGAGAAAUGGCUGAGGUGUCACUGAACGCUCUAGCAGCAGCAAUACAGAGGAAAUCUAUUUUACUACUGGGCAAUUUAGGGGGAAUACCUGUCAAGAUCCUAGUAGACACUGGUAGCUCUGACAGCUUCAUACACUAUCAGUUGGCGAGAUCUCUUCAGCUUCCUUACCAGACAGUCAGGCCUUUUACUGUAACCUUGGCAGAUGGCACAGACAUUACUAGUGGCACAAUUUGUCCGGAUGUUAGGUGGUUAAUACAGGAUUACCAGUUUCAAUUCGACCUGAAGAUAAUGGAGUUGGGGAACUGGGAUAUCAUUUUGGGAGUUGACUGGAUGUGUCAAUUCAGCCCCAUUACCUUUGAUUUUCACGCACUCAGUAUUGCUCUUAGCAGCAGGGGUGACUUAUUACAUCUCCAAGGCCACAUUAAUCAACCUGUGAUGGAACUAGUAAGGGGUAAAGAUCUCAGGGCUUUUAUACAAGAAAAGCAAAGGAGUUGUGCCUUCCUGCAGAGGAAUUCCCAGGGAAAUCAAGAGAGGGAUACGCCUGAGCAAGUGGCUUCAGUUCUGCAACAGUACUCUCAGGUGUUUGAUACUCCUCAAGGACUACCCCCUGAGAGAGAACUGGACCAUCAGAUUCCCCUGAAACCUGGAGCAGAGCCAUUCAAACUUAAGCCUUACAGGUACCCCCAUGCACAUAAAUCUGAGAUUGAGAAACAGGUUGCUGAAAUGCUUACAAAUGGAAUUGUUAAGCACAGUUGUAGUCCAUUUGCUUCUCCUGUGCUGUUGGUUAAGAAAAAAGACAAUACCUGGAGGCUAUGUGUGGACUAUAGGAAGCUGUAUGUAGGGGCAGCAAAUGGAAUCAGGCACAAUCUGAUCAAGGCUUUACACGACUCAGCAGUUGGGGGUCACUCUGGUCAAAGAGCUUGUCUGCAAAGGAUACAAUCUAUAUUCCACUGGCCAGGCAUAAAAAGGGAUGUUGUACAGUUUAUUCAGGCUUGUGAUACUUGUCAAAGGAAUAAGCAUGAAAAUGUCCCUUAUCCAGGCCUUCUGCAACCUCUUCCAGUUCCUCAACAGGCAUGGACACACUUGACUAUGGAUUUUAUUGAACAGUUGCCUUUAUCUCAGGGGUAUGAUACCAUUCUGGUAGUGGUGGAUCGUUUCACUAAGUAUAGUCACUUCAUGAAGUUGUCCCAUCCAUAUUCAGCUCAUCAGGUAGCUGAGUUGUUCCUGGACCAGGUGUACAAGCUGCAUGGUCUACCUGAGUCCCUCACCUCUGACAGGGACAAGGUCUUCAUUAGCAGGUUCUGGCAAGAGCUGUUUCGUGCCAUGGGGGUUGGGUUGCAGUAUAGUUCCUCUUAUCAUCCUCAAACUGAUGGUCAGAGUGAAAGGGUCAAUCAGUGUCUCGAAAGCUACUUGAGGUGUAUGUGUAGUGAACAUCCAUCCCACUGGAGUACUUGGUUGUCUGCAGCCGAGCUGUGGUAUAAUACUAAUUUCCACACCAGUCUGCAACUGACCCCUUUUGAAGCUCUAUACGGAUACAAGCCGUUGCACCUGCCUUUAGGACCCUUCCAUGAUAGUGUUGUCCCCGCAGCUGUUGGUAUGGUGCAGGAGAGACUACAGGUUUUAGCCAACAUCAAACAUAAUCUGGCCAAAGCCCAGAAUAGAAUGAAGCACUUUGCUGAUCAAAACAGGACAGAGAGGUCCUUUCAGGUGGGGGAGUGGGUCUUCCUGAAACUGCAGCCUUAUAGACAACAGACAGUGGCUAUCAGGAAGAGUUUAAAGCUGUCUCCUAAGUACUAUGGGCCCUUCCAGGUUAUCGAGAAGAUUGGAGCAGCAGCUUACAAGCUGCAACUGCCGGAGAAGGCCAGAAUACAUCCAGUGUUCCACAUUUCUCUGUUGAAGAAGAAGGUUGGGGUAGGCUUGGGCACUGAACCUACCCUGCCUGAGUUUGAUGCCUCUGACCAGUGUAUUUUGCAGCCGGAAAGGAUAGUCAAGAGGAGGGUUGUUCUACGCAAUUCCCAACCCGUCAUUCAGUAUUUGGUCAAAUGGAAUCACUUGCCCGAAACUGAGGCAUCGUGGGAGGACAAGACGUUCAUUGACAAGCAGUUUACUGAUUUUUCAGCUUGAGGACAAGCUCAUUUCUUAUCAGGGAGGGAAUGUCAGGCCCCAGUUUCUAAGUGUUGUCGUUUGAUGUGGAGUGCUCUGCGUUUGAAGGUUUGAAGGGUAGCAGUCUUAAACGACGUAGUUAGACUAAGUCAGUUAGUUGGAGUUAGUUGCAACAGAUAACAGAAAUUGUAUAAAGGUCCCUUUCAAUUGCUGUAUUUGAUUACCAGAUUCAUAAUACAAGAAUUACUUUCUCUUUCUUCUCUGUUACUCUCUCUUGCCUUCUCUCUUUUCUCUCGAUUUCCCUCCUUCCCUAAUUCUUUUCUUCCAAUCUGUUACCGAUCGAUCUAGCUCAGGAGUGCUUGCCUGACAGAUUUCUAGUCUUGGAUUGGAGCCGUGGAAGAGACUCUUUAUCAACAGACUAGUUUUCUAUUCUUAUUAGGAGAUUAGUCUAUCUGACUAGGAGGAGUUUUCUUUGGUUUAGGAAAGUAGUUUUUUUCGAUAGGAAUAAAGAGACGGGAAGUCCGAAACAAUAGCAACAGGACUUCUUUUUCUCCUUGGUUGCAAGGAACAAACACACGCUUUUUCUUUUCUUCUUAAUUCCGAUACUUCAUCACACUCUUGGGGAGAAUGGCCGCGGCAAUAAACUCCAAUAUUUCGCUCAUGGCUUUUUCCAUGGAGAUGAACUAACUUUUUCUAGUCAAGGGUUAAUUUGAAGAUGCGGUUCCAAAUAUCUGUGAGAUCGAAUUAUUUUACUUAUUUCUUUUAUUUUUUGGUAUUCAUACGUUUUCUGGUUUAAUUGCUUAUGAUUGUUUUGUUAUUUGAAUAUCAAGGGCCCGAUAUUUGAAUUAAUCUAAUAAUCUACUGUCAUAUUAAUUGAUUGAAUCCGUAAUUGUUCAAUUGAUUAAUACCAGUGGCAACUAGCGUGAUUGGUUUCAUGUUAGGAAAAUUUAUGAUCUAACUUAAACGAACCCUCAUAGCAUGUUUGUUGGUUAGGAUUGGAUUUUUCUAAUUAUUAAUGCAAUUGAGAAACUAAAUCCUAUGGUCGUACUUAGAGUUGUUUCUUAGUUAGAAAAAUAGUCAACGGUCGUAACUUGACUAUCGAAAAAGUAAGGAAAAGCUGGUUGUUUAUCGCGUGUAUGACAACUACAACCAUUUUACUAAUGAGUAAUUGAAUUAUCUUUGUAUCGAUAAUUAGUUGAAUGGAUCGUGUCUGAAAAGUUGCACCUUUGGCUAAAGUCGUAUUGGUUAUUGAUUAAUUCUUGUUUAUUUCUAUUAGUUGUUUCAUUAGUUGGUUAAUUAGUUAUUUUAUAUUUUCCAAAAACUCCCCAUACUUCAGACUCUAGAAGAAACGAAUUAUCUCCAGUCCUUGUGGAUUCGACCCUGUUCACCGCUAUAUACAAAAUUUAUAUUUUUUUCGAGUAGAUAUUUAUUAUUGUACAGACUCGACACCUGUCAUGUACUUAAUUUUUCGUGCUUUAUCGAGUUCUCAUCAUUAGCCUUUGCAUGCAUUUAGUAGCACUCUCACUAAGAUCGGACCAGUGCUAGGUAACUAUCAAAGUUAGCCCUAUACUGUGGUUAUACUUGACACAAAGAUGUAUAGAUAUACAUGUGUAGAUAGAUACAUGUUGACUUAUAUAGAUAUACAUUCACAUCAAGAAUUUGUUAUCAAUCAAACUCAUUGAAUUGUUUAGUUACAUAAAUAGGUGAUUGGGUAGGUGAUACUGUAAAAAGGAAGAGUAUUUCAGAGUAUGUAUUUUUUAUUGGUUAUGGAGUGUUUUCUUAGAAUUCUAAAAAGCAGCAGGUGAUUGCAUUGUCUACUACAGAAGCAAAGUAUAGUGCAGUAGCUAACAGUGCAACUCAAGUUUUGUGGUUGCGUCGCAUUCUUGGUGUACUACAACACAAGCAAGUUGAUCCUACGAACAUUUAUUGUGACAGUAAAUCGGCUAUUGAAUUGUCCAAGAAUCCGAUUCUCCAUGGGUGCAGUAAACACAAAGACAUUAAAUAUCACUUUGUACUUGAGUCGGUUCAAGAGAAGGAGAUUGAGAUGGAUUAUUGCAGGACUAAAGAGUAAGUGGUGAAUAUUUUCACAAAAGCAUUGAAGAUGGAGACUUUUGUCAAAUUGAAGAUGUUAGGCAUGUCCAGUUUAGAGGUGUUUGGUUUGAGGGAGGUAAUGCAGAAAUAUAAACCGAGCCUUUAACUAUUUAUUUAUGUUGCCAUGUAACAUUUGUGGAUUGGUUAGUAUUAUUAUUUGAUUAAUAGAGUGGUUAUGUGGGAUUAAAUCCCUUAUUAGUAGUAGUGUUAGUAAUAGAAGUCCGCCACUAAGGGGAUUAGUAUUACAACCUCUGCGUCCGUUUUUAAGUAGUAGCCUCUAUUAUUCUUUAUAUUGUGCAGCGAGAGCCUCGUUUGAUUAACAGAAAUUUUCCCUUUACCUCAAUAUCGUUUUUCCUUUAAUUGUUCCUAUGGGUUUGUGUUUAAUUAUUAGUUUGGGUCCAUCAUGUUUAAUGGUCCAUAGCAGAUUACAAACUAUAUAUUAGGUUCACAACCAUAAGGGUGGAUAUAUGUAGGACAAUCCAAACUCAACAACCAAUUAUUCUACUAUUUAUUCAACUUUACUACCAUGAGAGUUUUCAUAAUGCCUAAUUCAACAUGAAAAUACAUUUCAAACAAAAAGGGUUCCAACUUUAGUACAGCAUUAGACAAAAGCAAACAGAAAUGAGUCCAUUAUUCACCUUUAGUAACUUUGAGAGAAUUUAUGUACUAUUAUACUCAAGUUAAAAGCUUAAGAAAAGAAUCAAAAGAACUUGACGAGUAGGAUAAGACAUUGCACAGAAACCGCCAGUGUUGUAUAUAGGGCAAUUGUGAUUGCUAGAGGAAAUACAGGGUUGAAAAUAUUGUUGGUGCAAGGCCUAUAUAUAUGAAGUUCUUUACUUGCAACAGUUAAGUAUUAAUCUUCUUCUCCUUUCUUGUUAAUUAUUCGGAGGUUAUCUAUCUUAAUUGCAUAGAGACUACGAAUAUAUGUAGCUUGUAUUCUGUUUCGUCAUUUUUGUUUAUGUUUGACUGUAAAGUACAGCUUUAUGCUUGUGGUUAUCUCACACACACACGCGUGUAUGUAUAUAUGUCACCAUUUGGCCUUGUUUGUAAUCAAUAACAAAAAAUUCUUGUCAAUUUUAAAGCUAUUUCUAAUUUAAAUAUUAUGCACAGAUUUCUGGUUUAUCACAGUUGGAUGCUUGACUAAAACAUGUUUAGUUGGCAGAAGAGUAACCGACAACUAGGCAUCCUGAGGCAGCAUUGAAAGCAGAAUAUUUGAUUUCAAAUUUUGAUCUUCUAGCCAUAUUUAAGAAAAAUAAUUAAAUAAUUUACAUGUGUAAGACUUGCUACAUUCUGGAUGGCCAAGUAUAGCUCACAAGUUCUUUAUACUAGUGCUCAAUGCACAUCCAAUGUAUGCGCAAUCAAAAAAUAUAUAAAAAUCAUGGUAAUAUAUUUUAAAUAAAAUUUUUAUUACUUAAGCAAACUUUAAUCUUUUAAAUAUUUUCAUAAAAUAAUUUUAUAUUGGUAGUUCAUGUUUACAGGUAAUUAUGUUGAAUAUAUAUGCAUAAAUGGUUAAAAGUAAAAAUAAUCAUGGAUAGUUAUAAAUAGUUAAAGUCAACGUAAUUUUUAUAAAGAUUAAAAAAAAGGUUCAUAAAGUAACGAUAAGUGUUAAAUCAAAUAUUAACCCAAAACUCUUCCGCAAGCUUUAUAUAUAGUAUAUAGAUAUUCUUUAUAUAUGCUAAACCAGGAUAUCUAAAUCAAGUUGCUUAUUUGCCGGCAUAUGGUACCAAGUAGAAUGCAGAGAACUAUACAUAUGUUUGCAUCAAAAUUCUUUUUCAAAAUCAUUUCUCUAUCAAGAAAAAGAGGAGGAAUAUGUCGGUGAAUGCUCAUCAUCUGGUCAGUCCUGAAGAUUUAAAUGCUCAUCAUCUCUACCAACCUCGCCCCUGGCAACUCAAAGGAACGUCUCCUUCAAGAUUUAAAUACUCAUCAUCUCUCCCAACCUCGCCCCUGUCAACUCAAAGGAACGUACCAAAGAAAUGCUCAUCAACUCUCGCAACCACUCCCUGGCUACUCAAAGGAAGGCCCCCCUGAAGAUUUAAAUGCUUAGCAACUCUCCCAACCUCCCACGUACCUGAAGAUUUAAAUGCUUAAGAAAAGAAGAGGAAUAUGUUGGCGAAUGACGAAGAUUUAAGAGUAAACGUUGAUAUAUAGACUUCCAUGGGACUUUGAAAAUCGUUUAGGGACUAACAACUGAGAAACUCGAAGUACUUUUGUGAGACUUUAAAAAUUUAGUUUCAAGGAUCAAAUACAUAAACUGCUUAAAAAAUAACAGAGAGCUACGGUUAAUUUUACAUGAAGCGUUGCACGUGUCAACACAGAUGAGCAAGUUGCAGAUACAUUCAUGAAGCGUUUAAGUCCUUCCUUUUUUUUUUCAGAGACGAUAAACCUAAUCUAUUUUAUACUAAGGGGAGGGGGCGGACCUAAGGAAACUCAGGGAUAACUCGGAGGGAACUGAACCAUCAUCGGAUCAGACGGAUGCACAGCACACUCACCUAAAUUUUUUAAAAAUAAGCCAUUUAAAUGUGACAUUUUUGGGGUGAGAGGUAACAACUAGGUGUUGGCCACCAACCUUUGGGCUGGUGGUUGUUUAAGUCCUUCCAAGUUCGUGAAAUUUCAAAAAAAUGCUCGAUAUGACUACAAGAAAAGUUAGUGCCGAGGGAGGGCGUUAAAGGUCAUCAUUGACUUGUGGCAAUCCAAUGGGCCACGUUCAAUUAUAAAUUUGCAUUUAUUAGGAGUUUGUUUCUUUCUUUAGCAUAACAGAAGAUUUGGCAAAGGUUAAUUUUUGCAACUCGGAUAUGGGAAAUGUUUUACUGCUAAGUCACGCCUGAAUCUAAAGCCAAAUUAGGGCCUAUUUGAUAACUCUACUUAAUGUCAAAAAUUAAUUUAUUCAAAACUUUUUAAAUUUAGCGUGUUUGAUAAUAGAAAUACCUUACCACACUUAAUGUGUUAAACAUUCGUAAUUUGUGUACAAACUUUUAAAUGAAAAUUUUCACUGAAUCUUUUAAAUUGACUAUACAUGUUGUACCUCUCACACGCACAACACACUCUUGUACCAUUCUUCUUGCACAUGUUACAUAGUUGUUUUCUUUAUGUUCAACGCACAUGGAUACACAUGCAUGUACCGAGCUAGCUCAAUUGGCCACCAAAAAAAGGAUUGAGUCCCUCCCUAGGCGUAGGUUAGGGGUUGCCUAACUGUGUUUCCUCUCCAGAAUUUUCUGGAGUACUAUGGUUGAAAGUUAUUUAACUCUUUUCGAGCUUCUAAAUAGAUUAGAUAGGUUCAUCUCCCUCUCAUUUCCCCCUAAUAUAGGACCAAUUGUAAUAAUGUUGUACUCUAAAAAAACAAAAAAGAUACACACGCCUGCACACACAAUCUCUUAUAUAUACACAAAUACACACACUUAUACACCACUUCUAAAUUGUUUCUUUAUUUUCUCUCUCUCACAUACACGCACACUUUUUUCUAUUUCUUCAAAUACACAAAUGAAGGCAAUUUUUUAAAAAAUAAAAAAAAACAAUAUUUGUUCUACAUUAUAAUUCAGUAUUAUAAUUCAAUUAAUUAUCAAACAAAUAUAACUUAAACAAUUCAGGAACUCAAUACUUUCAAUGCUUAACUUUUAGAAUUCAAAAUUCAGAUUUCAAAUUUCAACUUUAUCAAAUGGUGUUUUCAGGAUUCUAACAUUUAAUGUGAUAAGGAAAAUUGGUGUUGCAUGUCGAGCACCUUACUAAUAUAAAUAGUGGUUCAUUUUCUCAAUUGAAGUGCACCAGAGCUGGAGAGAAAGAAAGUUUGAGCAAAUAUCUCAAGAGUGCGACUCCAAUAAAAUUAGAGGGUGAGGCUCAAUUUGGUAUCAUCUAUUAUAAGUUUAUUUUCCGAAUAUUGUUAUUAUAAGAAUUUCCGAAUACACUUUAAAUGUAAUAAAAUUGUUCGUUUGCCCUCCUAUAUUAGUGGAUUUAAUCCAAUAAUUUGGUGUUAAACCCGCCACAAUUUCAACAUGUGCAACGGCUAACAUCUGAGGAAAUUCUUCUGUGUUAGGUACAGGCUAGUGUGUGUGUGUAUUCUUCUCGUGUAAUUAUGUGCUUUCUUGUUUAUUUAACAGCCUAAAUCUUAGUUGCACACAAACAGAUAUAUCAGUUUGCAUAGAUUUUUUUAGCUUAAUGGCAUGCCUUCUAUGUCUAUGGUACAAAGUAAAGCUUUUUCAUUGUCUUUAUCAUUUGUAUGCAUAUCCAUAUAGCCAAACGAGCCAAGAACCGGCGGAGCUACUAUGCCAAAGGAAAUUUUUAAUUUUCUGUAUACAAUUUUUUUACAAAUUUUUAUUUUAUUCCAUUAAUUUUGGUCGGGAUUAUAUAUAAUUUUUUUUUAAUUAAUCAUGUACAAACAGGUCUGAGCCUUUGCUUUGCUAAAGUCAACUCAUGAUGUUGGCAUUACGCGGGAAUCAUCUUCGAUAUGGAUACAUAACCUGUGCAAGUACGUAUAUUCUUACAUCUUUUUCUCCAACUUUGGUGAGCGGCAUCUUCAUGACUCCUAACAACAAAACUAGUGGUGUUUGUUUGGACUUCCCACAUGGGUGUCCUUUCUGGAAACAAAAAAUUGCUCGUCAUUCAUGUUUCCUCCAUCUUUUGAUAACGAAGUCUGGAAACACAGAACGGUAAUUAGUUAACCACUAAAAAUUUCUGAGUUUCAUAAACUUUUCUUCUUGGUCUUUAGUUUGCAUACAAAAUAGAAAAUCCAACAUUUAUGUCCUCAUUAUGAUUCUUAUAAGGAACAGGAACAGUUUUCCAGCUAAAACUAUACAUCCUUGGUAACUGGAAUUUGACAAAUUUUUUUCCACGUUUUUAAGGUACGGACCAUACAGGCUCAAAUUAAGUUUCGAAGCAUGAAUAGAUUCCAUUUAUAUGUAUCAUCUUGUCCAAGUGUUGAUCAUCUGACUUCUAUGCUUCAUAGCUUUCAUCUAUAUCUUGCAAAUUAACUUUGGUGUAUGAAUAAGAUUUUCCUUUUCUUUACCUAAGAGUGCUUCUGCAUUCAAUUUGGUUAGGAACUAAUUUUGAGGCUCUUCUUUGUUAUUCAGAGAAUUUUAAUCUACUGUCUGAUCAAAAGGUAUGUUGUGGUAUAAGUCAACUGUACCCAAGAAACAACAAGUUUCACCAGUCACCAAAAUGCACAAAAAAAAAAAGGAAUUUUGUGAUAGUCAUGUAGCGCUUGGUUAAGAUUCAUUCUAAUGGGAAUCAACCAAAAUGCUUAAAUUUGCUGAUCCUUCUUGCUGUUUCUCCCGUAGCAAUUUUUCCUGCUGUUUAUACGUACUCAACAAAGAUGUCCGAAGACAUAUCUGACGAAAUCUCCGUUCGCAUUGAUGAAAAGUAUUCUGUUAGGACCGGACCAGGAAAUAGACAAACUCAAGUUAGCACAAAUUAGGCGGUAUAACCGACCAUAUAAUAGAUAGGCGGUAGAUACCAGCCAUAUAAUAAUUAGGCGGUAAAACCGACCAUAUAAAGACGGAUAACAAAGCAAAUAAAAGACACAGAAGAUUUACGUGGUUCGGUCAAAUUGACCUACGUCCACGGGCGAGGGAGGAGCAAUAUUUCUACUAUGAAGAAGAAAUACAAAAGCCGUAGGAAAGUGGUUCCUAGGCCAAUAGGCACUUACAAAAGAGUUUAGAAAAUAUUCCUAAACUCAAAACAAGAUAGCCUAAAAUAUUUAACUGAAUGGGCUAGAUGACUCAAGAAGCUAAUAGCCCAUAUAACUCUUGAGUGGUGCUAAUUAAAACUUCAGAGGACCCUUCCUUUUAUAGGCCUCGAGUAGCCGACUUCUUCUUGGCUUUGUGCGAUGUGGGAGAAAAACUUAUGCCACAGUCAAACAUUGCGGCUGUGAAAAAAUCAACAAAUCUCCACCUUGGCAUAAUUUGAAUCCACCAUCGACAAUAGUAAAAUUGCUCCCCUUCUCCACAUAAGCCCAAUGGGCUUAAAUCACAACGAACACCAAUCAAGUCCAAGCACUGCUUGAACUUGUAACUGGAAGAGGUUCGUAAACAUAUCGGCUGGAUUGUCCUUAGUAUUGAUUUUCUGAAUAAGGACUUUUCCCUCAGCAAUGAUAUCCCGAAUGAAGUGAUACUUCACAUCAAUGUGUUUCGUCUCUCAUGAUACAUCUGAUCUUUAGUCAAGUGUAUGGCACUUUGACUAUCACAGUGAAUAUCAGUAACACCUUGAUAUAGACUUAGCUCGCUAAAUAAACUCUUCAACCACAAGGCUUCUUUGAUUGCCUCGGUCACAGCCAUAUAUUCUGCUUCUGUAGUAGACAAAGCUACGACAGGUUGUAGAGUAGCUUUCCAACUAACAGCACAACCGCCAAUGCAAAAUACAUAGCCUGAAAGUGAUCUUCUCCUGUCAAGAUCUCCAGCGUAGUUUGAGUCUACAAAACCAACCAAAGUAUUAUUAUUUCUUCCAAACUCCAAACAUGCAUUUGAAGUACCUCGCAAGUAUCUGAGAAUCCACUUCACAGCCUGCCAAUGUGUUUUACCAGGGCAAGACAUAUAUCUGCUAACAACACUGACUGCUUGUGCAAUAUCUGGACGAGUACAAACCAUUGCAUACAUAAUACUGCCGACUGCACUGGAAUAAGGAACCCGUGCCAUAUAAUCUUCCUCUUCAUCUGAUUUUGGUGAUUGAGCAGCAGAUAGCCGAAAAUGGCUAGCAAGAGGAGUAGAUACUGGUUUAGCAUCUUUCAUGCCAAAACGUUCCAAGACUUUUUCAAGGUAAUUUUUCUGGGUUAAAAAUAACUUCCCUACUCCUCGAUCUCGAUUGAUAUCCAUGCCAAGAAUUUUCUUAGCUGUUCCUAAAUCUUUCAUUUCAAAUUCACUAUUUAACUGCAGUUUUAAGGUGUGAAUUUCUGACAAAUUCUUGGCAGCAAUGAGCAUGUCAUCAACAUAAAGCAGCAAAUAAAUGAAAGAACCAUCAUUUAUCUUCCGGAAGCAAACACAACUAUCAUACAUGCUCCUCAAAUAACCAUGACCCAACAUAAAGGAAUCAAACCUCUUAUACCAUUGUCUUGGAGAUUGCUUCAAUCCAUAUAAGGAUUUCUUUAAUAAGCAAACAUGGUCUUCUUUACCUUCAAUUUCAAAGCCCUGGGGUUGUCUCAUAUAAAUUUGUUCUUCAAGUUCGCCAUGUAAGAAAGCUGUCUUAACGUCGAGUUGUUCUAACUCCAAAUUAUACAUGGCAACUAAAGCAAGCAAAACACGAAUAGAGCUAUGUUUAACAACAGGUGAGAAUAUAUCAUUAAAAUCAACACCUUGUACCUGACUAUAGCCCUUUGCAACCAAUCGUGCUUUAUAUCUUGCAUCUUCAACCCCUGAAAUACCUUCCUUUUUCUUGAAGACCCACUUGCAACCAACAAUUUUCUUAGCUGACGGCGGCUUUACAAGAACCCAAGUUUCAUUUUGAUGAAGAGAUUCGAUUUCUUCAUUCAUCGCAAUCAACCACUUUACAGAAUCAUCACAAGAAACUGCUUCUGAAUAGGUGGAAGGCUCACCAACUGCAUCAGUUUCUUCUGCAACAGACAAAGCAUAUGCAACUAAAUUUGCAUAUCUUUGUGGUGGUCGAAUGUCUCUCCUUUGUCUAUCUCUGGCUAUGGAAUACUCCUCUUCUUCUGAACUUUCUUCAAUAGUAGAUUCAGGUGUAUCUACUGGCAUUUGAUGAAUAGAAGAUUUGGAUUGAGAAGAACCAGAACUGCCAAUAUCAAGCUCCACCUGCUUCUGUGUACUAUCAGUAGUACAAGGACUAGAAGACUCCUUCUUGGAAGAUAACAUAGUCAAUUCAUCAAAAGUAACAUCUCUACUGAUUACAAAUUUUGGAGAUUUGGGAUCAGGACACCAUAAUCUGUAUCCUUUCACCCCAGAAGCAUACCCAAGAAAAAUGCACUUUUUAGCCAUAGGCUCCAAUUUUCCAUCAUUCACGUGCAUGUAUGCUGGACACCCAAAAACUUUUAAAUUGGAGUAAUCAGCAGGAGUACCUGACCAAACUUCCUCAGGAGUUUUGAAAUCAAGAGAUGCAGAAGGAGAACGGUUGACAAUAAAACAAGCCAUAUUGAUCGCCUCUGCCCAAAAGUCAUUUGUCAACCCUGCAUUGGGGAUCAUACAUCUUGCUCUCUCCAAAAGUGUUCUGUUCAUACGUUCAGUCACACCAUUUUGUUGAGGCGUCAUUCUGACUGUGUGAUGCCGAACAAUUCCUUCAUUUUUACAAAAUUCAUUAAAUUCACCUCCACAAAAUUCCAUGCCAUUAUCUGUUCUCAACCGCUUAACAUGUUUUCCUGCUUGUUUCUCAAUCAAAACUUUCCAUUGCUUGAAAGUUAGGAAAACAUCAUUUUUAUGCUUAAGAAAAUAGACCCAAACUUUCCUUGAAUAAUCAUCAAUGAAAGUUAACAUGUACCUGGCACCACCUUUAGAAAGAGCACGAGAAGGACCCCAUAGAUCUGAAUGAAUGUAAUCAAGAGUACCUUUUGUCUUGUGAAUUGCUGGUGAACUGAAGCUGACUCUUUUCUGCUUCCCAAAAAUACAAUGUUCACAGAAUUCCAAUGGCCCGAUACUUUGUCCACAAAGAAGUCCUCUUUUACUUAGUAUGCCCAAGCCUUUUUCACUCAUGUGCCCCAAACGCAUAUGCCAUAAUUUGGUGAUGUCUGUAUCUGACAAAGAUGAUGUUGAAAUAGCAGCAGCACCUGUCACAGUAGAUCCCUGCAAAAUAUACAAAGUACCAGAUCUGUGUGCCUUCAUAACAACAAGAGCUCCUCGAGUGAUUUUGAGAACUCCAUCUCCACCUGAAUACCUGCACCCGAUAGACUCAAGAGUGCCCAAAGAGAUGAGAUUUUUCUUCAAAUCUGGAACAUGUCUAACAUUUGUGAGCGUCCUCACAAUACCAUCGUACAUUUUAAUCCGGAUUGUGCCUUUGCCAACAACUUUACAAACGGCGUUGUUACCCAUUAAGACAACUCCACCUUCAGUUGAUUCAUAUGUUGAAAAUCAGUCCCUAUUGGGACACAUAUGAUACGAACAACCCGAAUCUAAAAUCCACUCAUUGUUAGACCUAAAAUUAUUUUCUAUUGCACAGAAAAUAGUUCCAUCAUUCUCAUCAGCUGCUAUACUAGCUUCAGUGGAUUCAGUAUUUCUUUCAACAAAUUUCCCCUUUUGCUUUUCUUUAUAAUUUAAAGCAAUCAGAGAUAAUAUGGCCCUUCUUUUUACAAUAGUUGCACACCACAUUUUUAUGUCUGGAUUUGGAUCUACUUCUAUUUUCUAUGUUUCUCUUCUCAAAUCUACCCCGAACAAACAAGCCAUCGGCUUGACUCCCACUAGUUUCCCCAGUAAUAUCCCUAUCUAUCUGCUCUUUAGAUUUUAAUGCAGAUUUAAUUUCCCGAUACGAAAUUGUUUCCUUUCCAUAUAUCAUAGUAUCACGGAAAUGCUUAAAGGAUUGGGGAAGGGAACACAAAAGUAAUAGGGCUUGAUCUUCAUCAUCAAUUUUCGAAUCUAUAUUCUCCAAAUUCAUAAUAAUGGAAUCAAAUUUAUCAAGAUGGGAGAGUAUAGAUGUACCUUCAGACAUCCGAAACAUAUAUAAACUCUGCUUUAGAUAUAGUCGAUUCUCGACUGUUUUCUUCAUAUACAAGGCUUUCAAUUUAUCCCACAUAGCCUUGGCCGAAGUCUCCGUUGCUACCUCACGCAACACCUCAUCGGAGAGAUUUAAAAUUAUGCUGGAUCUGGCCUUCUUAUCCAUAUUGGCGAAAUCCGCAUCCUUUACAUCUUCUGGCUUGUUCUCGAUUCCAUGAAUCGCUAGAUCAACUCCGUCUUGAAUAAGAAUGGCUUCCAUCUUGAGCUGCCACAUGCCGAAGUUGACAUUCCUGUCGAAUUUCUCGACAACCGUCUUUGUUAUCGUCAUUGUUGCCACAAAAUCUGUAAUUUGUAGUUUGUCUAAAAAAAAAAACUGACAAAACAAAUAUGCAAGUCUCGUGAGCGGGCCCCACAAGGUGAGCGGACCCCACGAGAUAAGCGGGCCCCACAGGUAAACGGACCCCACAGGAUGAGUAGGCCCCACAGGAUGGACAGGCCCCACCAGAUGAACGGGCCCCACCAAAUGAACCUAUCUUGCAAAAUAUAAUAACCAGCUCUGAUACCAGUUUGUUAGGACCGGGCCAGGAAAUAGACAAACUCAAGUUAGCACAAAUUAGGCGGUAUAACCGACCAUAUAAUAGAUAGGCGGUAGAUACCAGCCAUAUAAUAAUUAGGCGGUAAAACCGACCAUAUAAAGACGGAUAACAAAGCAAAUAAAAGACACAGAAGAUUUACGUGGUUCGGUCAAAUUGACCUACGUCCACGGGCGAGGGAGGAGCAAUAUUUCUACUAUGAAGAAGAAAUACAAAACCCGUAGGAAAGUGGUUCCUAGGCCAAUAGGCACUUACAAAAGAGUUUAGAAAAUAUUCCUAAACUCAAAACAAGAGAGCCUAAAAUAUUUAACUGAAUGGGUUAGAUGACUCAAGAAACUAAUAGCCCAUAUAACUCUCUUGAGUGGUGCUAAUUAAAAUCUUCAGAGGACCCUUCCUUUUAUAGGCCUCGAGUAGCCGACUUCUUCUUGGCUUUGUGCGAUGUGGGAUGAAAAACUUAUGCCACAGUCAAACAUUGCGGCUGUGAAAAAAUCAACAUAUUCUGACCUAUCGGAUGCGUGGAGAAGGCAAUCGAUCUUCAAAGUCCAUAGUAAACUACGAUGUGAAAAUGAAAUGGCAUAUGAACCACAAGCUGUGUUUUCAAACUCGGACCGGACCGGCCGGUCCGACCGGUUGAAUCGAGAACCGGCCAAGUGUCCGGUCCGAGCUAUCUUAAAAACUCGGAUUGGUCAAGACUCGGUCAAACCCCGAUUUUGACCAGGUUUGACCGGAAACCUGAAGAACCCGUACGAACCGGGUUUUUCUUAUUCUCCAUUUUUAAAUUCUUUUUUACCCUUCCUGACCUCUUAACCCCAAAUCCUUGUGAGCUCCCCCUCCUCCGCAAAUCCAUUUUCACUCUUUGAGUUCAAUUCAAGCAUGAAAAAUCAAUGUUUUACCCCUUUUUUAAAAUAAGAUAUAAUCUUAGAUCUUGUAUUCAAAAGAAAAAAAAAGACCCAAAAAUGCAAAAAAGAGCGUGGAGAAGAGAACAGUUUGCAGAAAUCAGAUAAAAGCAUGAUAUUUCAUGGGUUUGAGAACAAAUAACUAAUAAAAUAAGAAUGAAAAUGAAAUUAAAAAAAAAAGAUGAAGAAGAAGAAAGGAGUUGCAGAAUGGCGUGGAAGAUGAAGAAGGGAGUUGCAGGAAGAGGAAAUGACACCGUCAGGAGUAGAGGAAGAAAUGAGAGGUGUGGCGUGGGGUCAAACUUCAAAGCACUUUCAUCUGAUAUAGGAUCAAAACAUUUUCAAUAUUAUGUUUUGAUCCUUAAGUUGUUAAAAACUAUUAAUAUACCUCAAAUAUUUCAUACUUUAUAAAUAUUGUCCUAAAGUUUGGUGUUAUUUUUUAAUCAAGUCCAUAAUUUUAAUUCUAAACUUGUUAAUAUUCAUUAAAUAAUAUAAAUUGCUCCUUGAUUAUUCUAAUUUCUUUGUAUUUUAUUGUUAAAUACAUUUGAAACGUUAAGCAUAUAUGAAUAUACCUUUGUUAAUAUUAACAUGAUCUUAGAUAUUUUAAAUAUAAUAUUUUAAUUUUUAAAUAAUUUUUAUUUAUGACGUCAUCUGAUUUAACCCCCGGUCGAACCCGGUCGAACCCAUUGACCCCUGACCCCUGACCCUGACCGAGUCGAUACCCGGUCCGAGUCUGAAAACAUAGACCACAAGUCGUCUCCGUCGGACCUUAUCACCGCGGUAAGCCUAAACUGAAAAAGAUGGAGGAGCAUAAGGUAAGGUACUUGAACAUGCUUCUUCUUAGAAGAAAAGAGUCAAGUGCUAAGAAAUACGUCGAAGCUAUGGCUGAACUUCAAGAAGAAGCUAAAAGUUCUUACGCAGACGAAAUCAAUCUUUCAGAUGGUGAUUUUGUUGAAAUGCUAUGCCUUGAUGGCUGCUUUGUCAUUGAGUUCUUGAGGAAACUUUAUCAGCCUAAAUUAUACAGCGAGAAUGAUCCCAUUUUUCAGAUGUCUUGGCUAAUAUCAGCCACUAAGAGAGACCUAAUAUUAUUUGAGAAUCAGUUGCCCUUUGUUGUCCUGCAAAAACUGUUUGAUAUGACCAAGUUGCGGGGCGAAGAAGAGAACCUUAAUGACCUAGCUAUUCGCCGUCUGUCUUCGCUCAUGCCUGGUUCUUAUCCAGGUCAAAGUUCUCAUUCUACAAUCCCUGCAGGUUAUGAGGCUGUUCAUCUUCUUGACCUCAUGCACAAAAAUUUCACUGCCUCAUUUUCCAACACACUUACGUGUCUCAAACCUAAAGAGACUCCAACCUCAUUGCAGAAACCAGUUAUUGAGCUAGUACAUUGUGGAACCAAGUUCAAGAGGGCAAUAAACAGUGAAUCCUUGCUCCAUAUCACUUUCAAAAAUGGUGUAGUUAAAAUCCCUCCUUUAUUUGUGGAUGAUCAUACAGAAUCCAUCUUCAGAAACUUGAUUGCAUACGAACAGUAUAUGUCUAAGCCAUUUGAGACACGGAGGUAUGUAACUGAUUACAUAAGCUUCAUGGAUCUUCUCAUAGAUUCCCCGUCAGACGUUGAAAAGCUUCGCAACCGUGACAUCAUCAGGCAUGGGUUAGGCAAUGAUAAAGCAGUCUCUGUAAUGUUUAACAAGUUAAGCAGCGAUGUUUCUAUUGAACCACCUUUCUGUUACGACGAAAUUUUUGUGGAAAUUGAGAAGUACUACCGCUACCGCAUCCAUAGGGAAUACCUCAUGCAGAAAUAUUUUCAUGCCCCGUGGGCUUUCAUUUCACGUCUGGCUGCAAUCGUUAUGAAAUUAAAGGGAGCUAGUUUGUAAUUUGUUAGUCAUUGUACUUAUGAAUAUUAAAAUAGCAAUGCCCCGUCGGGGUCAUUGAGUCAUUUUAGUCAACCUGACAAUUUUUAUGAACAUGGAUCUGUCUACACAUGUAUCUUUGAGUGUUACCUAGCACUAGUCCUAUCUUAGGGAGAGUACUACUAAAUGCAUGCGAAGGCUGAUGAUGAGAACUCAAUGAAGCACGAAAAUUAAGUACACAAGAUUUUAAGCAAAUUGCAAAGAAAGAAUUAAAAAAAUGAAGCAUUCAUCUGGCAAAAAAUCCUUGGCAUACUAUCAUAUAUAAUAGCAGUUAGAUACCAGUUGAUUGAAAUGCUAACAAAAUAAGUUUACUGAAAACAUAUAGUUCUACAGGAUCUAAUUGUUACUCCUGUGAUUUAAAGAAGAGAACAGAGAAAAGGCUCGGUUGAUUUUCAAACAAAGAAAACCCGGCAGAACACUUUAUUGGGCAAAUAGUUAUAAACAUGAAUUGCUUGUUGCUUAUGGUUCCCGAAAUCUUAUCUAAUUAGCCACUGCAUCCACAUUGGCUAGAAUGCUAAGUAAGGCAUAAAGACUGAAAGAAAAAAAAAAAAAAAAAAAGAAGCAGUACAAUAAGUGAAUCUGUCAUGCUUGCUGGUACCAAAAUUAAGUACAUAUGUAAAAUUUAAGUAGUUCUUAGUUGUAUAUGUGAAGGCUUUCUCAUGUUUGUCACUUCGCGAAGCAAAGCAUAUGCUAAUGAAUGAAGGGCUGAGACAUGUCUACUUUUUUUUAAAGAAAUAGAGGCUUAAACAUUGGCUGUUCUCCUCUUUAUUGCGCUCAGUCGCUCACUAUUUUCCCUCUUCAAAGGAAAAAUUGCUAGCCAUCUAAAGUUUAGUGGAAAAGAACAGCUAUGAACUCAUAUCUCAAAAUUCUAGAAAUUAAAAUGUUUAAGAAUUUAUAGAUCCUAACUAGAUCAAUUGAGUAAGAUUGGAAGACAAAUGCCUAAACAAGACAAUAGAAUAGCCAAGAUUAUGCAUCCCUCCCAGCAAUACGGGCUGGGGACAUUGAUUUGUUUUCAGCCCUUACCUAACUUUCCAUGAUGACUAGCUUCAAACGACAAAAACUUUUAAAAGUCAGAAUCAGCACCCGGAAAUCAGUAUAAACCUGGUUCAAGCAGUUGCCAAUCAACUUAAUUAGACUGAUUUUGUUAAUCUUUCCGUGCAGCAUUUUAUUCUCCAAAGAGGAUGCCCGGAGAAAUGCUAAAAUUUAUUUCUACUGGUCUCGAUCGAAAGCUUUCUCAGAUAUCAGGAACAUCAAAGGAGAAAUGUAUAUUCAGAGUCCAUGACGGGCUACGGAGGCACAACCCUCAGGCAUACGAACCAGAAAUUGUUGCUAUUGGGCCUUAUCAUCAUGCUAAAAGUAAAUUACCAAAAAUGGAAAAGCAUAAGCUGUGGUAUUUGCAACAGCUUCUUCUUCAAAGAGGCGAGUCAAGUGUGGAAAGGUACAUUGUAGCCUCGUCACAGCUUGAAGAGCGCACUCGAAGGUGUUAUGCAGAAGAAACUAUUAAAUCUAUUCUUUAAAUGUAUAAUUGCUCCUUUUCCUAUCUCAUUUUAUUGUGAUGAUUUGAAGUGGAAAAGAUUCUGAUAUUGGUGUAUUUACUAUGUUUUUUGUUACGGGAGUUAAGUGUCUGUGAAUUCCUCAAUAGAUUUAAUAGUUUUUUUUUUUUUAAAGAUGUUGAUGUUGAAAUUUGGAUUUUUUUUUUUUUUUGCAUCUAUAUAUACAUUUAUAUAUACAUGGGAUGAUUGCAUUUAGUAAACCUAACAAGUUGGUACAGCUAAAAAGUGGCUAGAUAUACACCAUUAUUGCUGAAGUUCAUUUUCUUAGGUCCUUCCGUUCGUACUUCAUGAGAUUAUAAUAUGUGUUUAUAAUAGCACUAUAUAAGAAAGCAAUCAUUCACCUUUUUUAUAAUCAACGAAGGAAUGAUUAAUUAGCUUUUGUAAUCAUUAUUUAUAAGCUGCUUACAUACUUCUUGCUGCAUUGUUUUGUUCUGCUAGACUGCUAGUGUUUUUUAACUCUCAUGUCAAGACUAAUAGUAGUUUUCCUCUUCAAAAGUCUAUGGCUGCUAAUUAAAGUCGUGUUAUAAAUAUAUCCUGAUAUUAAUUCUCCAUUUUUUAUUAUGCAGAUUGAACAUUUAAUUUGCCAUUUUACCAGCCAUGACUUUAUGAUAUUCUUACAAUCUUAAACUUAAUGCGGAUAGUACUGGAUUUUCUCAUUUUCCGGAUCCGGAUCCGACGAGUCUCGGAUCUGGGUCGGGUCUACUCGAAAAAAUUUAUCAAAACUUACAAUUUAUAAUAAAAAUGAGAAAAAAAAUAUUUGUAAACUAAUUUCUAACUAAUACAAAAAAAAUAAAUAAGAAAAGAAAUCAAAUUGACUUUACUCAAAUACAUCACCCUAAUCAAAUUAUAUUGAUAAAUAUAUUUUUUAAAUUAUUAAUCCAUUUAUAUCCGGAUCCGGGUCUAAUACGGGUUGGAAUACUAUAUUCCGUAUCCGACCCAUUUUUGUUGUUUGACAAAACUGAUCCGGGUCCGGGCAACGGAAUUAAAUCCCUACCCGUACCCGGACUCGGACCGUUGAUAGGCCUAGAAAAGAUUAAUUAGCUUUUGUAAUCAUUAUUUUUAUGCUUCUUGCUGCAUUGUUUUGUUUUGCUAGAGUGCUAGUGUUUUUUUAACUCUGAAGUCAAGAUUAAUAGUAAUUUUCCUCUUCAAAAGUCUAUGACUGCUAAUUAAGUCGUGUUAGAAAUAUGUCCUGAUAUUAAUUCUCCAUUUUUUAUUAUGAAGAAUGAACAUUUGUUUUGCCAUUUUACCAGCCAUGACUUUAUGAUAUUCUUACAAUCUUAAACUUAAUGCGGAUUUUCAAAUCUAGAAAAGUUGGAACUUUUGUGUUACGACACGUUAGAACUAACUUUGUUACAUGAUUUAUUCAUGCUAAUUUUGAUAAAUAAAUUAUUUUGCGAUAUUUGAUGAAAGUUCAUACAUAUGUUAAUUCAAGAAAUAGACCAAGACAUCUUCCUUUAGCUCCCUAAAAAUCAUUUAGAGUGUUAUGUAUGAUUUGACAGGAUCCAUUUAAUUUUAUUUUCUCCAAAAAUAUUUUUUUGGCAAAUGUACGUCAAGUUAUAGCAAAAUUACUUCAAUAUACAUUUUUUGCCCUUUCUCUUGGCUAAUAUCCUUAAACAUGGGUCUUUAAGCUACAUUUUUUUACACUUUUUCUUUCUCAGUUUUAUUGUAUUGUUUAAAAGAAUUAUGAUUAAAAAAAUUCAAGGGCAGCUGAAAAGAAUAAGCACCCCAGCACAACGUGCACGGUUACCCCUAGAUUUAAACACAUGAACAACCUAGGAUUGACAUUAAAACCAUUAAAAGAUAGUUUUAAUGGAUGAAGGCUUCUUGAUGUGAUAAGUUACCAUGUGAAAUUGCAGAUCGAAGAAUAGAUUGAUAUGAGUUGCAAUGGUAAACUACUACGGAAAAGUGAUAUGUAUUUGUGAAGGAUUCGAAUCAUGAAUCUAACAGUAAGGAAGAAUUUAAAAUUCCUCCCCUAACCACUAAAUUCCUUUCAUCCUUAUUGAAAUAUGUAUUUGAUUUGACACUGGGACUAAUUAAAUUGUCAACAUGUUUGCAUAAAUGCUCUAGUUGAAUUCUCAGUAUGCUUCUUCAAUUGAGAAAUUAUUAAAACUCAAACUCAACUUUGUAAAUAUAUACCAUUAUGAAAGAAACCUGAAAAAGAAAAUGCGCAAAGAGAAAAAGAGUGCACAUAAAAGCAAAAAAUUGUAGUGAACCUCUACCUCAACAUCAGAAAACUGAACACUCUUUGCGGGGACUGACAGUUCAAACUCCCCAUUGUUCCAACUUUGAGAUGUGGGGGCCAACAUGAAAGUUUCACCAAAACCUUAACACAAAAACAAAGAAAUAAUGAAAUUUGAGGGGAAAAUAAUUUAAUCUCCUAGAAAAAGGGGGGAAAAACAAAAUUCAAGUGUUCACCAUAAAAAGAAAAAGGGUAAAAUACCAAAAAAAAUCCCUAUGAUUUGCUAAAUGUUCAAUUUAAAUCCCUCUAAUUUGAAGAUCUACACUAUAGCUUCCCAUGGUUUCGACGAAACUAAAGAUUGGACAAAAAGCAUCCAACCUAAUGGUUGUACGUAAAAUAUCAAUAUUGCCCCUACUAUACGUGAAAUGCUUUCUAUUCAAUUUUCAAUCCACAGGGAAUUAUAGUAUAGUUUUUCAAAAUAUAAGAAAUUAAAUUGAAUAUUCAGCAAAUCAUAGGGAAUUCAUUUAUACAGGAACAAUAUUGACAGUUCAUAUAAAACCGUUAGAUUAUAUGCUUUUCAUCCAAUUUUUAAUUUAGUUAAAACCACAAGCAGCUAUAGUAUAUGUUUUCAAAUUAGAGAGAGUUAAAUUGAACAUUUGACAAGCCAUAGGGAGUUUUUUGACAUUUUACCAUAAGAAAAAACAAAUCACGCAAUUACCAAAGUAAGGAGAAAAAAGAAAAAAAAAAGUUUCCAGCCGAAUCCUUUUAUUUGUUCCCCUUUCGUAAUAUUCUCUUCCUCCUUUCUUGGUAAAAUAAUCAAACUAAACUCCUCCUUUGUGGUCAUCCAUCAUUAUGUGCUUAUCGAUGAAUUAAUAUCGGAGGAAAUCGAGAAGGCUUCACCAAAAUAUAAAUUUUAGAAAGGUAUGUUCAGUAUUGGUAUCUGAAAUGACUUCUUUUGCUUUUCCUUUUAUUCUUCUUCUUUUCGUGUGUCCAAUAAAAGUCAGUAUUAGUUCGUCUAAUAUUUAUAUAGAUGAAGUAAUUCGUCUAGUAAUUUGAUGAAAUGCUCUUUUAUGUCAUUUAAGUAAAUUUUUUCAGUUAAAUCAUUAAUUGGUUGUUCUCCUUUGUGUGACUUUAUUAUGGUUAUUGAAUUUUCAGUUUUAAUAUGUUUUUUCUUUCUUUCUUUUCUAUUUAUUCUUUUAUUUUGCCUUUUGUUAUAUUUAUGAUUGUUAUUUUUCUUUUUUGUAUUUAAUAAUGUAUAAAGUUUUGGGGGUAGUUAUGUCCACACAAGAAUAAGUUUAACACCAUUUAGCCUCCGUUAAUUCAAAAGGGGUGAUUGUUGGUUUCAAAAGUUCGAGGGGUACAAUGGUAGUUUGGCUAAACCAUGAGGGGUGUAGAUGUAAUUAUCCCUAUACAUAAAUGGGUGUAUUUCUAGGAUAUCAUCAUGGCUUAUUUUUUGCAUGAAUGACAUUUGAUGAAUCUAUUGAGAAGGACAACGAUGGGAUUUGGUUUAUACCAAUCCCAAUUCACAUCCUUAGCAGAAUCCAUGGCUUUAUGCAGACCACGAAGAUUAGGCGGACAAAUAUGAUUAAUCCAUCCUCAAAAUCUAAAGCUGCCAUGUAUAUCCUUCGUCCUAGUCCAUUUCAAAUCACCAUCUUUGCCAAAGCUUAGAAAUUCUUAAUGCUAAAUCUUCACAGCAAAAUUUAUUUGUUCAUGGGUUUGACACUAUUUUCUUGUAAUUUUUUUUUUUAGUAAGGAAGGAGUGAAAUUUAAGAAACGGAAAGGUUGUUGAGGAAUUAAAAUCCAAAAUCUCUACGUUACCGGGUCUUAGCCUUGAAUUUGACACCAUUUACUUAUCCUAAACGAUAAGCAAAGUUACGGUGCCUUAGAAACAUGAAUCUACGUCGCACUGUGUCCAUAAAUGAGCUUUUCAACCCAUUAUAUUAGUUUGCUGCGAAUUUCCAUGUAUCUUAUUUCUUGUGAACAUUCAGAACUAAAUGCUAUCUGAUUUCUUCCAAAUGGUUUCUCAUUUUUUUCCCAUCCCGGUUUGAUUUGCAUUCCAUGAAAAGAUGCAUCCCAUUUGCUUCUAAACAAUCAUUAUUGAUUAAUUUGACCUUGACGAAUCAAAUGCCUUCUAUCUAUAAAAGUAUGCAUAAUAGAAAUCAGAAGAUCACAUACUAAUCUAUGAUAAUUGCAUAAUUCUUAAAAAAUUCAUCAUUUUAUUUUGACCAAUUGGAUGAAGAAAAGAACCUUUGAUUUCAAUCCAGAAUGUAAUGCAUAAUAUAUUUUCAUUCCUCAUUAUAGAAGCUUUUAUCCAAAUGCACUGGGUAAUCAACAAAAGAUCACAUCAGCCACCGUUUUGAACUUAUCAUUCAUAUAAUUCGUUUCAAGGUGUUAUUUCAAGCAUUCGGUCAAACCCAACCCCCCCCCCCCCCGGGGCCUUUCCCAAAAAAAAAAAAAAAAGAACAAAGAAAGUAAUUGGAAACAGCUCAGGCAAAAUAGGAAAGGUAGCUUGCGAUACACUUCUAAAAAAAAAUGAAAGAAACUGGAUCGUGAUGGAAUUGUGUUUAAAAAGACACUUGGUUACUCAAAAACGAGCCCCAUUUAUAAUGCAUAAUUAAUUCAACAUGAAAGUACAUUUCAAAUUAAAAGGGUUCCAACUUUAGUACAGCAUAUGACAAAAGCAAACAGAAAUGAUAUUCCAUUAUUCAAAUUUAGUAACCUUUAUGUACUCAAGAUAAAAGCUUAAGAAACGAAUUAAGAGAACCUGAAGAGCAGGAUGGGACAUUGCACAGAAACCGCCAGUGUUAUAUAUAGGGCAAUUGUGAUUGCUAGAGCAAAUAUUGGGUUGAAAAUAUCGUUGGUGCAGGGGCUAAAUGUACUGUAGAAAUAGAAACCAAGCUUUGGGCUAUUUAUUUAUGUUUCCAUGUGGCAUUAAGGGAUUGGCUAGUAUUAUUGUUUGGUUGGCAGAGUGGUCACAUGGGAUUGAAUCCCUUAUCAGCAAUAGAAGUCAGCCACUAAGGAGGAGUCUCGUUUGAUUAACAAAAAAUUUUCCUUUGCCUCAAUAUCGUUUUUCCUUUGAUUGUUCUUAUGGGUUUAUGAUUUAUUAUCAAUUUGGAUCCAUCAUGUACUGGGAACAGUUAAGUACUAAUCUUCUUCUCCUUUCUUGUUAAUUAUUCCUAGCUUAAUUUCAUAGAGACUACGAAUAUAUGUAUUCUGGUUUGGUCAUUUUUGUUUACGUUUGACUGUAAAAGCACAGCUUUACGUGUGUGCUAUAAAUAUAUAUAUAUAUAUAUAUAUAUUAUAAGUGUUUGUGCCUAUAUAUACGUUUGGACUUGUUCGUAAUCAAUAACAAAAAAUUCUUGUUAAUUUUAAAACUAUUUCUCAUUUAAAAAUUAUGCACAGAUAUCUAGGGUAACAUUGAAGUUGGGUGCUUAAUGUUAGGUUGGCUAGGUUCUCAAAUAAUUUACACGUUUGAGUUUGGCAGAAGAGUAACCGACAACUAGGGUAACAUUGAAAGCAGAAUAUUUGACGUUCAAAAUUUUCUCUUCUAACCAUAUUCAAGAAAAAUAAAUAAAAAUUUCACAUGUGGGGGACUUGCAACGUUCUGGCAUAUGGUACCAACUAAUUGGAACGCUGCCAACAUCAUUUCCGUCAAGAAGCAACAGUAGCAGGCAGGCACACCCGAGGAUCAACAACAAGAGGCGCCCCCUCGCCCCCCAUCAUCCCCUCGCCAAAGAUCCUUCCUCAUAAUAGAAUAGGAUUUCAAAAAAAAAAAAAAAAGAAUAAAGCUAAUUAGAACGUGGAGAACUAUAGAUAUCAUCAAGAUUAAUUUUUCAAAAUCACUUCUUUGUCAAUGAAAAAGAAAAUGAAUAUGUUGGUGAAUGGUGAAUAUACGAGGUUGGUGAGAUAGUGAUAUCUGGUCAUCAACUCUCCCAACCUCCCCCUGGCAACUCAAAGGAACUUCCCCUGAAAAUUCAAAUGCUCAUUAACUCUCCCAGCCUCCCCACCGACAACUCCAAGGAUCGUCCCCCUUGAAGAUUUUAAUCCUCAUCAACUCUCCCAACCUCUCGCCUGAAGAUUUAGAUGCUCAAGAAAAAGAAUAUUGUCAAUGUGCUUCCAAUGGGCUUCAAAAAUAGUUUAGGGACUAACAAAUAAUAAACUUGAAGUACCAUUGUGAGACUUUAAAUUAGUUUCAAGGAUCAAAUAUAUAAACUGCUUAAAAAAAUAACAGAGAGCUAAGGUGAACUUUGUUUGAGAGAAGGUGUUGCAAGGUAUAGUUGACAUGAAGUAUGUCAACACAAAUGACCAAGUUACAAAUAUAUUCACAAAGAGUUUAACUCCUUCCAAGUUAAUAAAAUUUCGAGAGAUGCUCGGCAUGAUUACAAGGAAAAUGUCAGGAUCAAGCGCUUACCAUUACACCAAAAGCUAUAGUUAUUAGCAAAGACGUAACUUUAUUUCCUUAACCACAAUGGCAGCGCAAAGCACCAUACCACGUUCGACUAGCAUGAGGGGCUGCACCCCUGAGUGCCACGGGUUGGGCGGUUAGUCCCUUCGAGUCGGGAUAUGAGGAAUGUUUCUGAUUUGGCCAACAGAAAAUCAAUGCUGAUGGGAAAUGUUAAAAGUCAUCACUAACUUAUGACAAUCUAAUGGGCUACAUUCAUUUAUGAAUUUAUAUUUAGUAGUGAGUUUGUUUCUUUCUUUAGCUAGUAGUAGUUUGUUAGGAGAAUUGGCAGAGGUAAAUUUUUGCAACUUGGUCGUGGGAACUGUUUUACUGCAAAGUCACGCUUGAAUCUAAAGCGAAGUUAGACGAGAAUUUACCAGAUUUUUAGGAAUCUAGCAUUUAAUGUAACGAGGACAAUUGGUGCUGUAUGUCGAGCACCUUAUUAGUGUAUAGAGGUUCAUUUCCUCCGUCGAAAUGCACCAAAGUUCAAGAGAAGAUAAUAAAUAAAUGAACUCAAUAGUUGUGUGAGUGUUUGAGCAAACAUCUCAAGAGUAAUGCUUUCAUAGAAGAGAGUGAAGUUGAAUUUAAUAGUGUCUAGUAUAAGCUGAUUUUGUGAGUAUUAUUAUUAUGAGUAAAUCUCAUAGAAGAGAGUGAAGUUCAACUUUAUGUAACUAAAGCGUCUGUGUUUGGAUAGGAGAUUAUUUGGGAUAAUUUUUUUGAAAUAAUACCGUAACACUUUUUUGAUGUGGUGUAUAUGAGAUAGAAAGGUGGUUGAAAAUAUGUAGAUAAUGCAAAUAAAUCAAUAUAUGUAAAUAAAGUGUAAACUAAACACACAGUAGUUAUCUAUUUUGGUACAAGUUAAUUCCGGUGCAAGUUAUCUAUUUUACACUCAAGUCAAAUGCUCAAGACUAGAAUAAAACAACCCAAUUGAAAACCUUGGAAGAGUAGGACAUUGCUAAGAAACUUCACUUAAACAAUAUUCUCAAGGAACGACGAGUAGAUGUACAGGGUAGGGGCACUUGAGAUUGGUGGAGGAUAUAGAAGAGUUGAAAACUUGGUGCAAGGCUAAUAUGUACUCAAUCUCAAGCAUGGGCAACAGAUUAGUGGUUUAGUGCGUUUGCCCUAUGUGUGUGUGUGUGUGUGUGUUCUGCCUUUGUCAUAUUUGUAUAUAUCCAUACAGCCACACCAGCCAAGCACCACGGUGCCCCCAAAAGCGAUGGGACAUUUUCAUUUUCAUCUAUAGACUUUUUCAGAAAAUUUGUUUCUACCCUACCAAUUUGCAAGGCUAAUACGUACUCACAAUCUCAAGCAUUGGCAACAGAUUAGUGGUUUAGUGCGUUUGCCCAUGUGUGUGUGUGUGUUCUGCCUUUGUCAUAUUUAUAUAUAUCCAUACAGCCAAACCAGCCAAGCACCACGGUGCCCCCAAAAGCGAUGGGACAUUUUCAUUUUCAUCUAUAGACUUUUUCAGAAAAUUUGUUUCUACCCUACCAAUUUGCAAGGCUAAUACGUACUCAAAAUCUCAAGCAUUGGCAACAGAUUAGUGGUUUAGUGCGUUUGCCCCAUGUGUGUGUGUGUGUUCUGUCUUUGUCAUAUUUGUAUAUAUCUAUACAGCCAAAUCAGCCAAGAACCACGGUGCCCCCAAAAGCCAUGGGACAUUUUCAUUUUCAUCUAUAGACUUUUGCAGAAAAUUUGUUUCUACCCCACUAAUUUGUAAAUGUUUCCCCACUUAUCAAAGGGAUUUUUUUUUUUGGGUAUUGGGUAUAAGAAAUAUUUUAAUUUUUCACUUGAUAAGGCGUAGAAAAUUAAUAAUAGAAAAUUACAAUAGAGAAAUAUCAGUUACCUAAAAACUUCAUCAUUUUAUUUGUGACUGAAUUGGAUGAAGAUAAGAACCUUUGAUUUCAAUCCAGAAAUGGUAAACCUUCCCCACCCCUAUAGCUAAAUGGUAAACCUUUCCCACCCCUGUGAUACGAAACAAACAAAAUGAAUGGGCAGUCAAUGAAUGGUCAUUUUCAGAGCUUUUGAAAAGUUUUUGUUCCUUCAUGUGCACCAUAGUUCACGUAAAAUCAAUCAAGGAAAGUCCUUACAUAGAUAUAAAAAUCUAAACCAGUUGUCAAACUCGGCCCUUGAACACGCUUUCCCAGCUCAAAACACAGCAAUUCCUCGCAAGACUAAAAAACAAGAAAAGAGCUGUUUUACCUCUGAGAACUUUCUUUGUUGCUAUCAAAAUCAACUCAAGAUCCUGCAACUUCAUUGCUGAAUUCAGAAAAGAAGAAGGAAUCGCUCCUCCAGUUUAUAAUCAAAGAUCCCCUUCUUAUUUGCAACCAUCCGAGUGAGUUUUCUUAUUAAUCAUCCCUUUUCCCUAAAUUAUAUAAACAUUUAUUUAUGUUAUUUGAGUGGUAUUUUAGCGUCUUCAGGUGGAGAAUUUAUAAAAGGAAUCCACUAGUUUGUACUAAUUGCCAACUACUAAAGACAAAGCACGAAACUCCAUUGUAGAUAUAAGUUGUAUCUGGACCCUUAUGCCUAAAAAAGUUGUCAAAUUGAAUGCAUUCAUGCAGCACAUAGAUUGUUCAGAUAGUGCUUCUGGAGCUUAUAUUUUGCUAUUUGGACUACCAGAUUGCCAUUCACAUGAUUGGUACACCAAUUUAGCUUGCUUAGCUUGAUUCUUAUUUAGAAAUUAUGAUACCGGAGUUAUUCAUGGUAUCAUAUUACAUUUGUUCUACAUCCGUAGGUAAUUUGGGAUUCUUAUUGUAUUAUCGCCCAAGUGGUAUUAAUAUUGUGUUAGUCAGAACGGUAAGUUACUCACUGAUGAUUUCUAAAUUUCAUAAACUUUUCUUAUUGGCCUUUAGUUUGAAUAAAAUACAGAAAAUUCAACAUUUAUGUCCUCAUUUUGAUUCUCAGUAGCAGGAACAGUUUUCCGGGUAAUCCUAUACAUUCUCGGUAACUGCAAUUUGACAAAAUUUUCCAGAUUAUAAAGGUACGGACUGUACAGGCUCAAAUCAUGUUUCUAAGCAUUAACAGAUUUCACGUAUAUAUGCUCGCAAUUACCUUCUUGUCAAGUGUUGAUUGUCUGACAUCGACUAUGUUUCCAGUUGGGAUCCUCUACGCCGCCAUUUGAUGUCAAAUUCAGUGUCAAUCCCACUUAUCAUAUGAUGGUUGAAGAAAUUUAAAUAAAUAGUACAUAACAAAUUAAAUAAACAGGACACUUGGCAUAAAUAUAGAAGUGGCACUGAAUUAUCACUGAAAAAGUGGCACUGAGGAUCCCGUAUGGUAUGUUUCAUAGCUUUCAUCUAUAUCUUGCAAAUUUAACUUAGGUGUAUGAACAAGAUUUUCAUUUUCUUCAUCUAUGACUGCUUCUAGAUUAAACUUGGUUAAGAGCCAAUUUUGAGCCAAAGGAAAUUUUCAAUUUUCUAUGUAAAAUUUAUUGAGAAAUUUUAAUUUCAUCCCAUUAAUUUGCAUGAGGAUUAUAUAUAAUUUUCCGAGUUAAUGAUGUACAAAAAGGUUUAAGCCUCUGCUUUGUUAAAGUCAACUCAUGAAGUUGGCAUUACGCGGGAAUCAUCUUCGGUAUAGAUACAUUACUUAUGCAAGUACGUAUAUUCUUACAUCUUUUUCUCCAACUUCGGUGAGCUCUAUCUUCAUUCUUCAGGAUUCCUAACAACAAAAGUAGCAGUGUAUGCUUGGGCAUACACUUGGGCUUCCCGCAUGGGAGUCCUUUCUGAAAACAAAAAAUUGUUCAUCAUUCAUGUUUCAUCCAUCUUUUAAACAGGAAGUAUAGAAACACAGAACGGUUAGUUACUGAUAAUUUCUGAAUUUCAUAAACUUUUCUUCUUGGUCUUUAGUUUGCACAAGACCUACCCAAAAAAGUUUGCAUAAGAGAUAGAAAAUCCAACAUUUGUGUCCUCAUUAUGAUUCUUAGCAACAGGAACAUUCUUGGUAACUACAAUUUGACCAAAUUUUCCACAUUGUUAAAGUACGGACUACACAGGCUCAAACUAAAUUUCUAAGCAUUAAUAGAUUCCAUAUAUAUGCUCGCAAUUACCUUCUUGUCUAGCUAAGUGUUGAUCAUCUGACGUCGACUGCGCUUCAGAGCUUUCAUCUAUAUCUUGUAAAUUAACUUUGGUGUAUGAAUAAGAUUUUGCUUUUCUUCAUCUUUGACUGCUUCUACAUUCAAUAUGGUUUGGAGCCAAAUUUUAGGCUUUACUUUAUCAUUCAGAGAAUUUUAAUCUACUGUCUGAUCAAAAGGCAUGUUCUGGUGCAAGUUAACUGUACCCAAGAAACAACAAAAUGUCAUUAGUCACUCACAAGGUAUUUUUUUUUUUUUAAAAAAAAAGAUUUUUGGGACAGUUAUCUUGCUCGGACCUUAAGAUUCACUCCAAUAGGAAUCAACCUUGACAGUUAAAUUAGCUGAUCCUUCCUUUUAAAAAAAAAAAAAAAAAACUUCUUUUAUGGUGUAAAUGGAAGGAUUCGAACCUAAGACCUCUUACUCACACUUCCUCUCCCAACCCAUACCUUCCCCAGUUGGCUGAUCCUCUUGAUGUUUUCUCCUGCAGCAAUUCUUCAUUUUGUUAUACGUACUCAACAAAGAUGUCUAGAGACAGAUCUCACCAAAUUGCCAUUCGCAUUGAUCAAAAGCUUUCUGACCUAUUGGAUACGUCGGAGAAGCCAUCGAUCUUCAAAAUCCAUGGUCAACUACGAAGUGAAAAUGAAGAGGCAUACGAACCAGAAGUGGUUUCCAUCGGACCUUAUCACCACGGUAAGCCUAAACUGAAAGAGAUGGAGAAGCAUAAGCUAAGGUACUUCAAAGAGAUUCUUCGUCGUAGAGGUGAGAGUGCUGAGAAAUACAUCAUAGCUUUGGCUGAUCUUCAAGAUCAAGCUCGAAGGUGUUACGCAGAAGAAAUCAAUCUUAGUAAUGAUGAUUUUGUUGAAAUGCUAUGCCUUGAUGGCUGCUUUGUCAUCGAGUUCUUGAGGAAAUGUAGACAUCCAGGAUCACACUGGCAGAAUGACCCCCUUUUUCAGAUGCUUUGGCUACGCACAGCCACUGUGAAUGACCUAAUAUUAUUUGAGAAUCAGUUGCCCUUUUUUGUCCUGCAGAAACUGUUCGAUAUGACCAAGUCACCAAGAGGAGAAGGGAACCUUAUUGACCUAGCUAUUCAUCUCUGUCUGGUUGGGAACUUGCCCAAUCCAGGUCUAAAUUCUCAUUCUGAAAUCUUCGAACUUUAUAAUGCGGUUCAUCUUCUUGGCCUCGUGCACAAAAUUCUGUCUGCCUUAUUUUCUGAAACACUUUCCUCAACCAUGAAUUCCAAUCCUACAGACUCAUCUGUGUUCGUAAAAUCAGCUGGUGAGCUCCGACAAAGUGGAAUCAAGUUCGAGAAGGC
rnacentral:lncRNA from 1 species